rnacentral:lncRNA from 1 species
CUAGCUCGUAAGUCAGGGUUAAUAUCAGAGCUUAAGAUAGUAUAACCGUGAGAACCUAUUGACUGCCAAUUAAAAUAUCCAUUAAAAUGUCUAGGGAGUUAUGAAGGUGGAGGUAACUUCCAAUUUCUAAGGCCACAGAGUAGACAUCAUCCAGGAUCCUAGGAAAGUCCAGUUAACCUCCUGCUCGAUGCAAUUAAUAAAUUUGGUCAAUGCCACUGAAACUUGCUAACUGACGUCACAAUGCGACAUGAGCACUUCAAAAUGGGACAGACGGUCAGUGGCACUAAAUUUUUCUUGCCUAAGAUUGAGCAAUUGGUCUAACUACUAAUCCCCCAGAUUUAAGAAUCUUUUGAUGAUAAUUUAUCACCUGCAGCUGUGCCGGAAGAUUCAAGUAGCACUGAAAAAUAUGAUAAUUUAAUUGAUAUGGACAGUUUCCAUAUCACUUUUAAAUCAUCUUAUGUAAUUGUAAUGUUAGGAAGCAUUAGUGAUCUAAAAGUGAACUAUUAUUGGUGUCAUUGGUGGUUUUAUCUUGUUAAAAUAUGGAUGACUUCCUGUUACUAUUUUAUUGUAGACAAUCUUAUUCAAUUAACAUAAGGUUUAAAACCAUUAUGUUUUAUGUAAAUCAAUCUAUUAAUUUUCAUGAUAUUUAACUGAGUUAAAACCAAGUGCACUCAAUAAAUGUCUUUUCCUUUAAAAAAACUACUACGCUUUGAUUUUAGUGCUUAAUAUUUCGUAACUACAGAUUAUCUAAUUGCGAGUUGCUGUCCAUAGCUGCUAAUUUGUAGUGAUUAUCUAAUUGACUGAGGUGACAAUAAUUCUUUUAUUUUCAAUAGCACAAUGUGGAAUUCAAUAAUUAAAUUCUCCUAUUUAAUUUGUUUCAAGUUAAAUUAUUAAUUACUUAAACUCUGUUUUAAGUCUUUAAUUUUAUGUGUUUAUGCAGAAUUGGAUUCUUGAGCGUGUUGGACACGACCAACAAUGAAAUUGAUAGUAAACAAACAUUACAACGUGUGGACUCCGGUAAGCACCAAUGAAUGUCUAGCCCCGUUGACUCCGCCAACUAAAGUUUUGUAAAAUUAAAAAAAAAAAUACAUAGAAUUCCACCAAAUGCAAAACGCGUGAAAUUUAAUUUUCGACCGUGUGGACCAAAACAUAAUUUAACAAAAAAGGAAAAAAUGAUAAGAUUUUUAAAAUGUGUGGAAGGUGAUCCAUAUUUUACUGAAACGACUUGUUAAAUUUUUCAAGGAUUUAGAAUAUUUGGUCAUAAAUUACGUGCAUGUUAAUUUUUCCGCCAUUGACUAUCAUAUUCUAGACUUAAUGGUACCUUUCUUGAUGAAGGGUACUUAGUCUCUCUUCUCCUCUUAUAAAAAUUAUAUUAAUUGAUUUCUUGUUAUAGUUAAUAGUCUUUAAGAACGGAUAGAUUUAUUGUUUUCAUGACCAAAUUAUGCAUGCCUAAGGUUGUAACUACUAAUAAAAUUAAUAUUUAAUGUUUAUGUUAAAAGAUAUAAGUUUUUAUGCAUUCAUUAAUUGUUAUUAGCUAAAGGAUGAAAUAUUUUUUCCCAAUCAGUUGAUGCAUCUGCAAGAGUUUUUUUUUUUCUUUUAUUGACCAUAAUUAUAUUCCGGGUACAAUAAAUUGUCUUUGGUGCUUGGAAAAUAUGACACCUCUCUGUCAACUUACUGGAAAUAUCUCCUCAUCUACUCUCAUUUAUCUAAUAUGAAUUGAAGAUCUCAUAUUUCCAAACUAUGACUUCCAAAUCUCAUUAUCAUUUGAGCAUUCAAAACUAAUCAAGUGUGGAAAUAAUCAAAUAUAUGCAAAAAUCGAGUCACAAUCUUUGGCCCCUCAAAAUUCUAAUUAUAUAACUUCUAUAUAUCUCAUACAUUUUCCAAAUUCCUCUUCCAUGAACAUCACUAGGAGUAUGUUCAUCUCUCACACAUUAACUUGAGUGAAGAGUUUCCAAAUUGAUUAUUAGAAAACAAUACAAAAGCUAGACACGUUUGAUCUGUCUAAUAAUUCUCUUUCGGUAAAAUUAAUUAAUUUUAGGGGAAUUCAGCCAACCUCUGUAAUUUCAGAGUGAUCAUUAAUUAAUUAAACAAUACAAAUAUCUAAAGUGAUUAGAUGUUUGCCGACAAUACAAGUUCAUGGCUUGAAAUUUGAUCUCUAUCAAUUGGUUUACAAAUGGACUCACUUGUGCCUUUGUGGUGAUAAUUGAACCAGAGAUGUGAAGCUGUAAGGAUUUGGCUGUAGUCAAUUGUUAUAAAGACAUAAAGACAACUUCCCAUGAUUAUUAUUUUUUUCCAAGAACUAUUUUACAACAAAUUCAUCUCGCCAAAAAUUCUAUUUUGCUAACUAACAAUAAUUGAGCACUUGACCGCAUUGACUCCACGUCUCCAGCUACUUUCUAAGUAAAAACAUGGAAAUGUAAUCUCCACAAAAUGCCAAACGUGUGGAAUUUAAUUUUUGGCCUUGUGGACCAAAAUGCAAAUGAAAGAAAAAGAGGGAAAAAAACAAGGCUCAAAGACUUCUAAAAGAUGUAAAAGUCUUUGGGCUUUUUUAUAAUGGUGGAUUUUUUAAAAGGAAAAAAUAACAACACUUCUAUGGUUUGUUUUAAUAAUCACAUUUACAUAUAUUCUCUAAUUUUCAAAAUGGACACAUAAAUCUUUUUUUUUCUACAAAUGUAUAUUAUUCGUAUUUUUUAUUAUUUUUAAUAUCAUAUUGUUAUUUAUUAUAAAUGUUUAAAGUAAAUUUUUAGGUUGAAAUAUAAUAAAAAGGUAUAAUCGUUCUCAUAUUAAACACCCAUACUUUUAGUUUCUAUCCAUUUGUCAUUUCAAUCUCCCUCAAUUAUUCUUUAUUGCUAGCUCAAAACGCAUCGCUGUUGAAAAUUAUAGCAAAAUGACAAAUAUGGAAAAAAAGGGAAGAAAAUUAAUGCAUGAAAGACUUGGAGAAAACAACCAAAUAAGUCAACUAUAAGCAAGCUGGGUGUAUAAAUUGUUAGAUGUGUUAUAAACAAAUACGUAUAAUGUUAAAGAUAUAGUUAGAAUGGGUGGUUCAAAAUCAAAAAUGGUGAUAAUGUUUGUUCUGCUCUUAAUAAUAUUUGAAGGUGGGUGGAGUGAGGGAUGUUUGAAUCAUGAGAGAUUUGCUCUUUUGCAACUUAAACUUUUCUUCACUGAUCCUCAUAAUUAUCUUCUCGAUUGGGUAGAUGAUGAGGGAGCUACUGAUUGUUGUCAGUGGGAAAGGGUUGAGUGCAGCAACACCACAGGUCGAGUGAUAAAACUUGACCUUGCUUUUACAAGGAAUAAUUAUUUGGAAGAGUACAGAGACUUUGUACACAAUCCGGGAGAGUAUCUGAAUGCUUCUUUGUUUACUCCCUUUCAACAACUUGAGUCACUUGAUUUAACUAACAACAACAUAGCCGGUUGUGUUGAGAAUGAAGGUGCUUCGUUUAAUUUAAUUAAUUUACUUUCUCCCCCCUAAUUUAAGUUGACUAUCAAGACCGAGCAAUUAGACGCAUAUUCAUUUAGUCGACAAUUUUCACUUUUUUUAAAUGAUUAAUUUUGAAAUUACACCAGUAUCUAUAAUCAUUUUUUUAUUUUACUUGCAGGUAUAGAGAGGCUAUCAAGAUUGAACAACUUGAAGAUGCUUAAUUUAAGUGAUAACUCGUUCAACAAUAGCAUUUUAUCAUCUCUAACCCGUCUUUCAUCAUUAAGAUCAUUAAAAUUAUCUGACAAUAGAUUGAAAGGAAGUAUUGACUUUAAAGGUACAUAAUUAAAACUUCAUCCCUUCUCCAAGCUCUUUCAUUAACUUGCUAAAAUAAGAUUCAAGGCUUUGAAUUCAAUUUUUUUAUGAUUAGUAUUAAAAAAAACAGUUUUAAGCAAUUUAUAAAUACAAGUUUUAAUGGUUAUCGUAAUUUCAUCUUGUAAUUUCAUGUCUUGAAUUUAAGAUUAAAAAAAUAACACUAACAGCGAACCAAACACCUCCACAACUUAUUAUUAUUAUUAUUAUUAUUAUUAUUAUUAUUAUUAUUAUUAUUAUUAUUAUUUUAAUUUGUUGUGAGGUUUGAAACAUUCAACUCAAUUUGUACUUACUACAGAAUUUGAUUCUUUGAGAGAUUUAGAGGAGCUAGACAUUGGCUGGAACAAGAUUGACAAAUUUGUGGUCUCAAAAGGUACUACAAAUACCAUAUAAAAAUGCUAACUUAUACAAAUUAGUUGGAUUCUUUGCCAUUUGGUUUAUUAUUUUACAGGUUUGAGUAAGUUGAAGUCUCUCGGUUUAAGUGGUAUCAAACUCAACCGUAGCAUCUUAUCUUCUCUUUCUUCAUUAAGAGAAUUAGAUAUAAGUGAUACGGGAUUCAAAGGAACAUUCGAUGUUCGAGGUAAGCCUAAGCCUUGCUUUCUCAUUUUAUAUAUGCCAACUAGAUUUGUGUAUCAUCGACAUAAUUUAAUAGUUAAUUUGAUAAGUCUGAAGGAAUUACAUGCUAAUUUAAACAUACUUUUAUUUACUUUGUCAAUUAAUUAAUUUAUUAAUUACUAUUUGGCUUGGUUUGGACGAAAUUCUCAUGAUGUUUUAAUUUCUUUAAAUUAAUUAAUUAAUUAACUCUGUUUUUAAGUCUUAAGUCUGGGCAUGUUUGCAGAAUUUGAUUCCUUCAAUAACUUAGAAGAAAAAUAGAAAAAGUCGAGCAAGAGACUCUCGCCCUAUUUUAAGAUGAGAGUAGCGAUCACUUACCUGAUCUACGACCUACUAUCUACGCGUACCAGCCUUCCUUUGUUUUGCAUCACGAGAUGGACUCUUCGCCCAUCCCCUAAGGUCUUUCAAAUUAUACCUAAUUGGGGAGAGGACCCACCAGGAGUCCAACUCCAGAUUGGUGGCUAAUGGGCCUCGCGUAUCCUGCCUUUUCGUAGAAUGCAACGCUUAUACGUUCACUGAGGAAUGAAAUCCUAUCUUUUAUCCGAGCUAGGGAUCAGAAAGCAAGAAGGUGGGGGUCAGAAAUGAGUAGCGUAGGUGAUACCGAUAGGGUGGUUGGAUACGCGACAGCAACGGCAAGGCACUCUUGACCCCGUCCGUAGAGGGUCGGUACGAAUGAGACUGUGCUAGAGAUCGCAGUGAGCAAGUAUGCCUUGUUGACUGGGUGUUGGUUUUGAAACAAGGAUGAGUCCCUCAGGGAGUCCGUCCAAGCUUCAGCUACUAAUGCCUGGGCUAACUUCUUGGGGGUGAACAAAGUGCUCUGAGUCUGAGAUCGAUACUGGUUAACGCCACAAGUGCUCUGCCAUUGGUCUACACACAGAGUCAUCAGGUAAAGUCAGAGCUUGGACUGGGAAUGAGAUCAGAAGAGGCUAGGCUACUAGGGAAGAUAGAAGCGAUCCACAAAUCAAACCACUAUCCCAUUGGCCGCUUCAUGCGCCGAACACUCUUAAUAAGAAGCUUUAUUUUAUAAGGUAUGUGUCUAUGCUCUCGAUACACGGCUUGAGAAGGCGGCUCCUUUUUAUUCUUCCUAUAGGAGCUACUCCUGAUUCAGUCAAUCAGAACAAGCCUUCGGACCUACCAACCAAUCAAACUAGCUUGAUGCGGAGGCAAAUACCCAGGGAUACUAUAGCUCAACACACGCCUGGCCGGGGGGAAGGAAGCCCUCGAAGCGAGCUCCGUACCAAAUAGCUGUGGAGAGAGAGAAGCCAAACUCUACCGCACUGAAGAGCGAGAUAAAUAACUGACAUCCUUGGUUGAUGAUCCUCGUCGGUGGAAGGGAAAGCGCGAUGAAAGGCAAGUCGGUAGUAGGUCCAAUGGAGAGAGGAAUUGAGAAGAGAUAGGGUCCGCUUUCUAGGCUGACGUUGGACAGCUGUUGGAUAGCCCCGACCUACACAAGUGGUUUUAGAAUGAACUCACAUUUUGAAAUGUUCUGUUAGGUUCUUAGUAGCAGUCGGCGAUCUUUUCUUCUUUUACUUCACAUAGCUUUUCGUCUCCUUGAUAGCUGGAAGUUCUCCAAAAGUAUGAAAAGCUGGAGGACUUUGUACCAUCCAUUCCGGUGUGGUUGGAUUCUGUUCAACAGCCCAAGGACUUGGAGCACAUCUUUUGUUAUUUCCACUGCUUGAAGUGAUUGUUACGACCACGAAGAAACGACGAAUCCCAACUACGGAUAUAUAAGAGCCAAAACUGCUAAGGGCAUUCCAUCCAGCGUAAGCAUCUGGAUAAUCUGGAAUGCGACGUGGCAUACCCGAAAGCCCUAAGAAAUGCAUGGGAAAGAAGGUCAGAUUAACCCCGAAAAAAGUGAUCCAAAAAUGGAUUUGCCCUAAAGUUUCAGGGUAUGUCCGACCAAAGAUUUUACCACCCAAUAGUGAAAUCCUGCAAAUAAAGCAAAAACGGCUCCCAUAGAAAGUACAUAAUGGAAAUGUGCAACCACAUAAUAAGUAUCAUGUAGAGCAAUGUCUAGCCCAGAAUUUGCCGGGACUAUUCCAGUGAGUCCUCCUAUAGUGAACAAAAAGAUGAACCCUACAGCAAAUAACAUGGGUGUUUUGUAUUGUAUCGAACCCCCCCACAUGGUAGCGAUCCAACUAAAGAUUUUGAUUCCAGUGGGGACAGCUAUGAUCAUGGUAGCUGCGGUGAAGUAGGCACGGGUAUCAACGUCUAAGCCCACAGUAAACAUAUGAUGAGCCCAAACAAGAAAUCCAAGAACACCUAUACUGAUCAUGGCAUAAACCAUGCCUAGAUACCCGAAGACCGGUUUUCCCGAAAAAGUCGAAACGAUAUGACUUAUGAUACCGGAUCCAGGCAGAAUGGGAAUAUACACCUCUGGAUGACCGAAAAACCAAAAGAGAUGCUGGUAUAAUAUGGGGUCUCCCCCUCCAGCGGGAUCAGAAAAGGUUGUAUUAAAGUUUCGAUCGGUUAAUAACAUGGUAAUUGCCCCCGCCAGUACCAGAAGUGAUAAUAAAAGUGGGAAUGCUGUCACUAGAACGGACCACACAAAUAGGGGUGAUCUAUGCAUAGUCAUUCCAGGUCCACGCAUGUUGGAGAUUGUUGUUAUAAAAUUGAUAGAACCUAAAAUGGAUGAAACACCAGAUAGAUGAAGACUAGAAAUUGCUGAAUCAACUGCUCCUCCAGAAUGGCUGGUAAUACCACUUAAGGGCGGAUAGACCGUCCACCCAGUGCCGCUACCCACUUCUACUAAGGCUGAGCUUAAUAGGAGCAAGAGACUUGGUGGCAACAACCAGAAUGAAAUAUUAUUUAAUCGUGGAAAUGCCAUGUCAGGUGCACCUAUCAGAAUCGGAACAGACCAAUUACCAGAUCCACCUAUCAUCGCCGGCAUAACCAUAAAAAAGAUCAUUAAAAAAGCGUGAGCCGUUAUUAAAACAUUAUAAAGUUGAUGAUUCCCACCAAGAAUUUGAUCGCCGGGAUGUGCUAAUUCCAUACGAAUCAAUACUGAGAAGCAUGUGCCCAUCACUCCAGCAAUGGCACCGAAGAUGAAAUAGAGAGUCCCUAUAUCCUUGUGGUUAGUGGAGAACAGCCAUCGAACCGGAUUUGUCAUAAAAUUGAGAUUCUUUCGUUUCCUUCCUUAUCAGAGAGGGGCCCCUUAGGGAGCGGGGCUUCUUUAUUGAAAAAGGGGGAGUGAGGGGGGAAGGAGCGAAGCGAAAGCGGGGGGGUCCGGAAAGCCCUUACUUUAUUGAUGGGACAUUUUGAUCCCCUUUUCCUCUCACCCCCCGUUCUGGUUCAGGAUUCAGGAAAGGGUCAACGCAAGGAUCUUACUUCGAAGCAAUCUCUGGAGUUUUCCCUUAUCCGAACGGGUCUUGCAAGAAAAUAGGAUUUCAUAUUGAGCUCCAAAUAUACGCUAUUGGGAUAGGAUGGCUCCUACUAUAUCUCCCCCCCCCCUAAGAACCGCACGUGCGAGUUCCCCUGCAUACGGCUCAAGUGGCGAAGGCACUUUCCUUCGCGCUUGAUAAGCGCUUCGCUGUAGCCAAGCUUACUGCUAGCCUAUCGGCUAGAGCCAAGCUUCGACCCCGACUGCUCGUCGCUUCUGGCCGCCUUAUUCCGUCACCCGAGAUCCAAGUCAGCACCGGAAAAAAGAUCUUGAUUCCUCGCGGCCGGGCCGGCUUGGAAGCAAGCUACUUGUCGCCUAUCUCACCCCCUUUCUUAUUAUUAGUAAGAUAGGGUGCCCCUUUCUCUAAUAAUAAGGUAAGCUUCUCUGAAUUCCGCUGGGUGAGCCUUCGCUUUUUGGAUCGUCUUCUGCCCAAUGCGGUACCCUCCCGUUUGUUUUUAGGUUCCCAUUGGGUUUACCUUGUUUACAGGUCGAUCCCAUGGCAGCAAGAAAAGGUGAUCUUGUGCUAUACUCCGGUGAUCUCUUUCCUACCGAGGCACGCAAACUCCCAUCGUGUCCCAGAUCAUAUUUCGUGAAUCGAAAGGGGAAGCCUCCUCAUCCAUCAGCUCCUCUCGUAGAUCAGUGCGGUUUUACGAAGCGUCUAAGCACAGUUCACUCGCGUUGAUCAAUCAAGAGCUUUGCCGCCACUCCUUAAGGUUACCUGUUGUAUCAUACACUUCUUGCAUUCUUUCCCACGCUUCAUACCCCCCUCUAGCUUCCGCACGGAGCGGUAAGGUAAAGGGCCAGGCAUGGUGGGGUCGGAGCAUCCUGUCAGCAAUCUUUUUGGCUUGACCAAGAAGUCUUAUGUCCUCCGAGUCGCGCGGCGUUUUAACCGAAAGAACUUCUUGCGCAAUUCAUGCCUUUCUGUUUUUAUGACCAGAAAUUUUUUCUUGAUUUCCAUUUCAAAUUGUUCUCUGGACUUUUUAUCAAUAUGAGGUGAUCGUAACACAGUAUAUAAGACUCGUGAUUCAGGCAAUCCAAUCUUUCGUGUGUAAGGCGGAAGAGCCUGGUUUUCCAAAAAUGGGUGAUCAAAAGAUCGAAUCACUAUGCGUAUCUUGGUGGUCGUUACUUUUGGUGGUCUUUCUUUUCUUUUUGGCUGACUCCUCCUACUCCUCCUUCUCUUAUCCUCUAUAUAGCUCGUCGUUGGUCCUUUUUUUUUACAUAACAUUCUCAGCCGCUCAAGAGUCAAGAGACUGACUAUCUCUCUCUUUACGCAAUUUCAAAAAUGAAGUAGCAGAGUGACUACUGAUUUUGGACGCGCUGAGUUAUUUAAGCAAAGCCUUUUUUGAUCUUGUUAUUCUAAAUUAUUUUAUUGUCUUUGCUCAACUUCGUCGAGCCUUGUACCCAGGUACACGGAACACUAACAGAAUCUCUGUUCAAACAAAAACGACAAGCAAACCCGAAAACUAAAGGGUCACCUUCUCUAGCAAGCAAGUAGACUUUUCUCUGAGCCCCAGGGUAGCAAAGCUAGCUCUUCGUAUCAUUGGCAUUGGGCAGGUGAACGGGAACCUGGCUACACAACUACUCUUACUCUAGCAGAGGAUCUAGUUCCACACCAAUCUGCUUAUCUUAUAUAAGAUAAAAUAGAUAAACUUAGCGUACCUACAACCGCUUGUGCCCUCUUGCUUUAGCUACUUACUCGGGAACUAGCUUCGCACCUCACCCCGGGAACUCAAGGGUGCGUAGCUUGCUUGUUGAAGGGGUGUUUCCGUUCCUCCGUUGUGGGAUAGUUUUUCCCUAGUUCGGUCCUAUAAGAAGAGUUCUCUAGAUAUCAACUCAUGGUACUCCCCGGGCCCCUAACAACAAAACUCAUAGGUUAGCUACAGCAGUUCUAGCAUCAGCUUCUCGAGGGCCUAAAAGAACCUCUUUCGUCAUUCGAAAGUGGCAUUUUAGCUCCUUUUCGUGAAACAGAUCGGAGAUCAGGUCUUAUCGAUUCAUACGAUUUUCAUACGUCUUUUUCCCACAUUAAUAAACCCCUUUUUUCUUUAACACGCUAGUGCCCAGAUCUUCUUCUUUUGUCUUUGAGCCUGCCUUUAGGUAGCGGCAUGGAAGUCCCCCUUCUUCUCAAGCAGGAAGCCCGCGUAUUCUUAUUCUAAUGUCCAUUGGAGCUUCUCUUUUCUUCCCGCUAUCUGGCUGUUCUAUUUAGACGUCUGUUCCCCAGUCUUACUUUCUCAUGCCCGCUUUCGCUUCACUCCUUUCUACUUCUGUUACAGUAGCUAUAGUUGUAAUGGCGGUUAUGCAGGUCCCCUUCUCAUUGAGUAGCCUAUACUCUGGAAUUGAAGUAGCGAAAUCGGCCUUAGCAUAGAACGUUUACCGCUUGCCUUACUAUUACUAAUAAUCGGGAAUCAGAACAGGCAACUAUGAGACUAAUUUAUCAUUGCCCCGAGCAAGUUACUGCGUACCUGAAGUGAGUGUGCCCAUCUUGGUCUCCUUUCUUUUUUCUUUGCAGCUGCCAUAAAAGUAAAGCCUUAGAUUCUAACAGGAAUCUCACCGCCUGCUCCCCUUAUAAUUAUAAGAUACUCGCUACUAAGGUUCUGAAAGAAGGCAGCUAAAUCAGCAAUAGAAGAGAACUCCAGAUCUAUGAAUAGCCAACAAAGAGCCUAGCUUUAUUACUGGAACUAAACAGCAAGCUGCUCCUACCUUACUUAUCGAGAAGGAGUACUUGGACUGAGUAGACUUCUUGUAGUUCUCUUUCCCCUAGCAACCUUUCCUGCUUUCCCGGUUGCAAGGUUUCGAGCUAACUACAGGAUUUGCUUCCUAGCUAAUAAUACUAAUUAGUAGUAUUGAACUUCGAACUAAAGAUUUUUUUUAGUUAACGGGCAGGUAAGGGCAAUGAAGGAAGCCGUUAGGCUUGAGACGAAACGGAUUCUAUGGAUUGAGUCUGGCAGUGAUGUUAGUUAAGUCCACUACCUGGGGCUUGUCUUGCUUGAGAACCCGUUUGGAACAAUCUGGAUUUUCCCCUUGUGAGUCACUCGAAUUCUUCUAUUUAUCAUUCUUUCAUGAAUAGAAAGAGAAAGAUCUCCGCUUCGUCUUUCUUCCAAGAAAAGAUCCCAAGCCAUUGAUAUUGGUCAUGCGUGGGCUUUCACUCAAUCUUUCACUAUGAUAUGAAAGGCAAGCAGGAAUUUCACCACUAAUGGGCCAGCGCUUGGCGCUUACUCUAGCCCGUGUUUCUAGGAUACACCUAUUAAUUAUAUAUAAUAGUUUCCCCGAUAUUCGUGGCUUUCCCCUUACUUAUUACUUAUAAGUAGAUCGGUUGAGAUAAGUAGAUUGGUUGAGGCCCGACCCUUUCCUUUGGGGUUGCCGACCUUGAUGCCAUAGUGUUUAGGGGGCUGAGCGGGAAACCAACACGUUGUGGAAACGGAAUAGAGCUUUUCCCUUGAUGGAUGUUAUCCAAUAAAAGCACACAAUCAGUGAGAUGAGCCUGCCAGCUCAGCCUUGGCCCUAUGCCUUUUGGCCAGCUUGACUUCUGACCGGUCGAUCCCGCCCCCUCUUGCAACGAUUCGGCGCCUCCACUUGAUGCUUGACGCCCACGCUUCGUUCAGGCAGCGCUCCUCGGAUAUGUCUUGCCAAUCGCCAGAGCGGUGCCACUUCCAGGAUUUGGUGCGGCCAGCUCGGGAACCUUCCCUGGAGUGAAAGGGUACAUGGAUCGGUUCCUCCACCAGAGGUCAGCUGAAGCGGAUUGGUCAAAAAGAAAUUUUCUGGCUUUGCCUCAUACCCGGUAUAACUACCAUUUUUACUUUGAUAUGCUUCUUACUUCCUUACAAAGUUGCAAGGAUCCCUUCUUGCAUUCCCUCCUUAUUCAAAAGGAAUUUAUUCGAAUAUCUAGUUGAUAAAUGUUCAUGAGCACGGGGUUGCCUUGCCUGAGACCUCUACUACUGCCGUGGAGGGUAAUUGAUAACAAUGGAAUAUUUUAGGUUAGUAAUGCAGACCCUUAUCCAUUCGAUCCACUUCUGAGGGAAUCACAUAGCCAGCAUGGCAGCUUCCCGGAAUCCCCAGUCAACACUGUCGAACGCUUUCCUCAGGUAAAUUUGCACACACAUCCUGGCUUUCCCUUGCGGAAGGUGGAAUUUUUUUAGCAUAUCGUGACAAAGCAAGAUGUUAUCCUGGAUGCAUCGCCUUUGUUGUUUAUACCUAGCAGGAGCAGCAAAGACGAAGGCUGAAGCAUCACUAGAGGUAUCUAUUGAGCUUUCUCCUCUUUUUGCAUUAGCCCAGUCACUUCCUUUAUGGAAUGGGUUCACCAGCACGCGGAGGUAAGUAGUUUACUGACUCAGUUCUUUUACUAAAAAAGGAGAAGGGAAGGGGGUGCUAUGAAUAGAAAUUUUGAAUUGCAUAUGCUCUCGAUCGACCUAGGCCUAAAAGGAAUCCGGCUACUCAAUCGCCAGAGAUAGAAAUAAAAGAUCUAAGCUUGCUUUAAUCAUUCGAAAGCGAUGCUCAUUCCAGGGUUUCAAGGCUUGGAAAUAGAUCUUAUUUAAGACAAAAAGAAGUGAGCAUAACCAUCUUCAAGCUCCACCCCGGGAUUUUAGGUGUGAACUCACUUUAGGGAAAUGAGGCUUAUAACCAAUCGAUUCUUCACCCACGUAAGCUCGCCCUGUCACCCUCGCUCUGGUUCGAGAAUCAUGUCACCCUCGCUUUCCGCUUCUGGAAGAUCAAUGACUAAUAGAUAAAGGGCUGUGGAACUAUAGACAAUAGGCGGUAACCUCUCUUGAUCCGCGAGUAGAGCACUUGAACUACUCAGAAAGAGCUGGUUGGCUCAAUUCAAAUAGAAAGAAAAAUAGACACCCAUCUUCUUGGCGAGCUAAUCAGGAGACAUACAAAACCAGCAAUCCAAGUUUUGAAGGGAGGCGGCUGCCUGCAGUCACUAAAGGAAGGGGCUUGGUGGUCUUAUUUUAUUAUCUAUAAAAGAUAGCAUCUCUUCCUGCUGUUCGAAUCAAAACGAUUAGGGACAACCGCUCGCUUCGAGGCAGGUUAAAAAGCAUAGGCCAUAGCUUCUACCUCUCCUGGAUCAUUAUGCUCAUCUGGAAGCGGUUUUUGCUAGGAUGAAUGCUACUUCUAUGUAUUUCCCAUCGCAUUUUCAUAAGGUUUCAUAUCCUUCUUUUUCAAUCUUUUAAUGAUGCUUGCCAAUUCUAAUCCAGGGGAGCACUUAGAUCGCAGAUUUUCGCAAAACGACCUCGCGUAGCCAGUUCAGGUAUAAAUUUGAAUAGGUUUACCAAAAGUUUUCCCUAUUUUGAGAAGAACUUCACUGUCGAAGUACUCAAUAGGGAGCUCAGGUAAACGGAUCCAAAGCGCAGUUUUAGUGACCGUUGCCAAGGAAGGCCUAAAAUCAGGGUGCUUCGAAAAGUGAGAUAAUGGUUUGCUAUCAUCCAAGGUCCCCCAGUAAGAGCUCUUUUGUAAUCCUCCCCAUCAGUUAAGGAUGGUCGUGGCCCAGGUCAAUGAAGUCAACUCCCCACUUGGUCUCCACAUUUUAAAAAUUUUCUCAUGGAUAAAUUUGUACUAAACUUUCUUACCCAGAACCUUAACUAUAAGAAAGAGACUUCCUCCAUGGUUGAAAAAUUCUCCUUUUCUUUUAGUUUCCCCAUUACCAUUAAUGUUGAUCACAAGGGGACAAUUCGAAGGGCCCUGGUUAUGGAUUUGCUGCUGCUGCUCAUCUUCUUCCUACUCGUCUGAUUUAAAGCCUUCAGACUCCGGUUCCGAGAUCUCAAGAUAGUAUGAGCCCUUGUGCUGUACCUGCAUGAGAACGAACAUCACGAAAGGACAGUGGUUGAUUACCGUCUUCCUUUGAUCGCUUCCAUGGUCCGGGACUCUUCCCAAGGUCCGGAGGUAGCUCACAAAGGUCGCCAUUAACUGUUUCAGUCGUCACAGAGGUCGCCAUUCCUUAGCCCCUCAUUGGUUGUUAGGCAUUUGUCACUUCUUCUAUUUCAUUUCCAUAGCGAUUCACUCAACAUAGAAAAGCAACUAGAGCAGAGCUCGUAUCCGGCCUAAAGCUCUUGAACUAUAGGAGGGGUCUAGCAUACUGAAACAUAAAUGUAGCUAUAAAGCCUUUUUGAGCAUCUUCCUUGCGAUCUCCUUAUCCUAUAUCAGAACACUUUUUCACUUUUUUUUGCUAUCACAAUAAAUUGCCAUAGAUCGAAAGUGAGUCCAGGCUUAGUGCUUCCGCCUAUCCGGCAGCCGUUACCAGCUGUUCACCACUCCUCCCUUCUAUGCUCCGUGGGUCUUUUGUUACCUAAUUCCCUUAAACACGGAAUUGCUCCUAGUCUUUACCCAAGAGAUGUCCCUGAGACUCAAUAAGAAAAUUGUCUCUUUGCUUAGCUUAAGCACAAGAUUCGACAGUUGUGAUUCCGUCUUGGAUUGAGCUUUCUCACUCUUUCUAUGCCUCUUCCUGAAGUGAACGAAUACAUCUCUUUCUGACGUGAAUGAACGCGAUUCUCUAAUAAGACCCAAUCUUAUUGAGUCAAGUAGAAGAUUCUUGUAGAAAUUUUUUUUGAUUGACUUACUCCAACAUCAAGGUGGAUUUAGCUUGGAUUAAUAGAGAUUAAUAGAACAGACGGGAACUAAACAGAUAGGAAUGCCCGACACAAUGCGGCUACUAGAAAAACGUAUAUUAGAUACACCAUUUCUUUGUCACGUGCAUAGCCCUGCUCCUUGUCUUUGAAAGUCCGUAGCAAUGGACACUAUAUAAUUCCUUGUCGCUCUCGUACGCACCAACCCUUGCCUUGUCUCUCGAACCCUUGCUUCUCUCUUGUGCUCCCUAGAGCUAAGUAAGCAAUUCUCUCUCCUCUCUAGCCGUGGCCGCUAGGAAUUGCUUUCGCUCUUCUCUCUCUGGGGUGCUGGUGGUCGAUAGUUGUAUGUAAUGUUGAGGAAAGAGAUUCGGAUGAAAGAGGUACGACGGGAUAUUCCUCCCCGGUUCGGAACUAAACGUUGAGCGGCGGAUCAAGUAAAAGCUGGCAAUCCUCCACCUAACAACUCCUCCUUUACAGUAUCAGCUGUUAAUAAGCUCUAAUAGACAACCAACCCCAUCUAUUCUUGAUAAACCGGGGCACCUUUCCUAUGUGUCAGUGCCAUUUUUCUCUAAGGCUUAAAGUGAAUCUGUCAUAGCUUGUUGCCAGCAGAGCUGGCCCACGGCUUCCGAAAAGGUUUGAGGUUCCCGCAUGAACACUGGCAAGAAAGGCACGAUCUUUGGGAGAAAACGAGUUAUAGGAUCCAUAGGAUUUUUCAUGCGAGAAGACCUACGUACCUCAGUAGAGGGUAGAUAGGAUCUGGAGACAAGGAAGAUGAUGUAGAGGUAGUAGGUUGGCCAGCCUGAUCCAUCUCAGAUGCCUUGCACUUUUUUAGCGCCUAGUGUAAACCGGAGUGGCAGGUCGGCUAGAAGGAGACGGCUCCUCAGUGGGACCAGAUGAAGAAAGCUCCCCUUACUAGUAAAGGGGGUCCGAGGUUCAGGAUAUGAAAUAAAGCAACUUGACGUAACAGAAAAAAGCGUAAACCGAGUUGAAUCAUAAAAUCAAGUUUCAUCCCCAACUGAGGAAAUGUAAUUGUUAAGGUCGGUAACCUGUGGCUACCUCAGGACUAUCUGACUACACUACUUGCGUUAAGGCGCUGAAGCCGGAGUUUUCUUGGUAGGGGUUAGCUUAUUCCCAGACGAACCAGCCCAGUAAGAGAGAUUCCCCCAGACACCAAUACCUGCGGGAACUAGUAGCCACACUACGGCGUAUGAGAAAUUCCCUGACGGCUUCCCUUAACCGUAGGCCACAGUUGCUUCCUUCGCUCUUGAAUCUAAAACCAUAUCUGGUUUCGCCUCCCCUUGGAGCGACCCUUCCGAAACAGCAUUCUAGCAACUUCGUUUUCAUCCAGCGUUCUCACCAACCAGUGAGCCGUCACAGAGUCUCCCGCUAACUCAUGCCAAACCCUUAUGAAGGUAUCCGACUUUUUCCAAUUCUUUGUGACUUCAUCAGUCUAGCAAUAGCAGCAUGCCAGUAUUUUGCCCUAACUACGAAGCUUGAGUCAUGUCUUCGCCCGUGAACGCAACAGGACGCGGUCGUCUAACUCGACUUCCGCAGCGAGUCUCAUUGCAGCUCUCUCCUGCAGUAGUGAAUUUUUUUUUAUUUUACUUCAAAGAUUUUUUUUCUCACAAGAUGCUUGUUUUGCAGAGGGGUGAAAGUUUUGAAGAAAUAGAAGAAGAAAGAAAGAGUAGUAGCCAUGAUCGAUUUCCUCUGCGCAGGAGCUUGGGAUUUGAGAGUAAGCAUGACUCUGAGAAGAUCUCUGAUUGUGAUCAAUUGGGUCUCACUCAAAUCUUGGUAAUAACGAAUGACUUGCUUGAUUUCUCUGCAUCGGCUCGUGAAAUCUUGGAUGAUCUUAUCAAGUUCAAUUGAACUAAGAAUGUCGAUUGCUCUGUCGUAAUAGUUUGUGGUCACUCCAAAGCUUCCAUGGCGGAAUCAGUACCCCCCUCCACUGAACUACGGAUGCCUGUACGCAACCCCAUGAAGCAACCGAAGAUCCAUUGAUCGCUUUUUCGACACCCGUAAUUUUCCUGUAAAAGAAAGAAAAUCCCGGAAACUCAGAUUCUUCAUUGUUGAAAAAUCUUAUAAAAAUAAGUAAUUUAGGAAUUUUCAUUACUGGGAACACGUCGCUAGCCUAAGGCGGGCUUCGCUAUCCUCCCGAAGCUGGUAUUUUCCAAUGUAAUGGUUUUUGACCACUCACUUAUAUGAGUACAAGGGGCUUGACUAUAUUUUUUUUACUUUAUGUAAUUAAGUUUAGCUGGAGGGUCCAUCUAGCCACCCUAAUUAACCCGGUUGAGGAUAACACAUUAUUAAAUCCGAAUGAUGAUUUCAUAAUCAAUCAUAGAGGUGUGAAAUGGCGUCUUUUCAGAAGUCAGAUAGCCCUUGAAGGUGUUAGCGCACACCCUUUUUCUAUCAUAUAAAUUUAGCUCCGAAGGCAACCCGUCGCGUCCUCGUCACGGCGUUAGCAGCCAUUGACGAUUAUUGAAGACUAAGCUAGUUGGCCUAGAAUGGAGCGCAUACUACUUCUUUGAAAUCGCGAACAUCUUACUCUUACCUUUCUUCUUAGUCUGAUCCGGGAGUGUUGGACAUGAGGUACAAUGAAAUCGACAAUCUUGUGGUUCCUCAAGGUAAACAAUUAAAAUAUUAUUCAAUUACAUUAUUUUAAUUCAUUUGAUUAGGGAAGGCCAAAAAGGUCCAAAAUAAUAAUAAUAAUAAUAAAGAAACAAAUAAUUUGUAUUAUUUAAAAAACAGAAUGUAAUAAAGAUUUGAUUCCAGUUCUUUAAUCUUUAAAGCGAUUGAAAAACAAUGUUGGACUUUUCCCAAAGCAUAAAAUACGAAUUGAAUGCCAAUUAACUUAAUCAUUCAUUUCGUUUAGCUCUAAAUUUAGACAAUGAAUUUUUAUAUUAUUUCAAAAACAGGACGUAAUAGAAUUUUUUUUAAAAACAGAUUGUAAUAAAGAUUUUAUUCCAAUUCUUUAAUCUUUACUGCGAUUGAAAAACGAUACUACUUCCCAAAGCAUAAAAUACGAAUUGACUCCCAAUUAAAUUAAUCAUUUAUUUUGUUUAGGUCUAAAUUUUAGAGGAAUGAAUUUUGAUUCUCUUCAAUCUUUUCUUAAUUAUUAUUAAUAAACAGGUUACAGAGGUUUGAGGAAGCUGAAAAGCCUUGAUCUAUCGGGAGUUGAAAUUAGAGAUGGAAGCAAGUUGUUACAGUCAAUGGGAUCAUUCCCAUCCCUCAACACUCUUUACCUGAAGGAUAAUAAUUUUACCGAUAUAGCGACAACUACUACUCAAGGUAAGUAAAAGGUACAGAUGUGGCCAAAUUUAUAAAUAAAUUGUUAAUUAAUUAAUUUUUCCAUAUUAUUAAUUAAGCUAAAUUUGCUAAAUAUAAACAAACAGAGUUGGACAAUUUCACCAACAUGGAAUAUUUGAGAUUGGACUUUUCCUCUCUCCAUAUAAGCCUUCUGCAAAGCAUUGCAUCAUUAUUCCCUUCGUUAAAAAAUCUGUCGAUGUCUUUCUGUGAAGUCAAUGGUGUCGUACGCGGUCAAGGUAAAAGAAAAGUGUUGAUUGUGAACUCACUCACUGGUGUCCUAUGUGUUCAACAUUUUUAUUUAUUUAUUUUAUUGUUUAAUGUUUCUGCUAGGUUUUCCUUAUUUCAAGAGUUUGGAACAUUUUGACAUGGAUGACACGCCCAUUGCACUCAACACCAGUUUUCUUCAAAUCAUUGGUGUAUCGAUGCCUUCUCUUAAGUACUUAUCACUGUCAGAUUCUACUCUUGGCACUAACAGCAGCAGGAUUCUUGAUCAAGGUUAAUCAGAUGCUCCCACCCUCCCUUCUUAAUCUAUAAUAUUAAUUUUCAAUUAAAUAUUUAAUUACACAAACGAAUCACUUAUUAUAAAAGAAUAAUACUCAUUCAUUAAUUUUUAUAUUGUAUUAAUAAUUGAUGAAUUUAAUAAAUUUUUAGGCCUCUGUUCGUUGAUGCAUCUGCAAGAGUUGUACAUUUAUAAUAAUGAUUUGAGAGGCAGCUUGCCUUGGUGCUUGGCAAAUAUGACAUCCCUCCGAAUAUUAGAUGUUUCUUCCAAUCAACUUACUGGAAGCAUCUCCUCAUCUCCCCUCGUUCAUUUGACAUCCAUUGAAGAGUUGUAUCUUUCAAACAAUCACUUCCAGAUCCCAAUUUCACUUGAACCACUUUUCAAUCAUUCAAGACUCAAGAUUUUUUAUGCUGACAACAACGAACUAAAUGCAGAAAUAACUCAGUCACAUUCUUUGACCGCCCCAAACUUCCAAUUAUCACAUCUCUCAUUGUCUUCCGGUUAUGAAGAUGGCGUCACAUUCCCCAAAUUCCUUGACCAUCAACAUGACCUGGAGUAUGUUGAUCUCUCACACAUAAAGAUGAAUGGAGAAUUUCCAACUUGGUUGUUGGAAAACAACACAAAGUUGAGACAACUUUCUCUCGUCAAUGAUUCUCUUGCAGGACCUUUUCGGUUGCCAAUUCAUUCACACAAAUGGUUAAGAAUGUUGGAUAUAUCCAACAACAACUUCCGAGGCCACAUUCCAGUAGAAAUUGGAGAUGUUUUACCAAGUUUAUACGUUUUCAACAAUUCCAUGAAUGCUUUAGAUGGUAGCAUUCCCUCUUCAUUUGGUAAUAUGAAAUUCCUCCAAAUUCUGGACUUAUCCAACAAUCACUUGACUGGUGAAAUCCCCGAGCACUUGGCCGUCGGUUGCGUCAACUUGAAGUCUAUUGCAUUGUCAAAUAACAACCUACAAGGUCACAUGUUCUCUAGAAAUUUUAACUUGACAAACUUGAAAUGGUUACAAUUGGAGGGCAAUCGCUUCGUAGGUGAGAUCCCACAAAGUUUGUCUAAAUGCUCCUCACUAGAAGGAUUGUAUCUUAAUAAUAAUAGUCUUUCGGGUAAGAUUCCACGAUGGUUGGGUAAUCUCACAUGGUUACAACAUAUUAUAAUGCCCAAUAAUCAUCUUGAAGGCCCUAUUCCAGUGGAGUUUUGUCAGCUUGAUUGGCUUCAGAUUUUGGACAUUUCAGACAACAACAUAUCUGGAAGUUUACCAUCUUGUUUCCAUCCUCUCUAUAUCAAACAAGUUCAUCUUUCAAAAAAUAUGUUACAUGGACAGCUAAAAAGAGGUACAUUCUUUAAUUGCUCUUCCCUUGUGACAUUAGAUCUUAGCUAUAACCGCUUGAAUGGCAGCAUUCCAGAUUGGGUUGAUGGGCUUUCUCAGUUAAGCCACCUUAUCUUAGGUCACAAUAAUCUUAAAGGUGAAGUGCCAGUUCAAUUGUGCGAAUUGAACCAACUACAAUUGUUAGAUCUUUCUAAUAAUAAUCUUCACGGUCCUAUUCCUCCUUGCUUUGAUAACACCACACUUCAUGAAAGUUACAGCAAUAGUUCUAGUCUUGAUGAGCAAUUUGAAAUAUCUUUUUCCAUCAACGGCCCUCAGGGAGGUGUAGAAAAGCAAAUCCGUGAAAAUUUUGAGUUCACAACAAAGAACAUUGCGUACAUUUACCAAGGAAAAGUGCUUAGUCUCCUAUCAGGACUUGAUCUUUCUUGCAACAAGCUAAUUGGUCAUAUUCCCCCUCAAAUUGGAAAUUUGACAAGGAUUCAAACAUUGAAUCUAUCACACAACAACUUGACAGGAUUGAUCCCAUCAACAUUUUCAAACUUGAAGCAAAUCGAAAGUUUGGAUCUUUCCUACAACAAAUUGAAUGGGAAAAUCCCUCAUCAACUUGUGGAGUUAAAGGAAUUAGCUGUUUUCAGUGUGGCAUACAAUAACUUAUCAGGCGAAAUUCCAGAAUGGAAAGCACAAUUUGCAACCUUCAACGAGAAUAGUUAUGAGGGAAAUACUUUUCUUUGUGGACUGCCAUUGCCCAUUUGCAGAUCACGAGCAACUAUGUCGGAGGCGUCAAUCGGCAAUGAACGAGAUGAUAAUUUAAUUGACACGGACAGUUUCUUUAUCACAUUUACAACAUCGUACGUAAUAGUGAUAUUUGGAAUUGUUAUUGUUUUAUAUGUAAAUUCUUAUUGGCGACGUAGAUGGUUUUACUUUGUUGAAAUGUGGAUAACUUCAUGUUAUUAUUUUGUUGUAGACAAUCUUAUUCCAACAAGAUUUUGUCAUUGAAAUUAAUUAGUAGCUUAAUUACGAUUCUUUAAGUACUAAUCAAGUUUGGUUAGGAAAUAAAUUUAUUUUUAUUUUUUAUUAAAAUUGUAGUAGUAUUUAGCGUUAUAUAGCUUCCAACUUCCAAGCACUUCACAUUUGUCUCCACACUUCCAAACCCAUAUCUAUCCACCAUAACUUAUACUUCCCUAUACUGUGCAGCAUACUUAAAUAAGAGAACCAUCUCCAAUUUUAAAAGCAGCCACUCUAUAACAUUCAUUUAGAAACUAUAUUCAGAAUAGUUUUAUAAUCAUACACAAGAAAUGAAACACCUAGAUGCACUUGAUCGCCUAUUUUACUUUAAAAAAUAAUGAUUAUGGUGCUAUCAUCAUCUUCUUCGCUAGCAACAUUAACACCAAAUCCAGCGAUGGACCCAGACAUUUUAUCAAGAAAGGUAUAUAUAUAAUAAAGUUGAAGCUUGACAAAAAAUUUAGGAAGAUUAAUGCCUCGCCACAACAAGGGGCAGCACAACAUCAAAGUAGAGAUGAAGCAAUAUUCUCAAAGCUAAAACUCUCAAAUCCACCCACCAGAAUUUCAUAUCUCCUCAACAAUUUUAAGAACUAAAGAUAAUUAGGAUCUAACAUUAGUUUUUUAUAUAUUAGUUUCAUAAUUUACAAAUCAAUGAAGAUGAAGAUUAUGCUAAUGAAUUCAAAUUAUACCAUACAUUCUCGAGAUGUUACCAAAAAUUUCUAAGUCAAUCCCACAUAUUUCAUAAUUUUAAGACUAGAAAAUUUCAUUAGUUAGAAGUUUCAUUACCUUCAAGUGGAAGAUGAAGAACAUUAUACAAUUGAUUCAGAUUAUAUCAUACACACUCCAAAUGCAACUAGAAAUUAACAAGUUCAUGCGCACAGAUUUCAUAACAUUAUGAAUGGAAAGUUUCACAAAGAGAAAUUCUAAAUUCAAUCUCUUGCAUCGAGGUAGUUUGAUUGAUUUGAGUUACUUUCUGAUCAAGCUAUUAAUAUAACAUUCAAGUCAGGGAGAAAGUAAAUUAAAACUGGGAAGAAAUAACAGUAAAAAUUUGUUGCUAAACAUGAUGUGUAUUUUUUUUUUAAGGCAAUUUGGAAACACAGUUGUUACUACAGAUAUUCUCCUCAACUUAGAGAUAAAUACAAAUAUUAAAAUGCAUAUGAUCGCACAUAGUACUUGGAGCUUAGUAAGAUUUCAUUAAGAGAAGCAAUCAAACCACUUAUCAAUUGUUGCAAUCGUUCUAUAAGCUAAAAUAGCAAUAUAAUACAAGAAAAAGAACAUAUAGAUACUUGGCAAGAGUUCAUUAAGAAGUCGCAUCACAUUCGGGUGAGGAGUUUGCUUCUGAUAUCUUGCUAGCUGGGGCUUUUUCUUGUCUUUCUACGUAUGCCGAGGGAAACCAACCAGCUUGGCCCUUGCAUUCACCUUCCGACCAUCCAAUAGGAGCCACCUUGAGAAGUUAUAACUAAAACGGUGAAUUAAACAAAAGUUGACCGUUCAAAGACCUAAGGGGAAAACUAAUUCUUUUACGUAGGAGGAGUGAAUUAGUUGUGAUCACUGAAAUAACAGCUUAACUAUGGAAGCAUAACAAGAUAUAAAUUCACACGUCUAUAAGGGUAAACUGGGUGGUUUAGAACUGAGCUAGCAACCCUACUAUAUUCUGAUUUGCACUUCAAUGUAAAAGGGAAUAUAUGGUAGGAAGAAAGAAAACCAACCAUCAUUUGUUAACUCAUUGCUUUUCAAUCAAAAUUUUAAGAACCAAAUGCCAUGUGCUUUGAACAUCAAAUAAGUAUAAGCAUUAGUUCUAAAUUCCACAUAUCAUAAGUUAGAAGGAUAAGUUAAUAGCAUAGUAGAAAAAUCUGUGUUGUUAUUUAGAGGGGAAAGUACCUGGCGAACCACAACAUAAUCAUCAAUUGAAAGACUUAGCUCUCCAUUUGCUUGUGCAUCAAAUGGAUGCAUAACCUGCAAGAUAAUGGGAUAAAUAGAACUUAAUCUUAAAAAAAGCAUAACAAAAGCAGCAACAGUACCAGCAACGUUCAUUGUAACCACUAUGAUCAUGGCCAACAAAGAUAUAUUAGAAACAAAAUUCCAUUUUUACUAUGAUAUCAUGACGAUUGGGUUACCAAGAGCUAUCAAAGUCCAAUAAGUUCUGUAUAACUUUAUGUAGUUAUUCAAAUUAUGUAUCAGAUUUUAAAUCUGAAAUUUUGACUGCUCUCCACAAAACAUGGCCUAUGCACAAGAAAUUCAUAGAUAAUGAGGAUUGCAAGUGUCUGACAUCUUUUGAGUGAUGGAUUUAACAUGAGAGCUUAUGGUCAGUCAAUUUCCUCUGCCUAGCAAUAUAAGCUUUCUCGGCCAAAUUUAUCAUCAAAUACAUAGAUUGCCCCAAGUCAAAUCCAUAUAAACAUAGUUUUUCUAGGUAAACCAAGCAAGGAGAAUCAUAAUUCAGACAUAAUCAUAAAAAGGCCCAUCUAACUUAAGAGAAAAUCUCAAAAAGAGGGAUGUUGAGCUAUCAGUCUUGUAUCCAUAAGGAAUGUCAAGACUUUACAUCACCUGCUACAUCGUGAGUGGCUACACAACUUUCAGUGGUUUGUCUUUCUUUGGCAUGCCUAACUCAGCUUUGAUGUUGCUGAGAUAUUGAUAGUAGAGACACAUGAGACUUCUAGCUCAUGCAUUCUAUCUAGCUCAUCCGACAGCUAUCUCUUUUUUAAUUCAUUAGUGUUUGCUAAGCCACAUGCUUAAAAGUCCUGUUGUUCUAAACAAAGUUUCCUAAGAAUGACUUCCUCAGCACCACAUUUGGACAUUUUUAGAGCAAUUUUAUUUGGGGGAAAAGAAUUUUCAAGGUGUUAACUAAUAAAUUUUAAAAAAUAAUUACAAUUUGUCCUACGAUUAUAUGACAAUUUAUCUGGGAUGAAAGGAUAUAGACAGACAUCUUCCACUUUCAAGACUAAUCACUACUUCCGUAGAUGUUUUGCAAUAAUACAAAUACUUGACCAGAUGGUAGUGAUGGUAGAAAAAAAUUUUAUUGCUCCAAAAUUAAAAUAAGAAUGCAAUGUGUUAAGCAAAAGACUAUGCAACAUCAAAUUAAUUGAUAAGUUUGUAAUUCAGUAAAUUAACAACUUUCAUGGUAAAAUACAACAAAUUUCUUUUCAAAAAAAAAAAAUCUUAAAAGACAGCAUUCAAUUUUGUGCGCAUCUUAUUUCUUAAGAUUUUCUAGGAGGGCAAUAGAGGGACUUUCACCUAUGCAAGAGAGCAGAAGCCUUACUUUCGCUAUAAAGUAGACGUCAUUCUGAUUAAUAUGCGUUUGCAAAUCAGCUCCAUUUGAAUCAGUAUUCUGAUAGACACAUGAGGCAUUUACAUCCAUUUCCAAAGUCACAUGUUGCGAGGAGGACUCAUUUGAUUGCUCCUCUAGGAUCAUCUAAUUCAAGUAGCAAGGGUUGGAAGAGAAUAAAAAGUCACAAUUAUUCUUUUGCAUAAGUGAGACGAAAAUGAUAUAUGCAAUAUUAUCAGCAGUAAACAAGAAGAGAACACUCCAAGGAAUAGAUAGAUGCGGACAAGCAAGUUAAAAUGCACAGUUCCAAACCUCCGCAUACAACUUCUCUGAAAUAGCAAUAACGUGUUGAUGAUAUGUUUUCUCGGCAUCUACCUGCAAAGGCCCGAGACCAGGAAAACAACAAUAAAACCACUAGCUAAAGGAGAAAGUAAAGAAAGAAAUACACUUGACAUAAAUCUUGACAAGAAGCACAAUUUAAGACAUAACAAACCCCAAUCAUAUUGUUUAGAACUACCAUUCGUUAUUUCGUUAUUGUAGCAUUUCGAACAAGUGUUGACUUAAUUCAACAUUGUUGGAAAGAUAGGCUUUUAGAAGCGGAAGAAAGCCACUCAAACCAAAGUGAUUCUUAGGAUGAGUUUUAAUCACUCCCCUGAUUUAUUUGGGUUGCAGUAAAACUAAGCGAGCAACUGUUUGACUUUCAAGCAACAUCUAAAUCAGCUAUUAAAAUUCAAAUAAAAUUAUAAUUGAAUAAUAACUGGCCAUCUUGCAUCAAAAAUUAAGUUUAAUUUGUGAUUUUUUUUCUAUAGACAUGUUAGUUCCUGCUAUUGAAAUGUUAAAAGCAUUGAAAAAUUAUUCAAUAAAUUAUGCAAACAUUAAAAUAGAGGACAUAUUAAAAAGUUUCUAAUUACAAUGUUAAGAUUUCCUAUAUUUUAGCAUUUGCAUAUUUUAAUUUAUUUAAAAGCUACGUCGAUCAACUUUGGGAGUGAAGAUUUUAGCUUCUACGAGACUUGAUUGGAAUAUGCAUAAGGAAGAGUGUUAAAAUAUGAUGCAUCCAACGAAAGACAAACCACGUGUAGUCUUUUAAUUAAGCCAAAGUAGCAGCUCAAACAAAUGACACUUGGACCAACAUGCAAUCAUGAAGUGGCCGGAAAAAGGACAAAUGCAACUUUGGCUUAAAUAAAAAAUAACAUGUGACUUGACUUUUGCCGGACAUGCAUCAUGUUAUUACAAGACAACAGAAAUCAGUAUGAUAGUACUAAAAGUUGACAAUAACAUGAAGAUAAGAGGCAGAAUGUCAACACAUGCAUAGGCACACACAAGAAAGUAUUAACUUAUAUACCAUAGCAAAAAGUCUUUGAUAUGCAUCUGUUGCUGCAGUGAUUCAACUGACAGCAUGGCAGCUGUUCCUUCUCUACCAAGAGCCAUUAUUGUAGAUUUAAGCUCGGUCAAUCUUGCUUCUGCAUUUCGAAGCUUCACAGCACUCUCUGCUGAUAUAUCAGAUUCCUUAAUCUUUGAUCGGCGCCUAAAUACUUCAGCUGCCUGGUGAAAAUAUUCAAUAUAAAUCUAACAUAAUUCUAAUCUUGCCUUAUACAUGCAUAUGUUAACUCAAAGCUUACCUGGGCUUCAACUUCAUGUCGAAGCUUGUCAUAACGAUGAGUCAGGUGUCGAGCAUCUUCCAAAGGUGCUCCGUUGAUUAACGCCCGUAGUGGCUCAGAUACCUACAUGUCCAAAAACCUGUAACAUAGUUAGAAAAAUGAAAAGAAAGAGCGAAACCUCAAUUAAAAAGUUCCUCCAACAUAAUCAUGGAAUUUGGGCCUACUUCAAGGAUAUAUAUAAGGAUAAUUUAUGCAAUUUUGGGUCUUAGGAUGAUUCAUAUUAGGUUAGUGUUCUUCUCUUCUGUAUUUAAGGUUAAAAUAGAAAUAAACCUAUGAAAAUAUCUAAAUUAGGGCUGUAAGACUUCCACAUGCAUCCUUCAGUCUCAUGGAUUUGAUUUUACUAUAGAUGCAAGUGUCUUUAUUGAAAAUGCUUGGAGUCAAUUGAGAGAACUCACGGCCAAUAACUUGUCACACGCUAGUCUUUGCUAGUGAUGUAAGAAGUCACAAGGUCUCUUCAGCAUUUGAACCAAUAAAAUUAUUAAGUCAUGGAUGUCACUAGCAAUGAUUUUAAUAUAAAACAUUAAAUAUUUCAGAGUUGUAACUUUAAAAUGGAUUCUUUUAUUCAAUAUCUUAGAACUAAGUUUCCUUAUGAGAAGAUAAUAGUUUCAGUAGUAAUUUACAUAUAAUUUUCUAUAUUUGAAUUAUUUUCUAGUUAGGGAUGAACUAACCUGAUCACGAAGAAUCCCAAGCAAAGUUUCCCUCUCAUUUUCCAUCAAAUCAUGUGAAGUGCCAAAUUGAAGAGCAGCUCUUGCAACGCAAGAAUUGUCACUUUGAUUCUCCGCUCCAUACUUGCAACAAUCUUCGGCCAACUUUCUCGCUACAAUAUUUGAAUACAAAAAUAUUGUACACAAGAACUAGUCAAGAAAAUUAAAAAAAAAAUCAAAUAUUAAAACGAGAGCAAGAGCAAACAAACAACCUAUUUCCAUUUGUUUCAAGUUUACUGCAACAAACACUUCAACGCCACGGACAACAUUCCAUUUGUUUUAUUCUUCUUAUACUUUACGCUUGCAUCAGCCUCAAUCACUUCUUAAUCGCUUGCUUUAACUGCAUCGCUCUCUCUGUGCUCUUCUAUAUAUGUAACGGUUAUGCGGUUGUAGUUCACGGCUGAGGCUACGUGUGGGUUUGACGUGGCAGUUACGUUACAAGGGGAUAAAUAAGAUUGGUUACAACAAACCCACUAAUUUUAUAAAAUUCGAGUAAUAUAGAAUAAAAUAAAAAAAUAAAUACAAAAUUGGCUUUUAUUUUGUAUGGUUGACUGUAUUUUGUGUUCUCUUCCGGCACUACUACAAUUGUUCCCUAUAUAUUAGUCACACCCAUAUAUCAUUAACACAAGAAAUGAAAUCUAAUGUCACCUACUUAGUUAAAGAAUCACUCAUGAAAAAUUUUUACCAUUUUGAUUUGAGGAUCCAUAUUUUGAACUGCAAGCUAAUGUUCAUCAAGAAUCACUGAUGUUCAUAAAAAUCAGAGUAUGGCCGUUGAGUAGAAAAAUUAUUUUUGGACAAAUUAUUUUUGUUGAUAGAAUCUGCCACUUUCUCAUGAAGAAAGGCAUGCGGAGCAUACCAUGGUACCAUACGGAGAAUGUUAGAACCACCCUAGAAUAUCUUUACCCUGAUGUUUCUAACAAAAAUCUGCAUGUGGCAGCAAUUACUAGAUCUACAAUUUCCCAAAUAAUAUUUUGUGUUUCUUAAAAAAAAUUGAAAUACAUAGUUGCAAUUGCACACCGUGAGACAGUGCUACAAUCUACUGAGAUCUAAAUUAUAUGAGACUUUAAGCUACUAAUGUUUGCAUAUUUCUACAUGUCAAAUUAACAUUACCAUCUAUAAUCCGAAACGACAGAUGAUAAACGGCUUUUGGCCACUUAUUACUAGCAUCCACAAUUAAUUUUUGUUCAGCAAUCAGCUUAUUUUAUAGAAAUUGAUUUAGUCAGCAACAAACACUAUAAUACUUGAAAUUAGUUCUUGUUCUUUGUAAUUUUCUAUGAUUUUUCAUAUAUCAAUUAAUCUGCAGUGCCAAGAUGAGGUUUAGUUUUCAAACUAAAUAAUCAAGUAAGCAAAAAUACAAAUUCAGAGAUUAGCGGGGUAAACUAGCUGGGUGGUUUAGAACUGGGCUAGCUACCUCCCUGUAUUCCUAUUUGUAAGGUGAAUUAAUUGAAUCAUGAGAAAACAAUGUGACCAUAGCUCAAUAUGAGAUGAUUUCGGAGAGGCAUAUUGUUUUCGAGUGAAUUUGAUCCAUUAAGAGAUGAAGUGGAUUGAAGUGGAAAGUUUAAAUAACAAAUCCUUGUUCUUGAGUUUUACGACGUCGUUACUCCUUCAGGUGGCAGAUUAUGCAAGUGAAUUCAAAAACACAAUGCAUCAAUCACGGGGACAAAAGACGGGAUCACAGUCUAUGCAUUGAACAGUUACAGUUGCUGCUACCAAUUGUUCGGCAAAGAUCAAGAAGACUGAACGGGAAGCUAAUGCCAUCAAUGUCGUCUUCACUAUAUCUGCUGGGAAUGUAGGUGAACUUUCCUCAUUUGCAGCUGUCUAUACAUAGGCUUUUCCCCAGCUUAAGUACAAAUAAAUGAAGCUGCCUUGAAGGCUUUAUUAUUGACCCCAAUAAGGAUUACUAAUUGAAGAAGACUAUACGGAGUUAAUCUCACAUUUUAGUUCUCUCAAUUUCUUUCAGAAGUGCCUCUGAAAAUAGCUGCCAAACCGUUAGUCAGCUUGUAUACUCUGUUUUCUGGAAACAGAGUAGCAUAUUUAAUCGUUUUAAUUGAAUUGUCUUCGUAGCGAUCAUCAACAAACUCAUCAUAAGAUUUUUGAAGCACCCAAGGACUAUCACUGGGUUUCUCUUCUGGUUGAUUUAUUAAUUAAUCAAAGAACGGUUGGAUGAAGUGCAAUGAUGGAGCAAAAUUUACAAUGUCUCCGGUUUCUCCUGACCAUCGGACUUUUGCAGUGAGAACAUAUAACAAAAAGACCUUCAUCAAAAUUUGUAGACUCCGGGUAUGGAUUGGAUCGAGUUUUUUGUUUGAUAUUGAAGAACCACUUUACUAUCGCGAUAUAGAUUAUGUGCAAGGGGUUGUCUACUGUUCUUUGCCUUGUGCUAUGAUCGGUGCUUUUGACGUUGCCCCGAAACAGUGGAAAAUACUUCGAUUUCCUCCGUUUGAUGAUGCAAAGAACUGGUUAAUGUACGAUUACCUAAUUGACUCAGGAUCAAGUAACAACAACAAUUUAUUAAUAGUAGUAUCACAAACGAAGAAGAUUUCGGAGAGGGUGAUGUAUGCCUAUACCGUUUACAGGUUUGAUCCACAGGGGAUGAAGUGGUCUCAAGUGGAAAGUGAUUUAUUAAACAACAAAUCAUUGUUCUUGGGUCAUACCUCAUGAUGUCAUCAAGUGGAAGAUGAAGAUUAUGCAAGACGAAGAUCGUUUGAUAUUGAAGAAUUUGAACAGAAAGCCCAUAGAAAGUACUUAAAUAAGCAUAUUCUUGUUGGGGUAGAAUAUUAAGAAAGGAGUUGUCUACUGUGUGUUGCGUGAUUAGGCUAUGAUCUGUGCUUUGAACAUUGCCCUCAAAACAGUGGAAAAUACUUCAUAUCCUCGACAUGAUGAUGAAAAAUUGGUUACCGAUUACCUAAUUGACUCAGUGACAACAAUCUAUUAAUAGCACAAUUUGGCGUGAUGCCGUUUAGGUAUAUGGUUUUCAAGUUUGAUUCAUCAGUGAUGAAGUGGACUAAAAUAAGAUGUUUAAAUGAUAAGUCAUUGUUCUUGGGCAUAUCGUCAUUACUACUUCUAGUGAUCAAAGAUGAAGAUGAAGAUGAAGAUGAAGAUGAAAAUUGUGCGAGUUCAAGAUUACCAUCAACUCAAUUUUAUGAUUGGAGUGUCUCACCGUGACUCAGACAAAUUCUGAUUCAACCUCCUUCACCAAUGGAUUUUGAUUAGUUAUUUUGUGAUCAAGCAACUUAAUUAAACUCACAGUUUGUUAGUCUAAUUUUAGUUUUACUGUGACCACUAUUCAAGGUAAGCGAAAGUUACAGAUGUGGCAAAAUCAAUAAUUAAAUUCAUAAAAUGUUAAAAAAUAAAACUUAUAAAUUUUGCAUGACUACUUACUAAUAAAUAAAUAAGUUAGAAUGUAGUUAGUUAAUUUUACACCAUAUUAUAUAUUAUUCGAUAAUAAUAUAAAAUAAAAAGAAUUAAAAAAUAAAUAAUUGAAUAAACAAAUAUGACUUUCUAAACAGUAAAAAUUCUAGAGUUAAAAUUUAUAUUAUUAUUUUAUUUUUUAAAAUUGACAUAUUUCUAUUAUCUUACAUGUACACAGAUUUUGAGAGUUGAGAAGAAUAUAUUUAAUGAAGCUUGCUAACAUUUGGUGGGAUAGCAAGUAAGGGUAAAUAAGAUUUUUUUGUUAUUUAUUUGAAUUAUAUCUAUUUUGUUCAAGUUAAAAUACUAAAUAUAAAUUGGAGGUAGACAUUUUAACAGAUCAUCUAAGCUCUCAAAUCUGAAAUUUUGUGUAGAUUUAAAUUCAUAAUUUUAGUUAAUUUUCAUACAUUCAUAUAAACAAAUUUAUGAGAUUUUUCUUUUCAGCAUGUUAUAUUUUGAAACUUUCAAUGUAUUAUUCUAGCUUUAUUUAAAUAAUUAAUUUAUUUAAAAUUUAUUUAAUUUUGAAUUUGAUCAAUAGUAAAAUUAUUUUUAUAUCAAAUUUUUUUAUUUAAAUAGUUCGUGGAUUGGACAAAAUUAAAAAUUUUUAAUCCACAAAAUGGUGGAUUAGAUAUGAAUUGGGUUAAAUACACAUUCGAUCCGCAGUCGUAUGAAUUUGAUUUGGAUUGAAUUUCAUCAAUCCAUGGAUUAGAUUGGAUUGAAAAAUUUAUUAUCCGCAAAAUCGUGGAUCGAAUAUGGACUGAUGUCCAAUCAGCAAAAUCCAAUCCCCGAACACUCCUCUAUCAAAAUUUUCAAGAAUAUUUUUUAUCUUACAAAUUUUUUUUAAAGUCAUAGUCUAAGGGCGGCCCAAUUUCUACUCCAUCCAUAUAAGCGGAGUUCAAAUCUCAUACCUCUUAUCUCCACACAAGAGAUUUAACCAAUUGAAAUAGCUAGCACCCACAAGUAUACUAGUACAGCAUCUCUUAACGUUUAACAUACGUAAAAUUAACGCCAUAGCUAUUGAUAAACACAUUGUUCAAUAUAUAUGAUCAAGAAUCUGAUCCUGCGAGCAACAGCAGUCAGAAGAACCAUUAUAAUGCCUAGCUCUUAUCCUGGUUAAUCCUCUGGCCCGAUGCUUCAUCAUAGUGAUUUAAAAAACCAACAACAGCUCUCUAAAAGAGAUGAAGAUAUCAUCUACGUAAAGAACAUGAGACGGAGAUUCACAACCCAUAAGAACUGAGAUAAAUUGGACCAGACCAGUAAUCUUGAGAUAAGUUAAACUGUGACUUAAGUUGAAAUCAGAGGACAGGAAUUUUAAAAUCUUUCGGCUAAGCCCCUGAGGAAUUUUCUAGAGUACGACUUCUGCUUACCUCUGUUUAAUUUCUCUUUAUAUUUUUCUUUCAUUUCAUUAAUAAAGUCAAAUAAUAAAUCAAAGAACGAGGGAAGAUUUUUCCAAGUCAUGCAUUAUUUGAUUACCAUCAAUCAAGAAACCGACCAAAUUAAUUUCUCUCCGUGAUUUUUAAAAAUUAAAAAAAAAAUAUUUGAGCAUAACAUCAUUAAUUAUAGAGUGGAUCAAACUGCGUUAAUCAUGAACUUUGUUGUGUUAAUUAUUUCAAUCCCCGAUUACGCAAUUUUUAAAUUAUAGCCUAACGGUGGUCUCAUCACCACGUGUGUGAUUUUCUUUUGCCAAUAGGAUCUGUAGAGAGCUUGAUCUCACCCAAUAGCAAAAUAAACUUCCUAAUAAGUGAAGGCAUAGUAUAAAUAAUUCACCCCCAUAUUAUUUAUUAGCAGCUUGAUUAUUUUAUAUGCAUCUUUGAUUUAAAUUUUUUUUUCCCAUAAUUGCUACUAUGUUCGAACUGGUCAUGAAUUAUCUAUAAGAUUUUUCAUGUUGCUUUUAGGUGCAUUGGAUUUUUUUUAGUUUAGUGCAAGAGUAGAGGAAGGCAAAUUAAGAAAAAGGAUAAAGAUCUAUGAUUAGCUAUUUUGGGAUGUCUCAUAACAUAUUGAUGGUAACAUUAUACAUAUGUAUAUCUAAAUAAUGGGGUUGGAUCAAGAGCCCAUUAAUAAUCAUAGAUUAGCUUAUAUAGCAAUUUCACAAGCACAUGUUAGCCUAUGUUGAGCUUUAUUAUCAAUAGUUCAUAGUUCAUCGGUGCACUGCAGGUUUACUAUUUGAAGUAAAUGUUAUGGUGCGUGCAUUUUUCAUAAGGCCAACCGCUGAAUUUAGCAUUGAAACUUACAAAAUGUAAUAGAGAGAGGUAGAUAACAGCCACAAAACACUAAGAUUGGAAAUCAGGGCUACUAAAUACUAUUACAAGCCCUUAGAAAAGACACUGAUCAUCCUGGAAUAUAUAUACUGAAAGUAAGAAAUAUUAAUCGCAAAGUUAUGUGCCAACAAAACUAUUGACCACUUGUCCCUAGCAGAAGGUAUAUAUUUUUAACUUCAGCUCUCUACUUUGUUCUAAGAACUAGGCAAAAGAAUGAAACUUCACUGUCUAAAGUUUGCCGCUUGGAAUAUUUCACUGUCUAAACAUUCACUCACCACUAAUUUCACAAAUGAAUUUUGUCUAACUAUAUGUUGAUAACGAUAUUAGAGGUAAUAUAAUGCAUUUAAGGCUUAACAUAUAUUUUUUAUUAGUAGAGUGUAGAAUUUUUAAGAAAUAAAUUAUUAAAUUACUAUAACUAACAUAUUAUUUUAAAGUUAUGUUAAGAAAAGAAUGAAACAAAAAAAAAAAAAAAAAUAAGGGUAUUCUAAAACUUUGAUCCUUUUAAAAGUAGUUUUUGACGUAAAUAAAAUAAUUUUUAUUUUUUUAAAUCACAUACUCUAGUUAAAAUCAAAUUUGUAUUUAUAAAGCUUGUAAAUUUUUUUUAGCAUUAAUAUUUGAAUACUUUCAAGAUAAGAAAUAGGGUACUAAUUAUGCUACAACAUUAUUAUAGCAUAUAAAAAGACAAUACCCUUUAUAUUAUUAUACUAUCGUUUUUGUUAUGAUAGUAUUUUGUUAGUGGUCAAAUAUUACUUUUUUAAGUAAAAAAGUAGACAAAUGUAAAUCAAUUUUUAAUCUCUCCUAAAAUUCUAAUUCCUAGUUACCAAACAAAAUUGUUUGAAAAUAAUUUGGCUAAGUGCAUGGGUUCUUAAAAGUUAAAACUAUAGGUGAUAGAAGUUACUAGCACAAGCAAUUUUGACGGUCCAUUUUAUAAAAAUUUUUAAUAAUUUUUUAUUUACCAUUUUACCACCUAUAUAAAGAGUGCCACAUCGACAUAUCAAUUCAUUUGCAAAUUAUAUUAAUUUUGUAAAAUUCAUUUGACUUGCUAAACCCUUCUUAUCCCCUUUCUCGACUGUCAUACCCUAACCUUAUUAAUCCAACUGGCAAGUGCUCACAAUGACCGACAGCCUCUCCAUCUCCAUUUCAAGCUUCCUCUUCAACUGGCUUCUGCUUCCGUCGUACGCUUCCUUGGAUUCGGAGUCCGUAUUCGCUCGACCGGUCCGGCACAGCUCCCUCUCACUCCAAUUGUCACCCAACAAGACCAAUUGCUUAACAUUGAUCGUAUGGCAAUUGUCCGUAUUUCUUGGAUUCAGAGUCCGUAUGGCACAGAACAAGAAGAGUAUGAGAGAGAGAUUUGGAAAUCGAAACGUACGCAUUGACCGUGCCUUUGAGGGCAAUUACUUUUCUUGAGAAUUGAAGUUUGGUAAUGUAAUUUGUUCUCUAUCUGUGUCCCCUUUGUAGUCAUUUCAUUUAUUUGUUUGUUUGCUUUUAUUUGCACUUACGAAGUCUCAGAUAUAUCUACGCAAGAAUGAUGCAGGAGAAAUUGAUCCUCGAGCUUACAAGAAAAGUAAAUUUCGAAAGCAUAAUUUGGCUCCGAUUGAGGUAAUAAUUGUCUUUAAACUCAUUUAGUUUUAUAUCAAACAAAAUCAAGGCUGCCUUUCUCUUCAAUAUUUUUUAUGAUAAUAUCUUUAGAAGCAUCUCAUUGACGGGUAAUCAUGGUAUCCCUUAAAGAGUCUAUAAACUCAAUGAUAUUUUCUUCUGCAAAUGGUUCAUUAAACUUCUUAGACGUAGUUAAAUGUACACUAAGAACAACGAGAAGCUAUGCCGCUGUAGCAUGUAGUGAGAUCUUGUUUGAAGUUGUUUUCUGAAAUGAACUGCCAAAUGGUAGUUUUUUUUUUCUUGGGUGCAUUUGAUGACUCUUUUCUCCUCAUUUUAAACAUGUACCUGCUUGGAAUGGGAAGGAAUAGGCUUCCGAGUUGUUAUAUAUGUUGACAUGCUCUGGUCAUUACACAAAAUGCUCAAAUUGGAAAUUAGAAUGAGAUAUUUGUCGAUGCUUUUUGAGAGAUCUGCAUUCUAUGCACCAUAACAUGAUUAAUGAAAACAGGUUUAAGGACUGGAAAGAUCUGUGGCGGCCCAAGCUUGCAGGAAGGAUUUCAAUGGUUAAUUCUCCCAGAGAGGUUAUUGGUACAAUUUUGAAGUAUCUGGGAGCAUCAUGCAAUUCAAACGACAUUGAUUAGCAACUUGCUGCUGGGAGGAUUGUUGUCAGCAGAAUCUGGCAUUACUGGGAAACCAGGUACUCUUAAAGAAAUGAUAUCUGGUCAAUGCAUAUUAUUGCCUGACAGCUGAUUUUGUUUGUAAAGUCUGCCUCUUCAUACAUAUGAAUGCAUAUGUUAGUGUUUUCUUCUCCUUUUAAUACACAUGAAUGCAUAUGUUAGUGUUGUCUUCUCCAUUCCAUAAAUAUGAAUGCAUAUGCUCUGGGUGUUGGUUACUACUUCAAGUGGAAGGUGAAGGUGAUGCAAGUGAUUUCAGGAGUACAUAUAUUCCAAGGAUGCCGGACUAUUAUUGCUUCCCCCCAUAUUUCAGAAUUUUUUGUCAACCUCCUCCACUAAGGGAUUCCAAUUGAGUUACAAAUAUAUUUUCUGUAGCUCUGUUUUAAAUUUUUGGUCUCAUGUUAAUUUUUCUAAUUACUAUUCUUCAACAAAUCUCUUUUACUUUAAAAAACUGCUACAGUUUGAUUUUACUGCCUUAUAUCAUUGAACAUUGAUACAUGGAAUUUGAAAUCAGACUUGUAACAACAGAUAAAUAGAUAUAGAACAUGCAUAUAAUCUCCAUUUCGAGCUCCCUCUCCAACUGGCUUCUGCUUCCGUCUUACUCUUUCUCGGAUUCGGAGUCCGUAUUUGCUCAGCCGGUCCUGCCCAGCUCCCUUUCACUCCAAUUGUCACCCAACAAGACCAAUUGCUUAAUCAAGGCACAGAACAAGAAGAGGAUGAGAAGUUGAAACAAGAAUUUGAGAAUUGGAAAUCGAAAAUGUAUGCAUUGACUGUGCCUCUAAGGGUUGUUUCUCUUCAGAAUUCAAUGCCUCAAUCUUGGGUUAAGGAUUUUAUGCGAAGUCAAGGAAAGAGAUUGAAGUUUCAGAUGAAUUUGUGUGCUAGCAUUGGUGGGAUCUUUAACAAUUUAUCUGUGCCCUUUAACAAAGUUAAGGGUAAGUCAGCUUCGUAUACGGCUGCUGAUUUGGUUAGUGUUGGUGAUUCAUGGCUCAGUUUUACAAUUAAAAAGAGAUUGAUUGAGCCAAUAGCUGAAGCUGAAGAUCAAGACUGGUUCAAAUGCUUAUGUCACAAAUGGAAGGUAACAUCAUUAUCUUUGACCCGAUAAUUUUUAUUGUCUUACAUUGAAAUUUGGUAAUGUAAUUUGUUCUCUAUUUGUGUUACCCUUUGUAGUCGUUUUAUUUAUUUGUUUAUUUGCUUUUAUUUGCACUAACGAAAUCUCAGGUAUAUCUAUGCAGGAAUGAUGCAGGAGAAAUUGAUCCUCGAGGUAAAAUAUGGGCGGCACCAUACAGGUGGGGCACAACGGUGAUAGCCUACAAGAAAAGUAAAUUUCGAAAGCAUAAUUUGGCUCCGAUUGAGGUAAUAAUUGUCUUUAAACUCAUUUAGUUUUAUAUCAAACAAAAUCAAGACUGCCUUUCUCUUCAAUAUUUUUGAUGAUAAUAUCUUUAGAAGCAUCUCAUUGACGGGUAACAAUGGUAUCCCUGAAAGUGUCUUUAAACUCAAUGAUAUUAUCUUCUACAAAUGGUUCAUUAAACUUUGUUGUUGUAGUCAAAUGUACACUCAGAGCAAUGAGAAGCUAUGGCACUGUAGCAUGUAGUGAUGGCACUUAAUAAGUGAGUUGCUAGGAUGUGAACUAGAAAAAUUAAAUAUUGUCUCCUUGGGUAUGCUAGCUUGUAAGUCAGGGUUAAUAUUAGAGCUUAAGUUACUAUAACCAUGAGACGCUAUUGACUGCCAAUUAAAAUAUCCAUUAAAUUGUCUAGGAAGUUAUGAAAGUGGAGGUAUCUUCCGAUUUCUAAGGCCAGAUAGUAGACAUCAUCCAGGAUCCUAGGAAAGUGCAGUUAACCUCCUGCUCGAUGCAAUUAAUAAAUUUGGUCAAUGCCACUGAAACCUGCUAACCGACGUCACAAUGCGAGAUGAGCACUUCAAAAUGGGACAGACGGUCAGUAGCACUAAAUUUUUCUUUCCUAAGAUUGAGCAAUUGGUCUAACUACUAACCCCUAUUGUAGGUUGAUCAUUAUUUUUCCAAUUAUGUUCAGUUUGACCCAAAAAGUUACAGAAUCUUGAGCUGAAUAUUGUCACUGAACACUGUCAAUGUCAUUUAGCAUACCCAACUAACUUGAGUUUGGUAAAACAAACACACUGUGCGUCUCAUCUCUCACAAUUCAAAUUAUCAUCUGUAAUGAUGGAGAAUUUUUCCAAUGUAUGAAGUAUGCUUUGAUAUGUGUACCUUGGAGAAGAUAUCUCCAAAUAAAGAAUAUGGAGAGAAAACGGUUCAGUAGUUUAUUAUUCUGUAGGCAAGUCUUGUCUCGAAAAUGGUCAAAAUUUAAAUGAAUAAGGACAGGGGAUCUUCAUUCUUUUUUCCCUUUUUUAUACCAAGAUAUCUCUCAACCUUUAUAUAAUCCCCACUGGAUAUCUGCUUCUAAUAAUUAAAAUAAAAAUUUCACUCACACAAAUAAAUACUGACCAAGCUCUAACAAUAUAAAGUAACAUCUUUACUCAAGUAAUUUACAGUUCCUCAUCAUCUUAGUGUGAGACUAUCAUUACGUUCCAAAAACAAAAUAAAACUGGUUUGAUCCUGUUUAUUGAUGUUUAAAUGUUGUUCAUUGUGACAUGUAGAAAUGAUGAAGCGAAGUUUAUUUGGUCAUCAAUUAGUAAGAUCUUGUUUGAAGUUGUUUUCUGAAAUGAACUGCCUUUUUUUUGGGCAUAUGAUGGCUCUUUUUUCCUCAUUUUCAACAUGUGCCUGCUUGGAAUGGGAUGGAUUUGGCUGCAGAGUUGUUAUAUAUUUUGAGAUGCUCUGGCUGUUGUGAAAAUUUUAAUAUACUCGCAAGCACACGAAUCUAGAAAUAGAAUAGUGAUAACGAGGUCGAACCCACAGGGAUUAUUGAAAAGUCUAAUUUAAAUCUAAAAUUAAUAUUAAUUCUAACCUAGUUGAGCAAAUUGAGUUUUAAGAGAAAUUAAACUAAUUAAACUAAGAAAAUAAUUAAAGUAAAGGAGAAUUCAAUAAGACAAAAAUUACCAAGGUUUCAGAAUCCACCACUAUUCAACUAGUAAUUAUCUAAUUAUUAAUUAAUCCCCAAUUUUAGAGUGACAACUCGAAAUCAAUCUAUGUCAUCUCAUGGAUAUAACAAUUAAGCCCAAGUAAUUAAAUCUAAUGUAGGUUCUUUUUCUACUUAAUAGUAUGAUAUCUAAGAAUCUCAUGUAAACAUAUUGAAUAACAAAGAGUCAAAGUUUUCUUAAGCACUCUAUGUAAACAAUUUAAUGAAAGACAUAAAAUCAAAGAUAAUCAUGCAUAAACUUUAUAGAUCCAAGCAUAGAUUUAAUCGAAUAUUAAUCCUAACAAUCAAUAAUGCAUAACAGAAUUGAUGAAAAGAUUUUAAUAACAUCCAACUAAUCAUGUGAAAUAAAAACCAUAAUCAUUAAAGAACAUAUAUAGGGAAUUAAAUAAAUAAAAAAAUAAUUAUUUCAUUGAAUAGGGUUUCAUCCUUAACCUCAGUAUAAGAAAAUUAGUUAGACAUACUUGAAUUGGGAAAAACAAAAGAGAUAAAACCGGCCAUGAGGAAUAUUGAACUGUUGGUGCCGAUUGCUCUUUUCCAGCCUUGCGUCUGCUUUCCUCUGGCGGCUACCUCCCCCCUUGCAAAAGCCAAAGUUCGGCUUUUAUAUUGUAACUCCCCCACAAAAUCCUCAAAUCAAAAGGUUUUAAAACAAGCCAAGCACAACCGACUUUGAGCCCAUGCAUGUGAAGCCCAAUUGGAAUUUUCAUUCCUUUUUUAAUGCCAUGCAAUUGCUUUCCCACGUGCUGGCCACUUUAGCUUUAAAUUUCUUCUUUGUUUGCACUAGCAUGGAGAAUUCAAUUUAUUGGCUUCGGCUUCUUCGGAUUGAAUUUCAUACACAUCUACUUAAUUGCUUCCACAAAUUGACUUGAUUUUUAAUGUUGUCCAAUUGUUAUUCUUUAUGUACUUUUCAUCCUUAAUCUCCAAUUAAUUCCCUAUUCAAUAAAAUUAACUUAGCAAUUAUAUAAUAAAGGGUAAAAUAUGUAUAUAAAUUAUGCUCAUCACUGGCCAUUGCACAAUUUGUUCACACUGGAAAUUUGAAUGAGAAAUUUGUUGAUGCUGUUUUGAGAGAUCUGCAUUCUAUGCACAAUAACAUGAUUAAUGAAAAUGGAUUGUAGGACUGGAAAGAUCUGUGGCAGCCUGAGCUCGCAGGAAGAAUUUCAAUGGUUAAUUCUCCCCGAGAGGUUAUUGGUUCAGUUUUGAAGUAUAUGGGAGCAUCAUACAAUUCAAACGAUAUUGAUUCGCAAGUUGCAGGUGGGAAGAUUGCUGUUCAGCAGAAUCUGGCAUUACUGGCAAACCAGGUACUCUUAAAGAAAUGAUAUCUGAUCAUUGCAUGUUAUUGCCUGACAACUGAUUUUGUUUGUAAAAGUCUGCUUCUUCAUACAUAUGAAUGCAUAUGUUAGUGUUCUCUUCUCCUUUUCAUACAUAUGAAUGCAUAUGUUGGUGUUGUCUUUUCCUUUUCAUACAUAUUAAUACAUAUAUUGGUGCUCUCUCCUGAGAUGGAUGCAAUAAAGGCUUUUGGUCCUAAAUUUAGGUGAAGAAAUGGCAAGGGAUGUGAGAUUCUGUCUCAUUAAAUUAACAAAAACCCAAAACAAUGAAAACCCAUAAUAAUGUGGUGGGGGUAAAUUGGCACCAUUUGGUUUGUUUACUUAAUGUGAAUACACGAGCAAUAGGGACUAACAAAAUGAAGUGACAACAACAAGUCAGUGUCCUUUGAUGGAUGCAUUUUAGGCAAAAAUAGGUUUGUAAUUGACCAAUUUCAAAAAAUUUAAAUUAUGUGGUUAUUAGCUGUAAUGAAGGGGAUAGGAGGUGCAAUCAGGUGGAUCCAGGAAAGUUCAACAAAGUUCUGGUAUGGCAUAGUGAAAUUGGUUUGUGCAACUCAAGAGUCUUUCAGGUGAACGAUGAUAUGUUUUGAUUUAUAAAUGUUAUAAAUCUACCGUCCAUAGUAUUCUAGUAGAAUCAUCUAUAAGUUCUAGUUAUUGAAAUUGUCUACUUUGUCCAGUUUGAGUUAAGGGCACAUGUAAUAGGAAAAAUAGUUGUCACAUCUUUUUGGUUACCUAACAUUUGAUCAAUCCUAUUAUGAGGGCUUCAAGAUGUCUAACAAUAUGUAGAAUGCCCAUGCUCCUCCCCAUUGUUUAUCUUAUACAAUAAUUUGUUUUAGAUGCUAAUAUAUUUGUCGAUACCGGUAACGAUAUUACAAUAUCUGCAUUUAUUGGGUUUUACAUAGGUUCGACUGUUUGACAGUACACACUAUCUGAAGGCAUUUGGAAUUGGAGAUGUAUGGGUUGCUGUUGGGUGGAGUAGUGAUGUUCUUCCUGCUGUCAAACGUAUGUCUAAUGUUGCAGUUGUUCCCAAGUCUGGUGCUAGCUUAUGGGCCGAUCUUUGGGUAUACCCAUGCCGGCCAUUCUACUUCGAUAUUCACGUUGUUAUCUCCUUCAUAUUAGCGAUCAUAAACUUGAUAAUGUGACUAAUAAGUUCGUAUUCUCUUUAUAGGCAAUCCCUGCUGCCUCAAGACUUGAAACAAAAGAAAUUGGAGGGCGAGUCUGAGGUCCAUCUCCAUUAAUCCAUCAAUGGAUAGAAUCCUGCUUGCAAACAGCGAGAACAUUGCCUUUCAAGCAAGAGGUUAUCCCGGGCGCAUCUCCCUCUGCCCUUGAAAGUACUCUGGUUAAGUUGCCUGAAGAACUUCUGAAGGGUAAACCAAGUCUGGAUACUAACUUAAUUGCUGGAGUACCCCCGGCUGAAAUUCUGGCCAGAUGUGAGUUUUUGGAGCCAUUGUCUGAAGCUACAUUGUCAUAUUAUGAGUGGCUGGUUGCUAAUCUGCAAAAACCUGCCCCCCUCUUGAUGAAUAGGCUGCAACAUUACUUGUCAUCAUUAAUCCAAAGCUUUCUAGCAAAAGCUACAUUGAAAAGUUAAUGGCACUGCAUGCCAGUCAUUGUAAUGCUGUCAGGGCUAUUGGGUCAGGGCUAUUGGGUCAGAGCAUAACUUCAUUAGGAAAAGAGGCUUCAGCUACGUUAAAUAUUACAGGAUGUACUGAGAUGGCUGAAGUUCUUGAGGUUUUACGAGAAACGAAAGAUGAGUGUUUGUUUGAACAAAGUUGUUGCCAUCUUGCAGAGUUUGAGAAGAAAGAUCACUGAGCGAAUGCCACCGAUUUCUUAAUCAUUGUAGCCUCCAUAGUUGAAGUUUCCUUAUUUGAAGCUGUUUAUGCGUACGCUUUUUCCCUGCUCAAGUACAGGAAAUUGAAGAAUUAACCAGAUGUGAUAUGCUGAAAGAGGGAAGUUUUCUUCCUUGAACGUGGCCUUGUGAUUUGUCUUGGAAGGAAUAGGAUGAUCACUGGCAAGAACCCUAUCAAGGUAGAUUUUAUGGUGCUAACGUAUUAUUAAGCAUUUUGUUACAUCAGCAAUGAUGCUUUCAUAGCAUGAAAGGGUUUAAAUUUAACUGAAUGAUUCUGAUUAAUCAAUUAUGAGUUUGAAUCGAGUAAAAACUAAAUACAAUCAUCGUUAACAAUACUGAAAAAAUUUAACUGAAUCAUCGUUAAUUGAGUAAAUAGGAUCUUGAUAUUGAAGAAUUUGAAAUCACAACGCACACAGGAAAUUGAAGAAUUUGAAAUACAAUCAUCGUUAACAAUAUAAGAUGAGUGUUUGUUUGAACAAAGUUGUUGCCAAUCUUGCCGAGUUCGAAAAAAAAGAUCACGGAGCAAAUGCCACUGAUUUCUUCAUCAUUGUAGCCUCCAUAGUUGAAGUUUCCUCAUGUGAAGCUGUACAUCAAGUACAGGAAAUUGAAGAAUUAACCAGAUGUGAUAUGCUGAAAGAGGGAAGUUUUCUCCCUUGAAUGUGGCCUUUGUGAUUUGUCUUGAAGGAAUAGGAUGAUCACCGGCAAGAACCCUAUCAAGGUAGAUUUUAUGAUGUUAACAUAUUAUUAAGCAUUUUGUUACAUCAGCAAUGAUGCUUUCAUAGCAUGAAAGUGUUUAAAUUUAACUGAAUGAUCUUGAUUAAUCAAUAAUGAGUUUUAAUCGAGUAAAAACUAAAUACAAUAAUUGUUAACAAAUACUGAAAUUGGGUAAAUAUGAUCUUGCUAUUGAAGAAUUUGAAAUCACAACCCACACAGGAAAUCACCCUUCGCGUGGAGAUGGAGAUGUUUACUGCAGCGAUAUUGAAUAUGUCCACUGCUCUUUGGGUUAUGGUGCGACUUGCGAUUUCAAGGUUGCCCUGAAACAAUGGAAAAGAAUUAACAUACCCUGCAAUGAAUGAAAGCGGCUGGACUAAUUCUGAUUACCUGAUUGACUCAGGAUCGGAUGGCAAUAAAGACAGUUUAUUAACAAUGCACAGUCCCGAGUACUUUUUCAGGAUCAGAUAUUACGUGGUCUAAUGUUGAUAAUAAUAGAUUAUCAAAUGAGAGAUGCUGAGAGAUGCUGGUCUAGUAUUGCAAGCCCCCAGAUUUAAGAAUCUUUUGAUGAUAAUUUACCACCUGUAACUGUGCCGGAAGAUUCACCUAGCAUUGAAAAAGAUGAUAAUUUAAUUGAUAUGGAUAGUUUUCAUAACACUUUUAAAUCAUCUUAUGUAAUUAUAAUGUUGAGAAGCAUUAGUGGUCUAUAUGUGAACUAUUAUUGACGCUAUUUUGUUGUAAACAAUCUUAUUCAAUUAAUGUAUAAUUUAAAAUCAUUAUGUAAAUCAAUCUAUUACUUUUCAUGAUAUUUAACUGAGUUAAAACUAAGUGCACCCAAUAAAUCUCUUUUCCUUUAAAAAACUGUUACGCUUUGAUUUUAGUGCUUAAUAUUUACGGAACUCCGGUACAGGGAAUUCGAAAUCAAACUCGUAACUACAGAUUAUCUAAUUGCAAGCUUUUGUCCAUAGUUGCUGAUUGUAGUGAUUAUCUAAUUGACUGAGGUGACAACAAUUUUUUUUUUUAAUUUUCAAUAGCAUAAUGUGGAAUUCAAUAAUUAAAUUCUCCUUUUUAAUUUGUUUCCAGUUAAAUUAUUAAUUACUUAAACUCUGUUUUAAGUCUUUAAUUUUAUGUCUUGGCGUAUAUGCAGGGUUGGAUUCUUGAGCGUGUUGGACACGACCAACAAUGAAAUUGACAGUAAACAAACAUUAUAACGCGUUGAGUGUCGACUCCGCUAGCUGCCCUACAAGUCUACAACUUUACAAACAAUAACUGAGUACACACAUUUGAUUCUCAGGGCCUUUCAAUGAAUUUCUAGGCCGGUUGACUCCACCGACAAAAGUUUUGGAAAAUAAAAAAGAAAAUUCAUAGAAUUCCACCAAAUGCAAAACGCGUGGAAUUUAAUUUUCGGCUGUGUGGACCAAAACAUAAUUUAAUGAAAAAAAAGAUAAGAUUUCUAGAAUGUGUGGAAGGUGAUCCAUAUUUUACUGAAACAACUUAUUAAAUUUUUCAAGGAUUUAGAAUAUUUGGUCAUAAAUUACGCUCAUGUUAAUUUUUCCACUGUUGACUAUCAUAUUCUAGACUCACUGGUACCUUUCUUGAUGAAGGGUACUUAGUCUCUCUUCUCCUCUUAUAAAAAUUAUAUUAAUUAAUUUCUUAUUAUAAUAAAUAGUCUUUAAGAACGUAUAGAUUUAUUGUUUUCGUGACCAAAUUAUGCCAGCUUAAGGUUGCGACUAUUAAUAAAAUUAAUAUUUAAUGUUUAUGUUAAAAGAUAUAAGAUUUUUUGCAUUCAUUAAUUGUCAUUAGCUAAAGGAUUAAUUAUUUUUUCAACCCAAUCAGUUGAUGCAUCUGCAAGAAUUUUUUCUUUUAUUGACCAUAAUUAUAUUCCGGGUACAAUAAAUUAUCUUUGGUGCUUGGAAAAUAUGACUUCUUACUUCAAGUUUGAUGUGUCUCUCUCCAUAAGCUUACUGGAAAUAUAUCCUCAUCUACUGUCAUUUAUCUAAUAUCAAUUGAAUAUCUGACUUUUUCAAACUAUCACUUCCAAGUCUCAUUGUCACUUGGCCAUUCUUGGACCAUUCAAAACCAAACAAGUGUUGAAAUAAUCAAAUAUAUGCAAAAUUAGAGUCACGACUUUUGGUCCUCCAAAUUCUAAUUAUAUUACUUCUAUAUAUCUCAUUGUCAGGUCACGAACUUGUUGGCACAUUUUCCAAAUUCCUCUUCCAUCAGCUCUUACACGUUAACUUAAGUGGAAAGUUUCCAAGUUGAUUGCUAGAAAGCAACGCAAAAUCAGACACGCUUGAUCUGUCCCCUAAUUCUCUUUUCUACGUUGAAAAAGAAAAAAAAUAAGAAAAAAGAAAAUAGAUCUAUGUAAAAAUAAAUAAUAAACUGAGUAAAAGUACAUUUGUUUAUUUAACAUCUGAUCGGGGCAUUUUUGGUGUAAUUUCGUGCUGUGUUUAACCCACAACUAAAAUCAAACAGCCCCUUAGAAUACUUCUUCCAUUUUGGGUGCGUUUGGGAUUGAGGUUGGGCAGCUGUAACUUAAAAACUACAGCACUAAAGUGUUUGAUAAACACUAACUGCUGUAGCUUUUAAGCUAUGUUGAUAUGGUUUUUCACUUGUAUAAUACAAAAUUUAUUAUAUCUUUAAUAAUUUUAUCAAAAUUAUUAUUUAAAAUUUAUAUUUACUAUAUAUUAUUAACUUUUGUUUCAUAAUUACAGCUUUUUUUUCACAGCAACUGUAGCUUAAAAGCUACAGCAUCUCAAUCCCAAACGCACCCUUUAUCUGCUACUUUUGUGGAUCUUAUAGGGUGGGCAUGUGAACAGAAUUUAAAAAUUUUAAUAGUCUCAAAGAAUAAGAUAUGCUAAAGCUAAAGUUGUUGCACCUUCUAAUUAAAUAAAGUUGUAUAAUUUCACCAACUUGGAAGAAUUGAUAUUAAUGGACGGUCCCCUCUCCAUAUAUGAAGCCUUCUUAAAAGUUAAUUUUUAUUUCAGAAAAAAAAAGUUUAAGUUACAUAUAUUAUAGUAAGAUUUUUUUAGACCAAUUCCCUUCUUGAAAUAAUAAUGGAAAAGCAUUAAUUUAAAAAUAAAAUGAAUAUGUAUUGAUUAUAUCCUGAUUUUCAUCGAUUAUAGUGAGAGUUUCUCCAAAUCAAUUCCCUUAUUCAAAUAAUACAGAAAAAAUAGUAAUUUAAUAGUAAAAUAAACAAGUGUUGAUUAUAUAUUCUAAGUUUCAUCGAUUAUGUGAUCAAAGUGGCAUUGUUGAUUUAUUUCUUGUUCAAUGUUAAUUUUUAGGUUAUAUAAAUUUCAAGGAUCUAAAAUCUUUGGUCAUGGAUUACACGCUUGUUAAUUUUUCUGCCAUUAACUGUCAUAUUCUAGACUUAAUGAUACCUUUCUUGAUCAAGCGUAAUUAUUCUCUCUUCUCCUCUUAUAAAUUCCUCUUCCAUUAACAUCACUAGGAGUAUGUUGAUCUCUCAGACGUUAACUUGAGUGGAGAGUUUCCAAAUUGAUUGUUACAAAACAACACAAAAACUAGACACACUUGAUCUGUCUAAUAAUUCUCUUUCGGUAAAAUUAAUUAAUUUUAGGGAAAUAUUCUGCCAACCUCUGUAAUUUCAAAGUGAUCAUUAAUUAAUUAAACGAUACAAAUAUCUAAAGUGAUUAGAUGUUUGCCGACAAUACAAGUUCAUGACUUGAAAUUUGAUCUCUAUCGAUUGGUUUACAAAUGGACGUACUUGUGCCUUUGUGGCGAUAAUCAAACAAGUUCCCAUGAUUAUUAUUUUUUCCAAAAACGUUUUUACAACAAAUUCAUCUCGCCAAAAAUUCUAUGUUGCUAACUAACAAUAAUUGAGCACUUGGCCGCAUUGACCCCACGUCUCCACCUCUUUCUAAAAACAUGGAAAAUGUAAUUUCCACAAAAUGCCAAACGUGUGGAAUUUAAUUUUUUUGCCUUGUGGAUCAAAAUACAAAUGAAAGAAACAGGAGAAAAAAAAGGCCCAAAGACUUCUAAAAGAUGAAGAAGUCUUUGGGCCUUUUUAUAAUGGUGAAUUUUUUAAAAGAAAAAAAAUAACAACAUUUUUAUGGUUUGUUUUGAUAAUCAUAUUUACAUAUACUCUCUAAUUUUCAAAAUGGACACAUAAAUCUUUUUUUUUACAAAAUAUAUAUUAUUCAUAUUUUUUAUUUUUUAUUAUCAUAUUUUUAUUUAUUAUAAAUGUUUAGAGUAAAUUUUUAGGUUGAAAUAUAAUAAAAAUGUAUAAUCGUUCUCUUAUUAAACACACAUACUUUUAUUAGUUUCUAUGCAUUUGUCAUCUCAAUCUCUCUCAAUUAUUCUUUAUUGCUAGCUCAAAACGCGUUGCUGUUGCAAAUUAUAGCAAAAUGACAAAUAUGGAAAAAAAGGGAAGAAAAUUAAUGCAUGAAAGACUUGGAGAAAACAACAAAAUAAGCCAACUAUGAGCUAGUUGGGUGUAUAAAUUGUUAGAUGUGUUAUAUACAAAUAGCAUAGAGCCCUCUAGUUAGUUCCAGAGACAGAAAGAGCGUGUGUGUUUUUUCACAGUUAGAGAUAUAGUUAGAAUGGGUGGUUCAAAAUCAAAAAUGAUGAUAAUGUUUAUUAUGUUAUUAAUAAUAUUUAAAAGUGGGUGGAGUGAGGGAUGUUUGGAUCACGAGAGAUUUGCUCUUUUGCGACUCAAACAUUUCUUCGAUGAUAGUUAUCUUUAUGACUGGGCCGAUGAUGAGGGAGCUACUGAUUGUUGUCAGUGGGAAAAUGUUGAGUGCAGCAACACCACAGGCCGAGUGAUAGCGCUAGACCUUUUUGACACGCAUGGGGGAGAGCACAGCUGGUAUAUGAAUGCUUCUUUGUUUACUCCCUUCCAACAACUUGAGUCACUUGAUUUAACUGACAACAAUAUAGCCGGUUGUGUUGAGAAUGAAGGUGCUUCGUUUAAUUUAAUUAAUUUACUUUCUCCCCCCAAAUUUAAGUUGAAUAUCAAGACCGAGCAAUUAUAUGCAUAUUCAUUUAGUCGACAAUUUUGACUUUUUUUUAAAUGAUUAAUUUUGAAAUUACACCAGUAUCUAUGAUCUUUUUUUAUUUUAUUUUAUUUGCAGGUAUAGAGAGGCUAUCAAGAUUGAACAACUUGAAGAUGCUUAAUUUAAGUCGAAACUCAUUCAAUAAUAGCAUUUUAUCAUCUCUAACUCAUCUUUCAUCAUUAAGAUCAUUAAAUUUACUUUGGAAUAGAUUGGAAGGAAGUAUUGACGUUAAAGGUACAUAAUUAAAACUUCAAGCUCUUUCAUUAACUUGCUAAAAUAAGAUUCAAGGCUUUGAAAGAAAAAGAGAGAAAAAAACAAGGCCCAAAGACUUCUAAAAGAUGUAAAAGUCUUUGGGCUUUUUUAUAAUGGUGGAUUUUUUAAAAGGAAAAAAUAACAACGCUUCUAUGGUUUGUUUUGAUAAUCACAUUUACAUAUACUCUCUAAAUUUCAAAAUGGACACAUAAAUCUUUUUUUUUUCUACAAAUGUAUAUUGUAUUUUUUAUUAUUUUUAAUAUCAUAUUGUUAUUUAUUAUAAAUAUUUAAAGUAAAUUUUUAAGUUGAAAUAUAAUAAAAGAGUAUAAUCGUUCUCUUCUUAAACACUCAUACUUUUAGUUUCUAUCCAUUUGUCAUCUCAAUCUCUCUCAAUUAUUCAUUAUUGCUAGCUCAAAACGCGUUGCUGUGGAAAAUUAUAGCAAAAAGACAAAUAUGGAAAAGAAAAAAGGGAAGAAAAUUAAUGCAUGAAAGACUUGGAGAAAACAACGAAGUAAGUCAACUAUAAUCUAGCUGGGUGUAUAAAUUGUUUGAUGCUUUAUAAGCAAAUAACAUACAGAGACAGACAAUGUGUGUUCGUUUUUUCAUAGUUAAAGAUAUAGUUAGAAUGGGUGGUUCAAAAUCAAAAAUGGUGAUAAUGUUUGUUAUGUUAUUAAUAAUAUUUAAAAGUGGGUGGAGUGAGGGAUGUUUGGAUCACGAGAGAUUUGCUCUUUUACGACUCAAACAUUUCUUCAAUGAUCCUCUUAAUUCUCUUUACGACUGGGUAGAUGGUGAGGGAGCUACUGAUUGUUGUCAGUGGGAAAGGGUUGAGUGCAGCAACACCACAGGCCAAGUGAUAGCGUUGCACCUUUCUAAUAUAUAUUUGGGAGAGUACAGCUGGUAUCUGAAUGCUUCUUUGUUUACUCCCUUCCAACAACUUGAGUCACUUGAUUUAAGUUUCAACAAAAUAGCCGGUUGUGAUGAGAAUGAAGGUGCUUCGUUUAAUUUAAUUAAUUUACUUUCUCUCUCCUAAUUUAAGUGGUAUAUUAAAAUUGAGCAACUAUAUGCAUAUACAUUAGUUGACAAUUUUGACAUAUUUUUUGAAGUGAUUAAUUAAUUUUGAAAUUACACCAAAUAUCUAUGAUCAUUUUUUUUUAUUUUACUUGAAGGUAUAAAGAGGUUAUCAAGAUUGAACAACUUGAAGAUGCUUAAUUUAAGUGCUAACUCGUUCAACAAUAGCAUUUUAUCAUCUCUAACUCAUCUUUCAUCAAUAAGAUCAUUAAAUUUAUAUGUGAAUGAAUUGGAAGGAAGUAUUGAUGCUAAAGGUACAUAUUUAAAACUUCUCUCUUCCCCAAGCUCUUUCAUUAACUUGCUAAAAUAAGAUUCAAGGCUUUGAAUUCAAUUUUUUUAUGAUUAAUAUUUAAAAAAAACAGUUUUAAGCAAUUUAUAAAUACAAGUUUUAAUGUUUCUUAUAAUUUCAUCUUGUACUUUCAUAUGUCUUGAAUUUAAGAUUAAAAAAAAAACUCUAAUAGCAAACCAAACACCUCCACAACUUAUUAUUAUUAUUAUUAUUAUUAUUAUUAUUAUUAUAUAUUUUUUAAUUUGUGGUGAGGUUUGAAACAUUCAACUCAAUUUGUACUUGUUACAGAAUUUGAUUCUUUGAGAGAUUUAGAGGAGCUAGACAUUGGCGGGAACAAGAUUGACAAAUUUGUGGUCUCAAAAGGUACUACAAAUACCAUAAAAAAAAUAUGCUAACUUUUACAAAUUAGUUAGAUUCUUUGCCAUUUGGUUUAUUAUUUUACAGGUUUGAGUAAGUUGAAGUCUCUUGGUUUAAGUGGUAUCAAACUCAAUCGUAGCAUCUUAUCUUCUCUUUCUUCGUUAAGAGAAUUAGAUAUAAGUCGUACGGGAUUCAAAGGAACAUUUGAUGUUCGAGGUAAGCCUAAACCUUGCUUUCUCAUUUUAUAUAUGCCAACUAGAUUUGUGUAUCAUCGACAUAAUUUAAUAUUUAAUUUGAUAAGUCUGAAGGAAUUACAUGCUAAUUUAAACACACUUUUAUUUACUUUGUCAAUUAAUCAAUUAAUUACUAUUUGGCUUGGUUUGGACGAAAUUCUCAUGAUGUUUUAAUUUCUUUAAAUUAAUUAAUUAAUUAACUCUGUUUUUAAGUCUUAAGUCUGGGCAUGUUUGCAGAAUUUGAUUCCUUCAAUAACUUAGAAGUGUUGGACAUGAGUUGGAACGAAAUCGACAAUCUUGUGGUUCCUCAAGGUAAACAAUUAAAAUAUUAUUCAAUUACAUUAUUUUAAUUCAUUUGAUUAGAGAAGGCCAAAAAGGUAAAAAAAAAAUUCAAUAAAGAAAUAGAGAAUUUGUAUUAUUUAAAAAACAGAAUGUAAUAAAGAUUUGAUUCUAGUUCUUUAAUCUUUAAAGCGAUUGAAAAACAAUGUUGGUCUUUUCGCAAAGCAUAAAAUACGAAUUGAAUGCCAAUUAACUUAAUCAUUCAUUUCGUUUAGCUCUAAAUUUAGACAAUGAAUUUUUAUAUUAUUUCAAAAACAGGACGUAAUAGAAUUUUUUUAAAAAUAGAUUGUAAUGAAGAUUUGAUUCCAAUUCUUUAAUCUUUACAGUGAUUGAAAAACGAUACUACUUCCCAAAGCAUAAAAUACGAAUUGACUCUCAAUUAAAUUAAUCAUUUAUUUCGUUCAUCUCUGAAUUUAAAUAAUGAAUUUUGAUCUUCAAUCUUUUCCUAAUUAUUAUUAAUAAACAGGUUACAGAGGUUUGAGGAAGUUGAAAAGCUUUGGUCUAUCGGGAGUUGGAAUUAGAGAUGGAAGCAAGUUGUUACAGUCAAUGAGAUCAUUCCCAUCCCUCAACACUCUUGACCUGACCGAUAAUAAUUUUACCAAUAUAGCGACCGCUACUCAAGGUAAGUAAAAGGUACAGAUGUGGCCAAAUUUAUAAAUAAAUUGUUUAUUAAUUAAUUUUUUCGUAUUAUUAAUUAAGCUAAAUUCGUUGCUCCUUCCUUCUAAAUCUAAACAGAGUUGCACAAUUUCACCAACUUGGAAUAUUUGACAUUGCACGGUUCCUCUCUCCAUAUAAGCCUUCUGCAAAGCAUUGCAUCAAUAUUCCCUUCGUUAAAAAAUCUGUCGAUGUCUUUUUGUGAAGUCAAUGGUGUUGUACGCGGUCAAGGUAAAAGAAAAGCGUUGAUUGUGAACUCACUCAAUGGUGUCCUACGUGUUCAACAUUUUUAUUUAUUAAUUUAUUUAUUGUUUAAUGUUUCUGCUAGGUUUUCCUCAUUUCAAGAGUUUGGAACAUUUUGACAUGAGCUCCACACGCAUUGCACUCAACACCAGCUUUCUUCAAAUCAUCGGUGAAUCGAUGCCUUCUCUUAAGUACUUAUCACUGUCAUAUUCUACUCUUGGCACUAACAGCAGCAGGAUUCUUGAUCAAGGUUAAUGAGAUGCUGCCACCCUCCCUUCUUAAUCUAUAAUAUUAAUUUUCGAUUAAAUAUUUAAUUACACAAACCAAUCACUUAUUAUAAAAGAAUAAUACGCAUUCAUUAAUUUUUAAAUUGUAUUAAUAAUUGAUGAAUUUAAUAAAUUUUCAGGCCUCUGUUCGUUGAUGCAUCUACAAGAGUUACACAUUGCUUAUAACGAUUUAAGAGGUAGCUUGCCUUGGUGCUUGGCAAAUAUGACAUCCCUCCGAAUAUUAGAUGUUUCUUCCAAUCAACUUACUGGAAGCAUCUCCUCAUCUCCCCUCGUUCAUUUGACAUCCAUUGAAGAGCUGAGGCUUUCAUACAACCACUUCCAGAUCCCAAUUUCACUUGAACCACUUUUCAAUCAUUCAAGACUCAAGAUUUUUUAUGCUGACAACAACGAACUAAAUGCAGAAAUAACUGAGUCACAUUCUUUGACCGCCCCAAACUUCCAAUUAUCACGUCUCUCAUUGUCUUCCAGUUACGGAGACAGUUUCAUAUUCCCCAAAUUCCUUUACCAUCAACAUGACCUGGAGUAUGUUGAUCUCUCACACAUAAAGAUGAAUGGAGAAUUUCCAACUUGGUUGUUGGAAAACAACACAAAAUUGAGACAACUUUCUCUCGUCAAUGAUUCUCUUGCAGGACAUUUCCGGUUGCCAAUUCAUUCACACAAGCGGUUAGGACUGUUGGAUAUAUCCAACAACAACUUCCGAGGCCACAUUCCAGUAAAAAUUGGAGAUGUUUUACCAAGUUUAUACGUUUUCAACAAUUCCAUGAAUGCUUUAGACGGUAGCAUUCCCUCUUCAUUUGGUAAUAUGAAAUUCCUCCAAAUUCUGGACUUAUCCAACAAUCACUUGACUGGUGAAAUCCCCGAGCACUUGGCCGUGGGUUGCGUCAACUUGCAGUCUCUUGCAUUAUCAAAUAACAACCUACAAGGUCAUUUGUUCUCUAGAAAUUUUAACUUGACAAACUUGCAAUGGUUACAAUUGGAGGGCAAUCGCUUCGUAGGUGAGAUCCCACAAAGUUUGUCUAAAUGCUCCUCACUAGAAGGAUUGUAUCUUAACAAUAAUAGUCUUUCGGGUAAGAUUCCACGAUGGUUGGGUAAUCUCACAUGGUUACAAUAUAUUAUACUGCCCAAUAAUCAUCUUGAAGGCCCUAUUCCAGUGGAGUUUUGUCAGCUUGAUUCGCUUCAGAUUUUGGACAUUUCAGACAACAACAUAUCUGGAAGUUUACCAUCUUGUUUCCAUCCUCUCUCUAUCAAACAAGUUCAUCUUUCAAAAAAUAUGUUACAUGGACAGCUAAAAAGAGGUACAUUCUUUAAUUGCUCUUCCCUUGUGACAUUAGAUCUUAGUUAUAACCGCUUGAAUGGCAGCAUUCCGGAUUGGGUUGAUGGGCUUUCUCGGUUAAGCCACCUUAUCUUAGGUCACAAUAAUCUUGAAGGUGAAGUGCCAGUUCAAUUGUGCAAAUUGAACCAACUACAAUUGUUAGAUCUUUCUAAUAAUAAUCUUCACGGUCUUAUUCCUCCUUGCUUUGAUAACACCACACUUCAUGAAAGUUACAGCAAUAGUUCUAGUCCUGAUGAGCAAUUUGAAAUAUUUUUUUCCAUCGAAGGCCCUCAGGGAGGUGUAGAAAAGCAAAUCCAUGAAAAUUUUGAGUUCACAACAAAGAACAAUGCAUACAUUUACCAAGGAAAAGUGCUUAGCCUCCUAUCAGGACUUGAUCUUUCUUGCAACAAGCUAAUCGGUCAUAUUCCUCCUCAAAUUGGAAAUUUGACAAGGAUUCAAACAUUGAAUCUAUCGCACAACAACUUGACAGGAUCGAUCCCAUCAACAUUUUCAAACUUGAAGUAUGUCGAAAGUUUGGAUCUUUCCAACAACAAAUUGAAUGGGAAAAUCCCUUAUCAACUAGUGGAGUUAAAGACAUUGGAGGUUUUCAGUGUGGCAUACAAUAACUUAUCAGGCGAAAUUCCAGAAUGGAAAGCACAAUUUGCAACCUUCAACGAGAGUAGCUAUGAGGGAAAUAUUUUUCUUUGUGGACUGCCAUUGCCUAUUUGCAUAUCACCAACAACUACGCAGGAGGCUUCAAUUGACAAUGAACGAGAUGAUAAUUUAAUUGACAUGGACAGUUUCUUUAUCACAUUUACAACAUCGUACGUAAUUGUGAUAUUCGGAAUUGUUAUUGUUUUAUAUGUAAAUUCUUAUUGGCGACGUAGAUGGUUUUACUUUGUUGAAAUGUGGAUAACUUCAUGUUAUUAUUUUAUUGUAGACAAUCUUAUUGCAACAAGAUAUUGUCAUUGAAAUUAAUUAGCAGUUUAAUUACCAUUCUUUAAGUUCUAAUCAAGUUUGCUUAGGAAAUAAAUUUAUUUUUAUUUUUUAUUAAAAUUGUAGUAGUAUUUAGCGCUAUAUAGCUUCCAACUUCCGAGCACUUCACAUUUGUCUCUACACUUCCAAACCCAUAUCUGUCCACCAUAACUUAUACUUCCUUAUACUGUGCAGCAUACUUAAAUAAGAGAACCAUCUCCAAUGUUAAAACCAACCACUCUAUAACAUUCAUUUAGAAACUAUAUUUAGAAUAUUUUUAUAAUCAUACACAAGAAAUGAAACACCUAGAUGCACUUGAUCGCCUUUUUUUACUUUAAAAAAUAAUGAUUAUGGUGCUAUCAUCAUCUUCUUCACUAGCGUCAUUAACACCAAAUCCAGCGACGGACCCAUACAUUUUAUCAAGAAAGGUAUAUAUAUAAUAAAGUUGAAGCUCGACAAAAAUUCAGGAAGAUUGAUGCCUCGCCACAACAAGGGGCACACCAACAUCAAAGUAGAGAUGAAGCAAUAUUCUCAAAGCUAAAACUCUCAAAUCCACCCACCAGAAUUUCAUAUCCCUCAACAAUUUUAAGAACUAAAGAUAAUUAGGAUCUAACAUUAGUUUUUUAUAUAUUAGUUUCAUAAUUUACAAAUCAAUGAAGAUGAAGAUUAUGCUAAUGAAUUCAAAUUAUACCAUACAUUCUCGAGAUGUUACCAAAAAUUUCUAAGUCAAUCCCACAUAUUUCAUAAUUUUAAGACUAGAAAAUUUCAUUAGUUAGAAGUUUAUUACCUUCAAGUGGAAGAUGAAGAACAUUAUACAACUGAUUCAGAUUAUAUCAUACAUACUCCAAAUGCAACUAGAAAUUAACAAGUUCAUGCGCACAGAUUUCAUAACAUUAUGAUUGGAAAGUUUCACAAAGAGAAAUUCUAAAUUCAAUCUAUUGCAUCAAGGUAGUUUGAUUGAUUUGAGUUACUUUCUGAUCAAGCUACUAAUAUAACAUUCAAGUCAGGGAGAAAGUAAAUUAAAUCUGAGAAGAAAUAACAAUAAAAAUUUGUUGCUAAACAUGAUGUGUAUUUUUUUUUCAAGGCAAUUUGGAAACACAGUUGUUACUACAGAUAUUCUCCUCAACUUAGAGAUAAAUACAAAUAUUAAAAUGCAUAUGAUCGCACAUAUUACUUGGAGCUUAGUAAGAUUUCAUAAAGAGAAGAAAUCAAACCACUUAUCAAUUGUUGCAAUCGUUCUAUAAGCUAAAAUAGCAAUAUAAUACAAGAAAAGGAACAUAUAGAUACUUGGCAAGAGUUCAUUAAGAAGUCGCAUCACAUUCGGGUGAGUUUGCUUCUGAUAUCUUGCUAGCGGGGGCUUUUUCUUGUCUUUCUACGUAUGCCGAGGGAAACUAACCAGCUUGGCCCUUGCAUUCACCUUCUGACCAUCCAGUAGGAGCCACCUUGAGAAGUUAUAACUAAAACAGUGAAUUAAACAAAAGUUGACCGUUCAAAGACCUAAGGGGAAAACUAAUUCUUUUACGUAGGAGGAGUGAAUUAGUUGUGAUCACUGAAAUAACAGCAUAACUAUGGAAGCAUAACAAGAUAUAAAUUCACACGUCUAUAAGGGUAAACUGGGUGGUUUAGAACUGAGCUAGCAACCCUACUAUAUUCUGAUUUGCACUUCAAUGUAAAAGGGAAUAUAUGGUAGGAAGAAAGAAAACCAACCAUCAUUUGUUAACUCAUUGCUUUUCAAUCAAAAUUUUAAGAACAAAAUGCCAUGUGCUUUGAACAUCAAAUAAGUAUAAGCAUUAGUUCUAAAUUCCACAUAUCAUAAGUUAGAAGGAUAAGUUAAUAGCAUAGUAGAAAAAUCUCUGUGUUGUUAUUUAGAGGGGAAAGUACCAGGCGAACCACAACAUAAUCAUCAAUUGAAAGACUUAGCUCUCCAUUUGCUUGAGCAUCAAAUGGAUGUAUAACCUGCAAGAUAAUGGGAUAAAUAGAACUUAAAUCUUAAAAAAAGCAUAACAAAAGCAGCAACAGUAGCAGCAGCGUUCAUUGUAACCACUAUGAUCAUGGCCAACAAAGAUAUAUUAGAAACAAAAUUCCAUUUUUACUACGACAUUAAUAUGUACUAUAUGAUAUCAUGACGAUAGGGUUACCAAGAGCUAUCAAAGUCCAAUAAAUUCUGUAUAACUUUAUGUAGUUAUUCAAAUUAUGGAUCAGAUUUUAAAUCUGAAAUUUUGACUGCUCUCCACAAAACAUGGCCUAUGCACAAGAAAGUCAUAGAUAAUGAGGAUUACAAGUGUCUGACAUCUUUUGAGUGAUGGAUUUAACAUGAGAGCUUAUGGUCAGUCAAUUUCCUCUGCCUAGCAAUAUAAGCUUUUUCGGCCAGAUUUAUCAUCAAAUACAUAGAUUGCCCCCAAGUCACAUCCAUAUAAACAUAGUUUUUCUAGGUAAACCAAGUAAGGAAAAUCAUAAUUCAGACAUAAUCAUAAAAAGACCCAUCUAACUUUCUUUGGCAUGCCUAACUCAGCUUUGAUGUUGCUGAGAUAUUGAUAGUAGAGACACAUGAUACUUCUAGCUCAUGCAUUCUAUCUAGCUCAUCUGACAGCUAUCUCUUUUUUAAUUCAUUAGUGUUUGCUAAACCUCAUGCUUAAGAGUCCUGUUCUCCUAAACAAAGUUUUCUAAGAAUGACUUCCUCAGCACCACAUUUGGACACUUUUAAAGCAAUUUUAUUUGGGGGAAAAGAAUUUUCAAGGUGUUAACUAAUAAAUUUUAAAAAAUAAUUACAAUUUGUCCUACGAUUAUAUGACAAUUUAUCUGGGAUGAACGGAUACAGACAAACAUCUUCCACUUUUAAGACUAAUCACUACUUCCGUAGAUGUUUUGCAAUAACACAAAUGCUUGACCAGAUGGUAGUGAUGGUAGAAAAAAAUUUUAUUGCUCUAAAAUUAAAAUAAGAAUGCAAUAUGUUAAGCAAAAGACUGUGCAACAUCAAAUUAAUUGAUAAGUUUGUAAUUCAGUAAAUUAACAACUUUCAUGGUAAAAUACAACAAAUUUCUUUUCAAAAAAAAAUCUUAAAAGACAGCAUUCAAUUUUGUGCGCAUCUUAUUUCUUAAGAUUUUCCAGGAGGGCAAUACAGGGACUUUCACCUACGCAAGAGAGCAAAAGCCUUACUUUCGCUAUAAAGUAGACGUCAUUCUGAUUAAUAUGCGUUUGCAAAUCAGCUCCAUUUGAAUCAGUAUUCUGAUAGACACAUGAGGCAUUUACAUCCAUUUCCAAAGUCACAUGUUGCGAGGAGGACUCAUUUGAUUGCUCCUCUAGGAUCAUCUAAUUCAAGUAGCAAGGGUUGGAAGAGAAUAAAAAGUCACAAUUAUUCUUUUGCAUAAGUGAGACGAAAAUGAUAAAUGCACUAUUAUCAGCAGUAAACAAGAAGAGAACACUCCAAGGAAUAGAUAGAUGCGGACAAGCAAGUUAAAAUGCAAAGUUCCAAACCUCCGCAUACAACUUCUCUAAAAUAGCAAUAAUGUGUUGAUGAUAUGUUUUCUCAGCAUCUACCUGCAAAGGCCCGAGACUAGGAAAACAACAAUAAAACCACUAGCUAAAGGAGAAAGUAAAUAAAGAAAUACACUUGACAUAAAUCUUGACAAGAAGCACAAUUUAAGACAUAACAAACCCCAAUCAUAUUGUUUAGAACUACCAUUCGUUAUUUCGUUAUUGUAGCAUUUCGAACAAGUGUUGACUUAAUUCAACAUUGUUGGAAAGAUAGGCUUUUAGAAGCGGAAGAAAGCCACUCAAACCAAAGUGAUUAUCCUUGUAUUGAUCAAGGGAUGUAAACAUAUUACAUUUGCAGGAUGAGUUUUAAUCACUCCCCUGAUUUAUUUGGGUUGCAGUAAAACUAAGCGAGCAACUGUUUGACUUUCAAGCAACAUCUAAAUCAGCUAUUAAAAUUCAAAUAAAAUCAUAAUAGAAUAAUAACAGGCCAUCUUGCAUCAAAAAUUAAGUUUAAUUUGUGAAUUUUUUUCUAUAGACAUGUUAGUUCCUGCUAUUGAAAUGUUAAAAGCAUUGAAAAAUUAUUCAAUAAAUUAUGCAAACAUUAAAAUAGAGGACAUAUUAAAAAGUUUCUAAUUACAAUGUUAUGAUUUCCUAUAUUUUAGCAUUUGCAUAUUUUAAUUUAUUUAAAAGCUACGUCGAUCAACUUUGGGCGUGAAGAUUUUAGCUUCUACGAGACUUGAUUGGAAUAUGCAUAAGGAAGAGUGUUAAAAUAUGAUGCAUCCAACGAAAGACAAACCACGUGUAGUCUUUUAAUUAAGCCAAGAGUAGUGCUAGAGAGAGAGAAGCACGAGAGAAGGACGAGAGAAUUUUGCCCCUUUCUCUCUACCCACUCAUUCUCUCUCUACCCCUUUUUUCAUUGUUUCUCUCGUCUUUCUCUCGUGUUUCUCUACACCAAGCAUUUUCCUUAAGCCAAAGUAGCAGCUCAAACAAAUGACACUUGGACCAACAUGCAAUCAUGAAGUGGCCGGAAAAAGGACAAAUGCAACUUUGGCUUAAAUAAAAAAUAACAUGUGACUUGACUUUUGCUGGACAUGCAUCAUGUUAUUACAAGACAACAGAAAUCAGUAUGAUAGUACUAAAAGUUGACAAUAACAUGAAGAUAAGAGGCAGAAUGUCAACAAAUGCAUAGGCACACACAAGAAAGUAUUAACUUAUAUACCAUAGCAAAAAGUCUUUGAUAUGUCAUCUGUUGCUGCUGUGAUUCAACUGACAGCAUGGCAGCUGUCGCUUCUCUACCAAGAGCCAUUAUUGUAGAUUUAAGCUCGGUCAAUCUUGCUUCUGCAUUUCGAAGCUUCACAGCACUCUCUGCUGAUAUAUCAGAUUCCCUAAUCUUUGAUCGGCGCCUAAAUACUUCAGCUGCCUGGUGAAAAUAUUCAAUAUAAAUCUAACAUAAUUCUAAUCUUGCCUUAUACAUGCAUAUGUUAACUCAAAGCUUACCUGCGCUUCAACUUCAUGUCGAAGUUUGUCAUAACGAUGAGUCAGGUGUCGAGCAUCUUCCAAAGGUGCUCCAUUGAUUAACGCCCGUAGUGGCUCAGAUACCGACAUGUCCAAAAACCUGUAACAUAGUUAGAAAAAUGAAAAGAAAGAGCAAAACCUCAAUUAAAAAGUUCCUCCAACAUAAUCAUGGAAUUUGGGCCUACUUCAAGGAUAUAUAUAAGGAUAAUUUAUGCAAUUUUGGGUCUAAGGAUGAUUCAUAUUAGGUUAGUGUUCUUCUCUUCUGUAUUUAAGGUUAAAAUAGAAAUAAACCUAUGAAAAUAUCUAAAUUAGGGCUGUAAGACUUCCACAUGCAUCCUUCAGUCUCAUGGAUUUGAUUUUACUAUAGAUGCAAGUGUCUUUAUCGAAAAUGCUUGGAGUCAAUUGAGAGAACUCACGGCCAAUAACUUGUCACACGCUAGUCUUUGCUAGUGAUGUAAGAAGUCACAAGGUCUCUUCAACAUUUGAACCAAUAAAAUUAUUAAGUCAUGGAUGUCACUAGCAAUGAUUUUAAUAUAAAACAUUACAUAUUUCAGAGUUGAAACUUUAAAAUGGAUUCUUUUAUUCAGUAUCUUAGAACUAAGUUUCCUUAUGAGAAGAUAAUAGUUUCAGUAGUAAUUUACAUAUAAUUUUCUAUAUUUGAAUUAUUUUCUAGUUAGGGAUGAACUAACCUGAUCACGAAGAAUCCCAAGCAAAGUUUCCCUCUCAUUUUCCAUCAAAUCAUGUGAAGUGCCAAAUUGAAGAGCAGCUCUUGCAACGCAAGAAUUGUCACUUUGAUUCUCCACUCCAUACUUGCAACAAUCUUCGGCCAACUUUCUCGCUACAAUAUUUGAAUACAAAAAUAUUGUACACGAGAACUAGUCAAGAAAAUUAAAAAAAAAAAAAAUCAAAUAUUAUAACGAGAGCAAGAGCAAACAAACAACCUAUUUCCAUUUGUUUCAAGCUUACUGCAACAAACCCUUCAACGCCACGGACAACAUUCCUCUGAAAAUGCUGCGCUACAGAGCAUAUAUUCCAAAUUAUUGUUCAGAUAAAACCAUACAAACCAUCAUAAUUAUUCAACAUACAUUAAGCUCCGUUUGGUAAAUACUUGCAACUUCAGUCCAGAAAAUACAGUUAAUUUUUAUUUAAAAAACAUCAUAAUUAUCAACAUACAUAUUUGACAAAAUUAUUAUUUAAAAAUCAUAACUAAUUACCAAAAGCCACAAUAAAUCAAUAUCAAACAGUCUUAUUAUUAGCUAAAGGAGGAUAGUACCUUAGCUGCCCUGGUGGAAUUGUAUAGAUUUUGAAGUUGUUGGUGACACUCAAUUUCAGAUUCAUCAACAUUUUCAAUACCAAGAUGGAGCAGAUGCUUCAAUACUGCCUGUACAAACCAUAAAAAACUAAUGAAAAAUAAAUAAAAUCGAGAAAUUUCACUAAAUAAAAGUCUAAAUAUAAUUUUUAAAAAAAGAAAAGAAACGGACUUGCUGCUGCUUGGCGACUUGUUCUCGGAGCUUGAUUGCCUGUUUCUUGAUAGCUUCCAUACUGUUUCUUUCAAAAAGCGACGACGGCUCAGCUCAUGGAGGUGGAAAAAAAAAAGUGUGAUGGAGAAAAAUAAAAAGGCAUGAAUAAUUUUUGACAAAAAGCGAAAAUCAAGGAAAGCCAGCUCUUUCCAGAAAAAUAAAAAAGAAAAAAGAAAAUUAUAAGUUUGAAAGGAGAAGAUGAUAGUGGAAGUGUGCGGUGUGGCUGCCAGCUACUUGGAUUUUACUGUUGGGUAAGGUAAUAGUAGAGAAUUUUUUUUUUUUUUUAAGAAAAAUAGUAGAGAAUUUUUUAAGAAGCUAGAACAGAGCAUGACAUUAGACUUUUGUGGACCAAAUUCAAAAGCCGAAUGGCACGGCCCAGAAGCUUUUGAAUAGAAAAACUUGCAUCAGCCUCAAUCACUUCUUAAUCGCUUGCUUUAACUGCAUCGCUCUCUCUGUGCUCUUCUAUAUAUGUAACGGUUAUGCGGUUGUAGUUCACGACUGAGGCUACGUGUUGGUUUGACGUGGCAGUUACGUUACUAGGGGAUAAAUAAGAUUGGUUUCAACAAACCCACUAAUUUUAUAAAAUUCGAGUAAUAUAGAAUAAAAUAAAAAAAAUAAAUACAAAAUUGGCUUUUAUUUUUUCUGGUUGACUGUAUUUUGUGUUCUCUUCCGGCACUACUACAAUUGUUCCCUAUAUAUUAGUCACACCCAUAUGUCAUUAACACAAGAAAUGAAAUCUAAUGUCACCUAUUUAGUUAAAGAAUCACUUAUGAAAAAAUUUUACCAUUUUGAUUUGAGGAUCCAUAUUUUGAACUGCAAACUAAUGUUCAUCAAGAACAGAGUAUGACUUAUGUGUAGAAAAUUUUAUGAUUUUGGCCCGAAAUAUAAGGAAAUUAAAUUAGAUGAGAAUCUGCCACUUUCUCAUGAAGAAAGGCAUGCGGAGCAUACCAUGGUACCAUACGGAGAAUAUUAGAACCUCCCUAGAAUAUCUUUACCCUGAUGUUUCUAACAAAAAUCUGCAUGUGGCAGCAAUUACUAGAUCUACAAUUUCCCAAAUAAUAUUUUGUGUUUCUUAAAAAAUUUGAAAUACAUAGUUGCACUUGCACACCGUGAGACAGUGCUACAAUCUACUGAGAUCUAAAUUAUAUGAGACUUUAAGCUACUAAUGUUUGCAUAUUUCUACAUGUCAAAUUAACAUUACCAUCUAUAAUCCUAAACGACAGAUGAUAAACGGCUUUUGGCCACUUAUUACUAGCAUCCACAAUUAAUUUUUGUUCAGCAAUCAGCUUAUUUUAUAGAAAUUGAUUUAGUCAGCAACAAACACUAUAAUACUUGAAAUUAGUUCUUGUUCUUUGUAAUUUUCUAUGAUUUUUCAUAUAUCAAUUAAUCUGCAGUGCCAAGAUGAGGUUUAGUUUUCAAACUAAAUAAUCAAGUAAGCAAAAAUACAAAUUCAGAGAUUAGCGGGGUAAACUAGCUGGGUGGUUUAGAACUGGGCUAGCUACCUCCCUGUAUUCCUAUUUGUAAGGUGAAUUAAUUGAAUCAUGAGAAAACAAUGUGACCAUAGCUCAAUAUGAGAUGAUUUCGGAGAGGCAUAUUGUUUUCGAGUGAAUUUGAUCCAUUAAGAGAUGAAGUGGAUUGAAGUGGAAAGUUUAAAUAACAAAUCCUUGUUCUUGAGUUUUACGACGUCGUUACUCCUUCAGGUGGCAGAUUAUGCAAGUGAAUUCAAAAACACAAUGCAUCAAUCACGGGGACAAAAGACGGGAUCACAGUCUAUGCAUUGAACAGUUACAGUUGCUGCUACCAAUUGUUCGGCAAAGAUCAAGAAGACUGAACGGGAAGCUAAUGCCAUCAAUGUCGUCUUCACUAUAUCUGCUGGGAAUGUAGGUGAACUUUCCUCAUUUGCAGCUGUCUAUACAUAGGCUUUUCCCCAGCUUAAGUACAAAUAAAUGAAGCUGCCUUGAAGGCUUUAUUAUUGACCCCAAUAAGGAUUACUAAUUGAAGAAGACUAUACGGAGUUAAUCUCACAUUUUAGUUCUCUCAAUUUCUUUCAGAAGUGCCUCUGAAAAUAGCUGCCAAACCGUUAGUCAGCUUGUAUACUCUGUUUUCUGGAAACAGAGUAGCAUAUUUAAUCGUUUUAAUUGAAUUGUCUUCGUAGCGAUCAUCAACAAACUCAUCAUAAGAUUUUUGAAGCACCCAAGGACUAUCACUGGGUUUCUCUUCUGGUUGAUUUAUUAAUUAAUCAAAGAACGGUUGGAUGAAGUGCAAUGAUGGAGCAAAAUUUACAAUGUCUCCGGUUUCUCCUGACCAUCGGACUUUUGCAGUGAGAACAUAUAACAAAAAGACCUUCAUCAAAAUUUGUAGACUCCGGGUAUGGAUUGGAUCGAGUUUUUUGUUUGAUAUUGAAGAACCACUUUACUAUCGCGAUAUAGAUUAUGUGCAAGGGGUUGUCUACUGUUCUUUGCCUUGUGCUAUGAUCGGUGCUUUUGACGUUGCCCCGAAACAGUGGAAAAUACUUCGAUUUCCUCCGUUUGAUGAUGCAAAGAACUGGUUAAUGUACGAUUACCUAAUUGACUCAGGAUCAAGUAACAACAACAAUUUAUUAAUAGUAGUAUCACAAACGAAGAAGAUUUCGGAGAGGGUGAUGUAUGCCUAUACCGUUUACAGGUUUGAUCCACAGGGGAUGAAGUGGUCUCAAGUGGAAAGUGAUUUAUUAAACAACAAAUCAUUGUUCUUGGGUCAUACCUCAUGAUGUCAUCAAGUGGAAGAUGAAGAUUAUGCAAGACGAAGAUCGUUUGAUAUUGAAGAAUUUGAACAGAAAGCCCAUAGAAAGUACUUAAAUAAGCAUAUUCUUGUUGGGGUAGAAUAUUAAGAAAGGAGUUGUCUACUGUGUGUUGCGUGAUUAGGCUAUGAUCUGUGCUUUGAACAUUGCCCUCAAAACAGUGGAAAAUACUUCAUAUCCUCGACAUGAUGAUGAAAAAUUGGUUACCGAUUACCUAAUUGACUCAGUGACAACAAUCUAUUAAUAGCACAAUUUGGCGUGAUGCCGUUUAGGUAUAUGGUUUUCAAGUUUGAUUCAUCAGUGAUGAAGUGGACUAAAAUAAGAUGUUUAAAUGAUAAGUCAUUGUUCUUGGGCAUAUCGUCAUUACUACUUCUAGUGAUCAAAGAUGAAGAUGAAGAUGAAGAUGAAGAUGAAAAUUGUGCGAGUUCAAGAUUACCAUCAACUCAAUUUUAUGAUUGGAGUGUCUCACCGUGACUCAGACAAAUUCUGAUUCAACCUCCUUCACCAAUGGAUUUUGAUUAGUUAUUUUGUGAUCAAGCAACUUAAUUAAACUCACAGUUUGUUAGUCUAAUUUUAGUUUUACUGUGACCACUAUUCAAGGUAAGCGAAAGUUACAGAUGUGGCAAAAUCAAUAAUUAAAUUCAUAAAAUGUUAAAAAAUAAAACUUAUAAAUUUUGCAUGACUACUUACUAAUAAAUAAAUAAGUUAGAAUGUAGUUAGUUAAUUUUACACCAUAUUAUAUAUUAUUCGAUAAUAAUAUAAAAUAAAAAGAAUUAAAAAAUAAAUAAUUGAAUAAACAAAUAUGACUUUCUAAACAGUAAAAAUUCUAGAGUUAAAAUUUAUAUUAUUAUUUUAUUUUUUAAAAUUGACAUAUUUCUAUUAUCUUACAUGUACACAGAUUUUGAGAGUUGAGAAGAAUAUAUUUAAUGAAGCUUGCUAACAUUUGGUGGGAUAGCAAGUAAGGGUAAAUAAGAUUUUUUUGUUAUUUAUUUGAAUUAUAUCUAUUUUGUUCAAGUUAAAAUACUAAAUAUAAAUUGGAGGUAGACAUUUUAACAGAUCAUCUAAGCUCUCAAAUCUGAAAUUUUGUGUAGAUUUAAAUUCAUAAUUUUAGUUAAUUUUCAUACAUUCAUAUAAACAAAUUUAUGAGAUUUUUCUUUUCAGCAUGUUAUAUUUUGAAACUUUCAAUGUAUUAUUCUAGCUUUAUUUAAAUAAUUAAUUUAUUUAAAAUUUAUUUAAUUUUGAAUUUGAUCAAUAGUAAAAUUAUUUUUAUAUCAAAUUUUUUUAUUUAAAUAGUUCGUGGAUUGGACAAAAUUAAAAAUUUUUAAUCCACAAAAUGGUGGAUUAGAUAUGAAUUGGGUUAAAUACACAUUCGAUCCGCAGUCGUAUGAAUUUGAUUUGGAUUGAAUUUCAUCAAUCCAUGGAUUAGAUUGGAUUGAAAAAUUUAUUAUCCGCAAAAUCGUGGAUCGAAUAUGGACUGAUGUCCAAUCAGCAAAAUCCAAUCCCCGAACACUCCUCUAUCAAAAUUUUCAAGAAUAUUUUUUAUCUUACAAAUUUUUUUUAAAGUCAUAGUCUAAGGGCGGCCCAAUUUCUACUCCAUCCAUAUAAGCGGAGUUCAAAUCUCAUACCUCUUAUCUCCACACAAGAGAUUUAACCAAUUGAAAUAGCUAGCACCCACAAGUAUACUAGUACAGCAUCUCUUAACGUUUAACAUACGUAAAAUUAACGCCAUAGCUAUUGAUAAACACAUUGUUCAAUAUAUAUGAUCAAGAAUCUGAUCCUGCGAGCAACAGCAGUCAGAAGAACCAUUAUAAUGCCUAGCUCUUAUCCUGGUUAAUCCUCUGGCCCGAUGCUUCAUCAUAGUGAUUUAAAAAACCAACAACAGCUCUCUAAAAGAGAUGAAGAUAUCAUCUACGUAAAGAACAUGAGACGGAGAUUCACAACCCAUAAGAACUGAGAUAAAUUGGACCAGACCAGUAAUCUUGAGAUAAGUUAAACUGUGACUUAAGUUGAAAUCAGAGGACAGGAAUUUUAAAAUCUUUCGGCUAAGCCCCUGAGGAAUUUUCUAGAGUACGACUUCUGCUUACCUCUGUUUAAUUUCUCUUUAUAUUUUUCUUUCAUUUCAUUAAUAAAGUCAAAUAAUAAAUCAAAGAACGAGGGAAGAUUUUUCCAAGUCAUGCAUUAUUUGAUUACCAUCAAUCAAGAAACCGACCAAAUUAAUUUCUCUCCGUGAUUUUUAAAAAUUAAAAAAAAAAUAUUUGAGCAUAACAUCAUUAAUUAUAGAGUGGAUCAAACUGCGUUAAUCAUGAACUUUGUUGUGUUAAUUAUUUCAAUCCCCGAUUACGCAAUUUUUAAAUUAUAGCCUAACGGUGGUCUCAUCACCACGUGUGUGAUUUUCUUUUGCCAAUAGGAUCUGUAGAGAGCUUGAUCUCACCCAAUAGCAAAAUAAACUUCCUAAUAAGUGAAGGCAUAGUAUAAAUAAUUCACCCCCAUAUUAUUUAUUAGCAGCUUGAUUAUUUUAUAUGCAUCUUUGAUUUAAAUUUUUUUUUCCCAUAAUUGCUACUAUGUUCGAACUGGUCAUGAAUUAUCUAUAAGAUUUUUCAUGUUGCUUUUAGGUGCAUUGGAUUUUUUUUAGUUUAGUGCAAGAGUAGAGGAAGGCAAAUUAAGAAAAAGGAUAAAGAUCUAUGAUUAGCUAUUUUGGGAUGUCUCAUAACAUAUUGAUGGUAACAUUAUACAUAUGUAUAUCUAAAAAAUGGGGUUGGAUCAAGAGCCCAUUAAUAAUCAUAGAUUAGCUUAUAUAGCAAUUUCACAAGCACAUGUUAGCCUAUGUUGAGCUUUAUUAUCAAUAGUUCAUAGUUCAUCGGUGCACUGCAGGUUUACUAUUUGAAGUAAAUAUUAUGGUGCGUGCAUUUUUUAUAAGGCCAACUGCUGAAUUUAGCAUUGAAACUUACAAAAUGUAAUAGAGAGAGGUAGAUAACAGCCACAAAACACUAAGAUUGGAAAUCAGGGCUACUAAAUACUAUUACAAGCCCUUAGAAAAGACACUGAUCAUCCUAGAAUGUAUAUACUGAAAGUAAGAAAUAUUAAUCGCAAAGUUAUGUGCCAACAAAACUAUUGACUACUUGUCUCUAGCAGAAGGUAUAUAUUUUUAACUUCAGCUCUCUACUUUGUUCUAAGAACUAGGCAAAAGAAUGAAACUUCGGUGUCUAAAGUUUGCCGCUUGAAAUAUUUCACUGUCUAAACAUUCACUCACCACUUAUUUCAUAAAUGAAUUUUGUCUAACUAUAUGUUGAUAAAGAUAUUAGAGGUAAUAUAAUGCAUUUAAGACUUAACGUAUAUUUUUUAUUAGUAGAGUGUAGAAUUUUUAAGAAAUAAAUUAUUAAAUUACUAUAACUAACAUAUUAUUUUAAAGUUAUGUUAAGAAAAGAAUGAAAAUAAAAAAUAAAAAAAUAAGGGUAUUCUAAAACUUUGAUCCUUUUAAAAGUAGUUUUUGACGUAAAUAAAAUAAUUUUUAUUUUUUUUAAAUCACAUACUCUAGUUAAAAUCAAAUUUGUAUUUAUAAAGAUUGUAAAAUUUUUUUUAGCAUUAAUAUUUGAAUACUUUCAAGAUAAGAAAUAGGGUACUAAUUAUGCUACAACAUUAUUAUAGCACAUAAAAAGACAAUACCCUUUAUAUUAUUAUACUAUCGUUUUUGUUAUGAUAGUAUUUUGUUAGUGGUCAAAUAUUACUUUUUUAAAUAAAAAAGUAGACAAAUGUAAAUCAAUUUUUAAUCUCUCCUAAAAUUCUAAUUCCUAGUUACCAAACAAAAUUGUUUGAAAAUAAUUUGGCUAAGUGCAUGGGUUCUUAAAACUAUAGGUGAUAGAAGUUACAAGCACAAGCAAAUUUGACGGUCCAUUUUAUAAAAUUUUUAAUAAUUUUUUAUUUACCAUUUUACCACCUAUAUAAUGAGUGCCACAUCGACAAAUCAAUUCAUUUGCAAAUUAUAUUAAUUUUGUAAAAUUCAUUUGACUUGCUAAACCCUUCUUAUCCCCUUUCUCGACUGUCAUACCCUAACCUUAUUUCCCGUGUCCACACUUGACCACGCUCAAUUCAGGCCAUCAGAUUAUCCUGGACCCACAUUAAUCCAACUGCUCACAAUGACCGACAGCCUCUCCAUCUCCAUUUCAAGCUUCCUCUUCAACUGGCUUCUGCUUCCGUCGUACUCUUUCUUGGAUUCGGAGUCCGUAUUUGCUCGGCCGGUCCCGCACAGCUCCCUCUCACUCCAAUUGUCACCCAACAAGACCAAUUGCUUAACAUUGACCGUAUGGCAAUUGUCCGUAUUUCUUGGAUUCGGAGUCCGUAUGGCACAGAACAAGAAGAGGAUGAGAAAUUGAAACAAGAAUUUGAGAAUUGGAAAUCGAAAACGUACGCAUUGACCGUGCCUUUGAGGGCAAUUACUUUUCUUGAGAAUUGAAGUUUGGUAAUGUAAUUUGUUCUCCAUCUGUGUUCCCUUUGUAGUCAUUUCAUUUAUUUGUUUGUUUGCUUUUAUUUGCACUUACGAAGUCUCAGAUAUAUCUACGCAGGAAUGAUGCAGGAGAAAUUGAUCCUCGAGCUUACAAGAAAAGUAAAUUUCGAAAGCAUAAUUUGGCUCCGAUUGAGGUAAUAAUUGUCUUUAAACUCAUUUAGUUUUAUAUCAAACAAAAUAAAGGCUGCCUUUCUCUUCAAUAUUUUUUAUGAUAAUAUCUUUAGAAGCAUCUCAUUGACGGGUAAUCAUGGUAUCCCUUAAAGAGUCUAUAAACUCAAUGAUAUUUUCUUCUGCAAAUGGUUCAUUAAACUUCUUAGACGUAGUUAAAUGUACACUAAGAACAACGAGAAGCUAUGCCGCUGUAGCAUGUAGUGAGAUCUUGUUUGAAGUUGUUUUCUGAAAUGAACUGCCAAAUGGUAGUUUUUUAUUUCUUGGGUGCAUUUGAUGACUCUUUUCUCCUCAUUUUAAGCAUGUACCUGCUUGGAAUGGGAAGGAAUAGGCUUCCGAGUUGUUAUAUAUGUUGACAUGCUCUGAUCAUUACACAAAAUGUUCAAAUUGGAAAUUAGAAUGAGAUAUUUGUCGAUGCUUUUUGAGAGAUCUGCAUUCUAUGCACCAUAACAUGAUUAAUGAAAACAGGUUUAAGGACUGGAAAGAUCUGUGGCGGCCCAAGCUUGCAGGAAGGAUUUCAAUGGUUAAUUCUCCCAGAGAGGUUAUUGGUACAGUUUUGAAGUAUAUGGGAGCAUCAUACAAUUCAAACGACAUUGAUUAGCAAGUUGCUGCUGGGAGGAUUGCUGUUCAGCAGAAUCUGGCAUUACUGGGAAACCAGGUACUCUUAAAGAAAUGAUAUCUGGUCAAUGCAUAUUACUGCCUGAGCUGAUUUUGUUUGUAAAGUCUGCCUCUUCAUACAUAUGAAUGCAUAUGUUAGUGUUUUCUUCUCCUUUUAAUACACAUGAAUGCAUAUGUUAGUGUUGUCUUCUCCUUUCCAUAAAUAUGAAUGCAUAUGCUCUGGGUGUUGGUUACUACUUCAAGUGGAAGGUGAAGGUGAUGCAAGUGAUUUCAGGAGUACAUAUAUUCCAAGGAUGCUGGACUAUUAUUGCUUCCCCCCAUAUUUCAGAAUUUUUUGUCAACCUCCUCCACUAAGGGAUUCCAAUUGAGUUACAAAUAUAUUUUCUGUAGCUAUGUUUUAAAGUUUUGGUCUCAUGUUAAUUUUUCUAAUUACUAUUCUUCAACAAAUCUCUUUUACUUUAAAAAACUGCUACAGUUUGAUUUUACUGCCUUAUAUCAUUGAACAUUGAUACAUGGAAUUUGAAAUCAGACUUGUAACAACAGAUAUAUAGAUAUAGAACAUGCAUAUAAUCUCCAUUUCGAGCUCCCUCUCCAACUGGCUUCUGCUUCCGUCGUACUCUUUCUGGGAUUCGGAGUCCGUAUUUGCUCGGCCGGUCCUGCACAGCUCCCUCUCACUCCAAUUGUCACCCAACAAGACCAAUUGCUUAAUCAAGGCACAGAACAAGAAGAGGAUGAGAAGUUGAAACAAGAAUUUGAGAAUUGGAAAUCGAAAACGUAUGCAUUGACUGUGCCUCUAAGGGUUGUUUCUCUUCAGAAUUCAGUGCCUCAAUCUUGGGUUAAGGAUUUUAUGCGAAGUCAAGGAAAGAGAUUGAAGUUUCAGAUGAAUUUGUGUGCUAGCAUUGGUGGGAUCUUUAACAAUUUAUCUGUGCCCUUUAACAAAGUUAAGGGUAAGUCAGCUUCGUAUACGGCUGCUGAUUUGGUUAGUGUUGGUGAUUCAUGGCUCAGUUUUGCGAUUAAAAAGAGAUUGAUUGAGCCAAUAGCUGAAGCUGAAGAUCAAGAUUGGUUCAAAUGCUUAUGUCACAAAUGGAAGGUAACAUACUAACAUCUUUAUCUUUGACCCGAUAAUUUUUAUUGUCUUACAUUGAAAUUUGGUAAUGUAAUUUGUUCUCUAUUUGUGUUACCCUUUGUAGUCGUUUUAUUUAUUUGUUUAUUUGCUUUUAUUUGCACUAAUGAAAUCUCAGGUAUAUCUACGCAGGAAUGAUUCAGGAGAAAUUGAUCCUCGAGGUAAAAUAUGGGCGGCACCAUACAGGUGGGGCACAACGGUGAUAGCCCACAAGAAAAGUAAAUUUCGAAAGCAUAAUUUGGCUCCGAUUGAGGUAAUAAUUGUCUUUAAACUCAUUUAUUUUUAUAUCAAACAAAAUCAAGACUGCCUUUCUCUUCAAUAUUUUUUAUGAUAAUAUCUUUAGAAGCAUCUCAUUGACGGGUAACAAUGGUAUCCCUGAAAGAGUCUUUAAACUCAAUGAUAUUAUCUUCUACAAAUGGUUCAUUAAACUUUGUCGUUGUAGUGAAAUGUACACUCAGAGCAAUGAGAAGCUAUGCCACUGUAGCAUGUAGUGAUGGCACUUAAUAAGUGAGUUGCUAGGAUGUGAACUAGAAAAAUUAAAUAUUGUCUCCUUGGGUAUGCUAGCUCAUAAGUCAGGGUUAAUAUUAGAGCUUAAGUUACUAUAACCAUGAGACGCUAUUGACUGCCAAUUAAAAUAUCCAUUAAAUUGUCUAGGAAGUUAUGAAAGUGGAGGUAUCUUCCGAUUUCUAAGGCCAGAUAGUAGACAUCAUCCAGGAUCCUAGGAAAGUGCAGUUAACCUCCUGCUCGAUGCAAUUAAUAAAUUUGGUCAAUGCCACUGAAACCUGCAAACCGACGUCACAAUGCAAGAUGAGCACUUCAAAAUGGGACAGACGGUCAGUAGCACUAAAUUUUUCUUUCCCAAGAUUGAGCAAUUGGUCUAACAACUAACCCCUAUUGUAGGUUGAUCAUUAUUUUUCCAAUUAUGUUCAGUUUGACCCAAAAAGUUACAGAAUCUUGAGCUGAAUAUUGUCACUGAACACUGUCAAUGUCGUUUAGCAUACCCAACUAACUUGAGUUUGGUAAAACAAACACACUGUGUGUCUCAUCUCUCACAAUUCAAAUUAUCAUCUGUAAUGAUGGAGAAUUUUUCCGAUGUAUGAAGUAUGCUUUGAUACGUGUACCUUGGAGAAGAUAUCUCCAAAUAAAGAAUAUGGAGAGAAAACGGUUCAGUAGUUUAUUAUUCUGUAGGCAAUUCUUGUCUCAAAAAUGGUCAAAAUUUAAAUGAAUAAGGACAGGGGAUCUUCAUUCUUUUUUCCCUUUUUUAUACCAAGAUAUCUCUCAACCUUUAUAUAAUCCCCACUGGAUAUCUGCUUCUAAUAAUUAAAAUAAAAAUUUCACCCGCACAAAUAAAUACUGACCAAGCUCUAACAAUAAAAAGUAACAUCUUUACUCAAGUAAUUUACAGUUCCUCAUCAUCUUAGUGUGAGACUAUCAUUACGUUCCAAAAACAUAAUAAAACUGGUUUGAUCCUGUUUAUUGAUGUUUAAAUGUUGUUCAUUGUGACAUGUAGAAAUGAUGAGGCGAAGUUUAUUUGGUCAUCAAUUAGUAAGAUCUUGUUUGAAGUUGUUUUCUGAAAUGAACUGCCAAAUGGUAGUUUUUUUGGGCAUAUGAUGGCUCUUUUUUCCUCAUUUUCAACAUGUGCCUGCUUGGAAUGGGAUGGAUUAGGCUGCAGAGUUGUUAUAUAUUUUGAGAUGCUCUGGCCAUUGCACAAUUUGUUCACACUGGAAAUUAGAAUGAGAAAUUUGUUGAUGCUGUUUUGAGAGAUCUGCAUUCUAUGCACAAUAACAUGAUUAAUGAAAAUGGAUUGUAGGACUGGAAAGAUCUGUGGCAGCCUGAGCUCGCAGGAAGAAUUUCAAUGGUUAAUUCUCCCCGAGAGGUUAUUGGUUCAGUUUUGAAGUAUAUGGGAGCAUCAUACAAUUCAAGCGAUAUUGAUUCGCAAGUUGCGGGUGGGAAGAUUGCUGUUCAGCAGAAUCUGGCAUUACUGGCAAACCAGGUACUCUUAAAGAAAUGAUAUCUGAUCAUGCAUGUUAUUGCCUGACAACUGAUUUUGUUUGUAAAAGUCUGCUUCUUCAUACAUAUGAAUGCAUAUGUUAGUGUUCUCUUCUCCUUUUCAUACAUAUGAAUGCAUAUGUUGGUGUUGUCUUUUCCUUUUCAUACAUAUUAAUACAUAUAUUGGUGCUCUCUCCUGAGAUGGAUGCAAUAAAGGCUUUUGGUCCUAAAUUUAGCUGAAGAAAUGGCAAGGGAUGUGAGAUUCUGUCUCAUUAAAUUAACAAAAACCCAAAACAAUGAAAACCGAUAAUAAUGUGGUGGGGGUAAAUUGGCACCAUUUGGUUUGUUUCCUUAAUGUGAAUACACGAGCAAUAGGGACUAACAAAAUGAAGUGACAACAACAAGUCAGUGUCCUUUGAUGGAUGCAUUUUAGGCAGAAAUAGGUUUGUAAUUGACCAAUUUCAAAAAAUUUAAAUUAUGUGGUUAUUAGCUGUAAUGAAGGGGAUAGUAGGUGCAAUCAGGUGGAUCCAGGAAAGUUCAACAAAGUUCUGGUAUGGCAUAGUGAAAUUGGUUUGUGCAACUCAAGAGUCUUUCAGGUGAACGAUGAUACGUUUUGAUUUAUAAAUGUUAUAAAUCUACCGUCCAUAGUAUUCUAGUAGAGUCAUCUAUAAGUUCUAGUUAUUGAAAUUGUCUACUUUGUCCAGUUUGAGUUAAGGGCACAUGUAAUAGGAAAAAUAGUAUUCACAUCUUUUUGGUUACCUAACAUUUGAUCGAUCCUAUUAUGAGGGCUUCAAGAUGCCUGACAAUAUGUAGAAUGCCCAUGCUCCUCCCCAUUGUUUAUCUUAUACAAUAAUUUGUUUUAGAUGCUAAUAUAUUUGUCGAUACCGGUAACGAUAUUACAAUAUCUGCGUUUAUUGGGUUUUACAUAGGUUCGACUGUUUGACAGUACACACUAUCUGAAGGCAUUUGGAAUUGGAGAUGUAUGGGUUGCUGUUGGGUGGAGUAGUGAUGUUCUUCCUGCUGUCAAACGUAUGUCUAAUGUUGCAGUUGUUGUUCCCAAGUCUGGUGCUAGCUUAUGGGCCGAUCUUUGGGUAUACCCAUGCCUGCCAUUCUACUUCGAUAUUCACAUUGUUAUCUCCUUCAUUUUAGCGAUCAUAAACUUGAUAAUGUGACUAAUAAGUUCGUAUUCUCUAUAUAGGCAAUCCCUGCUGCCUCAAGACUUGAAACAAAAGAAAUUGGAGGGCGAGUCAGAGGUCCAUCUCCAUUAAUCCAUCAAUGGAUAGAAUUCUGCUUGCAAACAGCGAGAACAUUGCCUUUCAAGCAAGAGGUUAUCCCGGGCGCAUCUCCCUCUGCCCUUGAAAGUACUCUGGUUAAGUUGCCUGAAGAACUUCUGAUGGGUAAACCAAGUCUGGAUACUAACUUAAUUGCUGGAGUACCCCCGGCUGAAAUUCUGGCCAGAUGUGAGUUUUUGGAGCCAUUGCCUGAAGCUACAUUGUCAGAUUAUGAGUGGCUGGUUGCUAAUCUGCAAAAACCUGCCCCCGUCUUGAUGAAAAGGCUGCAACAUUACUUGUCAUCAUUAAUCCAAAGCUUUCUAGCAAAAGCUACAUUGAAAAGUUAAUGGCACUGCAUGCCAGUCAUUGUAAUGCUGUCAGGGCUAUUGGGUCAGGGCAAUUAGGUAAGAGCAUAACUUCAUUAGGAAAAGAGGCUUCAGCUACGUUAAAUAUUGCAGGAUGUACUGAGAUGGUUGAAGUUCUUGAGGUUUUACGAGAAACGAAAGAUGAGUGUUUGUUUGAACAAAGUUGUUGCCAUCUUGCAAGAUCACUGAGCGAAUGCCACCGAUUUCUUAAUCAUUGUAGCCUCCAUAGUUGAAGUUUCCUUAUUUGAAGCUGUUUAUGCGUACGCUUUUUCCCUGCUCAAGUACAGGAAAUUGAAGAAUUAACCAGAUGUGAUAUGCUGAAAGAGGGAAGUUUUCUUCCUUGAACGUGGCCUUGUGAUUUGUCUUGAAGGAAUAGGAUGAUCACUGGCAAGAACCCUAUCAAGGUAGAUUUUAUGGUGCUAACGUAUUAUUAAGCAUUUUGUUACAUCAGCAAUGAUGCUUCCAUAGCAUGAAAGUGUUUAAAUUUAACUGAAUGAUCUUGAUUAAUCAAUUAUGAGUUUUAAUCGAGUAAAAACUAAAUACAAUCAUCGUUAGCAAAUACUGAAAUUGGGUAAAUAUGAUCUUGAUAUUGAAGAAUCUGAAAACACAACCCACACAGGGAAUCACCCUUCGCGUGGGGAUGGAGAUGUUUACUGCAGCGAUAUUGAAUAUGUCCACUGCUCUUUGGGUUAUGGUGCGACUUGCCCUGAAACAAUGGAAAAGAUUAACAUACCCUGCAAUGAAUGAAAGCGGCUGGACUAAUUCUGAUUACCUAAUUGACUCAGGAUCGGGUGGCAAUAAUGACAGUUUAUUAACAAUGCACAGUUCCGAGUACUUUUCCAGGAUCAGAUAUUACGUGGUCUAAUGUUGAUAAUAAUAGAUUAUCAAAUGAGAGAUGCUGAGAGAUGCUGGUCUACCUUUGCAAGCCCCCAGAUUUAAGAAUCUUUUGAUGAUAAUUUACCACCUGUACCUGUGCCGGAAGAUUCACCUAGCACUGAAAAAGAUGAUAAUUUAAUUGAUAUGGAUAGUUUUCAUAACACUUUUAAAUCAUCUAUAUGUGAACUAUUAUUGACGCUAUUUUGUUGUAAACAAUCUUAUUCAAUUAAUAUAUAAUUUAAAAUCAUUAUGUAAAUCAAUCUAUUACUUUUCAUGAUAUUUAAUUGAGUUAAAACUAAGUGCACCCAAUAAAUCUCUUUUCCUUUAAAAAACUGUUACGCUUUGAUUUUAGUGCUUAAUAUUUACGGAACUCCGGUACAGGGAAUUCGAAAUCAAACUCGUAACCACAGAUUAUCUAAUUGCAAGUUUUUGUCCAUAGUUGCUGAUUGUAGUGAUUAUCUAAUUGACUGAGGUGACAACAAUUUUUUUUUUUAAUUUUCAAUAGCAUAAUGUGGAAUUCAAUAAUUAAAUUCUCCUUUUUAAUUUGUUUCCAAUUAAAUUAUUAAUUACUUAAACUCUGUUUUAAGUCUUUAAUUUUAUGUCUUGGCGUAUAUGCAGGGUUGGAUUCUUGAGCGUGUUGGACACGACCAACAAUGAAAUUGACAGUAAACAAACAUUACAACGCGUUGAGUGUCGACUCCGCUAGCUGCCCUACAAGUCUACAACUUUACAAACAACAACUGAGUACACACAUUUGAUUCUUGGGACCCUUCAAUGAAUUUCUAGCCCGGUUGACUCCACCGACAAAAGUUUUGGAAAAUAAAAAAGAAAAUUCAUAGAAUUCCACCAAAUGCAAAACGCGUGGAAUUUAAUUUUCGGCCAUGUGGACCAAAACAUAAUUUAAUGAAAAAAAAAGAUAAGAUUUCUAAAAUGUGUGGAAGGUGAUCCAUAUUUUACUGAAAACAACUUGUUAAAUUUUUCAAAGAUUUAGAAUAUUUGGUCAUAAAUUACGCUCAUGUUAAUUUUUCCGCUAUUGACUAUCAUAUUCUAGACUCACUGGUACCUUUCUUGAUGAAGGGUACUUAGUCUCUCUUCUCCUCUUAUAAAAAUUAUAUUAAGUGAUUUCUUAUUAUAAUAAAUAGUCUUUAAGAACGUAUAGAUUUAUUGUUUUCGUGACCAAAUUAUGCCAGCUUAAGGUUGCGACUAUUAAUAAAAUUAAUAUUUAAUGUUUAUGUUAAAAGAUAUAAGAUUUUAUGCAUUCAUUAAUUGUUAUUAGCUAAAGGAUUAAUUAUUUUUUCAACCCAAUCAGUUGAUGCAUCUGCAAAAAAAAUUUCUUUUAUUGACCAUAAUUAUAUUCCGGGUACAAUAAAUUAUCUUUGGUGCUUGGAAAAUUUGACUUCUUACUUCAAGUUUGAUGUGUCUCUCUCCAUAAGCUUACUGGAAAUAUAUCCUUUUGUAUUAUUAAUAAAGUGAAAUUUGUUGCUCCUUCCUUCUAAAUCUAAACAGAGUUUCACAAUUUCACCAACUUGGAAUAUUUGACAUUGGACUUUUCCUCUCUCCAUAUAAGCCUUCUGCAAAGAAUUGCAUCGUUAUUCCCUUCAUUAAAAAAUCUGUCGAUGUCUGGUUGUGAAGUCAAUGGUGUCCUACGCGGUCAAGGUAAAAGAAAAGUGUUGAUUGUGAACUCACUCAAUGGUGUCCUACGUGUUCAACAUUUUUAUUUAUUAAUCUUUCUGCUAGAUUUUCCUCAUUUCAAGAGUUUGGAACAUUUUGACCAGCUUUCUUCAAAUCAUCGGUGAAUCAAUGCCUUCUCUUAAGUACUUAUCACUGUCAGAUUCUACUCUUGGCACUAACAGCAGCAGGAUUCUUGUUCGAGGUUAAUCAGAUGCUCCCACCCUCCCUUCUUAAUCUAUAAUAUUAAUUUUCAAUUAAAUAUUCAAUUACACAAACCAAUCACUUAUUAUAAAAGAACAAUACGCAUUCAUUAAUUUUUAUAUUGUAUUAAUAAUUGAUGAAUUUAAUAAAUUUUCAAAUAUUGUAUUAAUAUUUGACAUCCAUUGAAGAGCUGUAUCUUUCAAACAAUCACUUCCAGAUCCCAAUUUCACUUGAACCAUUUUUCAAUCACUCACGACUCAAGAGUUUCUAUGCUGACAACAAUGAAAUAAAUGCAGAAAUAAUUGAGUCGCAUUCUUUGACUGCCCCAAACUUCCAAUUAAAAUAUCUCUCAUUGUCUUCCGGUUACGGAGAUGGUGUCACAUUCCCCAAAUUCCUUUACCAUCAACAUGAUCUGGAGACUGUUGACCUCUCACAUAUAAAGAUGAGUGGAGAAUUUCCAAAUUGGUUGUUGGAAAACAACACAAACUUAGAAUAUCUUUUUUUGGUUAAUGAUUCUCUUGCAGGACCUUUUCGGUUGCCAAUUCAUUCACACAAGCGGUUAAGACUGUUGGAUAUAUCCAACAACAACAUCCGAGGCCACAUUCCAGUAGAAAUUGGAGAUGUUUUACCAAAUUUAUACGUUUUCAACAAUUCCAUGAAUGCUUUAGACGGUAGCAUUCCCUCUUCAUUUGGUAAUAUGAAAUUCCUCCAAAUUCUAGACUUAUCCAACAAUCACUUGACUGGUAAAAUCCCCGAGCACUUGGCCAUGGGUUGCGUCUACUUGAAUUUUCUUGUCUUGUCAAACAACAACCUACAAGGUCAUUUGUUCUCUAGAAAUUUUAACUUGACAAACUUGAAAUGGUUACAAUUGGAGGGCAAUCGCUUCGUAGGUGAGAUCCCAGAAAGUUUGUCUAAAUGCUCCUCACUAGAAGGAUUGUCUCUUAACAAUAAUAGUCUUUCGGGUAAGAUUCCACGAUGGUUGGGUAAUCUCACAUGGUUAGAAUAUAUUAUAAUGCCCAAUAAUCAUCUUGAAGGCCCUAUUCCAGUGGAGUUUUGUCAGCUUGAUUUGCUUCAGAUUUUGGGCAUUUCAGACAACAACAUAUCUGGAAGUUUACCAUCUUGUUUCCAUCCUCUCUCUAUCAAACAAGUUCAUCUUUCAAAAAAUAUGUUACAUGGACAGCUAAAAAGAGGUACAUUCUUUCAUUGCUCUUCCCUUGUGACAUUAGAUCUUAGCUAUAACCGCUUGAAUGGCAGCAUUCCGGAUUGGGUUGAUGGGCUUUCUCAGUUAAGCCACCUUAUCUUAGGUCACAAUAAUCUUGAAGGUGAAGUGCUAGUUCAAUUAUGCGAAUUGAACCAACUACAAUUGUUAGAUCUUUCUAAUAAUAAUCUUCACGGUCCUAUUCCUCCUUGCUUUGAUAACACCACACUUUAUGAAAGUUACAGCAAUAAUUCUAGUCUUGAUGAGCAAUUUGAAAUAUCUUGUUCCAUCGAAAGCCCUCAGGGAGAUGUAGAAAAGCAAAUCCGUGAAAAUUUUGAGUUCACAACAAAGAACAUUGCGUACAUUUACCAAGGAAAAGUGCUUAGCCUCCUAUCAGGACUUGAUCUUUCUUGCAACAAGCUAAUCGGUCCUAUUCCUCCUCAAAUUGGAAAUUUGACAAGGAUUCAAACAUUGAAUCUAUCACACAACGACUUGACAGGAUCGAUCCCAUCAACAUUUUCAAACUUGAAGCAUGUCGAAAGUUUGGAUCUUUCCAACAACAAAUUGAAUGGGAAAAUCCCUCAUCAACUAGUGGGGUUAAAGACAUUGGAGGUUUUCAGUGUGGCAUACAAUAACUUAUCAGGCGAAAUUCCAGAAUGGACUGCACAAUUUGCAACAUUCAAUGAGAGUAGCUAUGAGGGAAAUACUUUUCUUUGUGGAUUGCCAAUGCCCAUUUGCAGAUCACCAGAAACUAUAUCGGAGGCUUCAAUUGGCAAUGAACGAGAUGAUAAUUUAAUUGACAUGGACAGUUUCUUUAUCACAUUUACAACAUCGUACGUAAUUGUGAUAUUCGCAAUUAUUAUUAUUUUAUAUGUAAAUUCUUAUUGGCGACGUAGAUGGUUUUACUUUGUUGAAAUGUGGAUAACUUCAUCUUACUAUUUUGUUGUAGACAAUCUUAUUCCAACAUGAUUUUGUCAUUGAAAUUAAUUAGUAGCUUAAUUACGAUCCUUUAAGUACUAAUCAAGUUUGCUUAGGAAAUAUUUUUUUAUUAAAAUUGUAGUAGUAUUUAGCAUUAUAUAGCUUCCAACUUCCAAGCACUUCACAUUUGUCUCUACACUUAAAAAACUGAGUGAUCAUGUUUUGCAGAUCUGGAUUUGGAGCAGGAUGGAUCCAAACCCAUAUCUGUCCACCAUAACUUAUAGCUUCCCUAUACUGUGCAGCAUACUUAAAUAAGAGAACCAUCUCCAAUGUUAAAAGCAUUCACUCUAUAACAUUCAUUUAGAAACUAUAUUCAGAAUAAUUUUAUAAUUAAACACAAGAAAUGAAACACACAGAUACACUUGAUCGCCUAUUUUACUCUAAAAAAGAACGAUUACUGUGCUAUCAUCAUCUUCUUCACUAGCAACAUUAACACCAAAUCGAUAGACCCAUACAUUUCAUCAAGAAAGGUAUAUAUCCAAUAAAGUUGAAGCCUAACAAAAAAUUCAAGAAGAUUAAUGCCUCGCCACAACAAGGGGCACAACAACAUCAAAGUAGAGAUUAAGCAGUAUUCUCAAAGCUAAAACUCUCAAAUCCACCCACCAGAAUUUCAUAUCUCCUCAACAAUUUUAAGAAAUAAAGAUAAUUAGGAUUUAACAUUAGUUUUUUAUAUAUUAGUUUCAUAAUUUACAAAUCAAUGAAGAUGAAGAUUAUGCUAAUAAAUUCAAAUUAUACCAUACAUUCUCUAGAUGUUACCAAAAAUUUCUAAGUCAAUCCCACAUAUUUCAUAAUUUUAAGACUAGAAAAUUUCACUAGUUAGAAGUUUCAUUAACUUCAAGUGGAAGAUGAAGAACAUUAUACAAGUGAUUCAGAUUAUAUCAUACAUACUCCAAAUGCAACUAGAAAUUAACAAGUUCAUGCGCACAUAUUUCAUAACAUUAUGAUUGAAACGUUUCACAAAGAGAAAUUCUAAAUUCAAUCUCUUGCAUGAAGGCAGUUUGAUUGAUUUGAGUUACUUUCUUAUCAAGCUACUAAUAUAACAUUCAAGUCAGGGAGAAAAUAAAUUAAAACUGGGAAGAAAUAACAGUAAAAAUUUGUUGCUCAACAUGAUGUGUAUUUUUUUUCAAGGCAAUUUGGAAACACAAUUGUUACUACAGAUAUUCUUCUCAACUUGGAGAUAAAUACAAAUAUUAAAAUGCAUAUGAUCGCACAUAUUACUUCGAGUUUAGUAAGAUUUCAUUAAAAGAAGCAAUCAAACCACUUAUCAAUUGUCGCAGUCGUUCUAUAAACUAAAAUAGCAAUAUAAUACAAGAAAAAGAACAUAUAGAUACUUGGCAAGAGUUCAUUAAGAAGUCGCAUCACAUUCGGGUGAGGAGUUUGCUUCUGAUAUCUUGCUAGCUGGGGCUUUUUCUUGUCUUUCUACGUAUGCCGAGGGAAACCAACCAGCUUGGCCCUUGCAUUCACCUUCCGACCAUCCAAUAGGAGCCACCUUGAGAAGUUAUAACUAAAACGGUGAAUUAAACAAAAGUUGACCGUUCAAAGACCUAAGGGGAAAACUAAUUCUUUUACGUAGGAGGAGUGAAUUAGUUGUGAUCACUGAAAUAACAGCAUAACUAUGGAAGCAUAACAAGAUAUAAAUUCACACGUCUAUAAGGAUAAACUGGGUGGUUUAGAACUGAGCUAGCAACCCUACUAUAUUCUGAUUUGCACUUCAAUGUAAAAGGGAAUAUAUGGUAGGAAGAAAGAAAACCAACCAUCAUUUGUUAACUCAUUGCUUUUCAAUCAAAAUUUUAAGAACAAAAUGCCAUGUGCUUUGAACAUCAAAUAAGUAUAAGCAUUAGUUCUAAAUUCCACAUAUCAUAAGUUGUUAGAAGGAUAAGUUAAUAGCAGAGUAGAAAAAUCAAUGUGUUGGUAUUUAGAGGGGAAAGUACCUGGCGAACCACAACAUAAUCAUCAAUUGAAAGACUUAGCUCUCCAUUUGCUUGAGCAUCAAAUGGAUGUAUAACCUGCAAGAUAAUGGGAUAAAUGGAACUUAAAAAAAGCAUAACAAAAGCAGCAACAGUAGCAGCAACGUUCAUUGUAACCACUAUGAUCAUGGCCAACAAAGAUAUAUUAGAAACAAAAUUCCAUUUUUACUAUGACAUUAAUAUGUACUAUACGAUAUCAUGACGAUUGGGUUACUAAGAGCUAUCAAAGUCUAAUAAGUUCUGUAUAACUUUAUGUAGUUAUUUAAAUUAUGGAUCAGAUUUUAAAUUUGAAAUUUUGACUGCUCUCCACAAAACAUGGCCUAUGCACAAGAAAGUCAUAGAUAAUGAGGAUUACAAGUGUCCGACAUCUUUUGAGUGAUGGAUUUAACAUGAGAGCUUAUGGUCAGUCAAUUUCCUCUGCCUAGCAAUAUAAGCUUUCUCGGCCAGAUUUAUCAUCAAAUACAUAGAUUGCCCCCAAGUCACAUCCAUAUAAACAUAGUUUUUCUAGGUAAACCAAGUAAGGAGCAUCAUAAUUCAGACAUAAUCAUAAAAAGGCCCAUCUAAAUUAAGAGAAAAUCUCAAAAAGAGGGAUGCUGAGCUAUCAGUCUUGUAUCUAUAAGCAAUAUCAAGACUUUACAUCACCUGCUACAUCAUGAGUGGCUACACAACUUUCAGUGGUUUGUCUUUCUUUGGCACGCCUAACUCAGCUUUGAUGUUGCUGAGAUAUUGAUAGUAGAGACACAUGAUACUUCUAGCUCAUGCAUUCUAUCUAACUCAUCCAACAACUAUCUCUUUUUUAAUUCAUUAGUGUUUGCUAAACCUCAUGCUUAAAAGUCCUGUUCUCCUAAAUAAAGUUUCCUAAGAAUGACUUCCUUAGCACCACAGUUGGACACUUGUAGAGCAAUUUUAUUUGGGGGAAAAGAAUUUUCAAGGUGUUAACUAAUAAAUUUUAAAAAAUAAUUACAAUUUGUCCUACGAUCAUAUGACAAUUUAUCUGGGAUGAAAGGAUACAGAUAGACAUCUUCCACUUUCAAGACUAAUCACUACUUCCGUAGAUGUUGUGCAAUAAUACAAAUACUUGACCAGAUGGUAGUGAUGGUAGAAAAAAAAUUUAUUGCUCCAAAAUUAAAAUAAGAAUGCAAUAUGUUAAGCAAAAGGCUGUGCAACAUCAAAUUAAUUGAUAAGAUAGAUGCAGACAAGCAAGUUAAAAUGCAUAGUCCCAAACCUCCGCAUACAACUUCUCUAAAAUAGCAAUAACGUGUUGAUGCUAUGUUUUCUCAGCAUCUACCUGCAAAGGCCCGAGACCAGGAAAACAACAAUAAAACCACUAGCUGAAGGAGAAAGCAAAGAAAGAAAUACACUUGACAUAAAUCUUGACAAGAAGCACAAUUUAAGACAUAACAAACCCCAAUCAUAUUGUUUAGAACUACCAUUCGUUAUUUCGUUAUUGUAACAUUUCGAACAAGUGUUGACUUAAUUCAACAUUGUUGGAAAGAUAGGCUUUUAGAAGCAGAAGAAAGCCUCUCAAACCAAAGUGCUGGUCCUUGUAUUGAUCAAGGGAUGUAAACAUAUUACAUUUGCAGGAUGAGAUUUAAUCACUCCCCUGAUUUAUUUGGGUUGCAGUAAAACUAAGCGAGCAACUGUUUGACUUCCAAGCAACAGCUAAAUCAGCUAUUAAAAUUCAAAUAAAAUCAUAAUAGAAUAAUAACAGGCCCUCUUGCAUCAAAAAUUAAGUUUAAUUUGUGCAUUGUUUUCUAUAGACAUGUCAGUUUCUGCUAUUGAAAUGUUAAAAGCAUUGAAAAAUUAUUCAAUAAAUUAUGCAAGCAUUAAAAUAGAGGACAUAUUAAAAAGUUUCUAAUUACAAUGCUAAUAUUUCCUAUAUUUUAGCAUUUGCAUAUUUUAAUUUAUUUAAAAGCUACGUCGAUCAACUUUGGGCAUGAAGAUUUUAGCUUCUACGAGACUUGAUUGGAAUAUGCAUAAGGAAGAGUGUUAAAAUAUGAUGCAUCCAACGAAAGAAAACCACGUGUAGUCUUUUAAUUAAGCCAAAGUAGCAGCUCAAACAAAUGACACUUGGACCAACAUGCAAUCAUGAAGUGGCCGGAAAAAGGACAAAUGCUACUUUGGCUUAAAUAAAAAAUAACAUGUGACUUGACUUUUGCUGGACAUGCAUCAUGUUAUUACAAGACAACAGAAAUCAGUAUGAUAGUACUAAAAGUUGACAAUAACAUGAAGAUAAGAGGCAGAAUGUCAACACAUGCAUAGGCACACACAAGAAAGUAUUAACAUAUAUACCAUAGCAAAAACUCUUUUAUAUGUCAUCUGUUGCUGCUGUGAUUCAACUGACAGCAAGGCAGCUGUCGCUUCUCUACCAAGAGCCAUUAUUUUAGAUUUAAGCUCGGUCAAUCUUGCUUCUGCAUUUCGAAGCUUCACAGCACUCUCUGCUGAUAUAUCAGAUUCCCUAAUCUUUGAUCGGUGCCUAAAUACUUCAGCUGCCUGGUGAAAAUAUUCAAUAUAAAUCUAAUAUAAUUCUCAUCUUGCCUUAUACAUGCAUAUGUUACGUCAAAGCUUACCUGGGCUUCAACUUCAUGUCGAAGUUUGUCAUAACAAUGAGUCAGGUGUCGAGCAUCUUCCAAAGGUGCUCCGUUGAUUAACGCCCGUAGUGGCUCAGAUACCUACAUGUCCAAAAACCUGUAACAUAGUUAGAAAAAUGAAAAGAAAGAGCGAAACCUCAAUUAAAAAGUUCAUCCAACAUAAUCAUGGAAUUUGGGCCUACUUUAAGAAUAUAUAUAAGGAUAAUUUAUGCAAUUUUGGGUCUUAGGAUGAUUGGUAUUAGGUUAGUGUUCUUCUCUUCUGUAUUUAAGGUUAAAAUAGAAAUAAACCUAUGCAAGUAUCUAAAUUAGGCCUGUAAGACAUCCACAUGCAUCCUUCAGUCUCAUGGAUUUGAUUUUACUAUAGAUGCAAGUGUCUUUAUCGAAAAUGCUUGGAGUCAAUUGAGAGAACUCAUGGCCAAUAACUUGUCACACGCUAGUCUUUGCUAGUGAUCACAAGGUCUCUUCAACAUUUGAACCAAUAAAAUUAUUAAGUCAUGGAUGUCACUAGCAAUGAUUUUAAUAUAAAACAUUAAAUAUUUCAGAGUUGUAACUUUAAAAUGGAUUCUUUUAUUCAAUAUCAUAGAACUAAGUUUCCUUAUGAGAAGAUAAUAGUUUCGAUAAUAAUUUUACAUAUAAUUUUCUAUAUUUGAAUUAUUUUCUAGUUAGGGAUGAACUAACCUGAUCACGAAGAAUCCCGAGCAAAGUUUCCCUCUCAUUUUCCAUCAAAUCAUGUGAAGUGCCAAAUUGAAGAGCAGCUCUUGCAACGCAAGAAUUGUCACUUUGAUUCUCUACUCCAUACUUGCAACAAUCUUCAGCCAACUUUCUCGCUACAAUAUUUGAAUACAAAAAUAUUGUACACAAGAACUAUAAAAAAACUAAUGAAAAAUGCCAAGAUGGAGCAGAUGCUUCAAUACUGCCUAUACAAACCAUAAAAAACUAAUGAAAAAUAAAUAAAAUCGAGAAAUUUUACUAAUUAAAAGUCUAAAUAUAAUUUUGAAAAAAGAAAAGAAACGGACUUGCUGCUGCUUGGCGACUUGUUCUCGGAGCUUGAUUGCCUGUUUCUUGAUAGCUUCCAUACUGUUUCUUUCAAAAAGCGACGACGGCUCUGCUCAUGGAAGUGGAAAAAAAAGUGUGAUCGAGAAAAAUGAAAAGGCGUGAAUAAUUUUUGACAAAAAGCGAAAAUCAAGGAAAGCCGGCUCUUUCCAGAAAAUAAAAAAAAGAAAAAAAGAAAAAAGAAAAUCAUAAGUUUGAAAGGAGAAGAUGAUAUUGGAAGUAUGCAGUGUGGCUGCCAGGUACUUGGAUUGUAUUGUCGGGUAAGGUAAUAGUGGAGAAUUGUAAGUUUGAACGGAGCAUGUUGGACUUUUGUUGACCAAAUUCAAAAGCCAAAUGGCACGGCCCGGAAGCUUUUGAAUAGAAAAACUUGCUAGAAAGCAUCAGUUUAAAUCACUACUUAAACGCUUGCUUUAACUGCACCGCUUUGUACUGUUUUAUGUAUGUAGCGGUUGUGCGGUUGUAAUUCACGGCUGACGCUACGUGUUUGUUUGUACUGUUCUAUUCGGUGACAGAGUAUUAUUAGUUAGGCCAAAACUAUGUUGCAACAGUGGUACAGUAGCACUGUUGCUUUCAGUCAUUAGAUCUAUAGUUGUACAGUUGCAUUAACAAGAUCCAAUGACUGAAAGCAACAGUAGUACCGAACUACUGUUGCAACAUAGCUGGAGCCUAUUAGUUAUUUCAAAGGGAUAAAUAAGAUUGGUUACAACAAACCUACUAAUUUUAUAAAAUUCAAGUAACAUAGAAUAAAAUAAAAAAAUAAAUACAAAAUUGACUUUUAUUUUUUAUGGUUGACUAUAUUUUGUGUUCUCUUCGGGCACUGCUACAAUUGUUCCCUAUAUAUCAAUUACACCACAUACUAUCGACACAAGAAAUGAAAUCUAAUAUCACCUGUUUAGUUAAAAAAUCACUCAUGAAAAAAUUUUACCAUUUUGAUUUGAGGAUCCAUAUUUUAAACUACAAGCUAAUGUUCAUCAAGAAUUACUGAUGGACAAAUUAUUUUUUUUGAUAGAAGAAUUUCUUUAGGAACUACUAAAUUAUUAAUAAAAAUAUCGAACACACCCACAUAUCAUCGACACAAUUGAUUUUGAGGAUCCAUGCUUUGAACUACAGCCUAAUGUUCAUCAAGAAUAGAGUAUGGCUUAUGAGUAGAAAAUUUUCUUAUUUUGGCCCAAAAUAAAAAGAAAUUAAAUUGGAUGAGAAUCUGCCACUUUCUCAUGAAGAAAGGCAUACGGAGCAUACCAUGGUACCAUACAAUAUAAGAAGCCUCCGUUCUUUGGUUUUUCAAACUCUGAAGGGGCUAAUAUUGCCAAAUUCCCCCUUGAAAAUUCUGAUUACGACAUUAUUCAUCGCUUGAUGCAAUCAAAGUAGUGACAAAGUUAGGAAAAAUAUGAGUCCUAAGUAAUUGCUAGGCAGGGCUCCUGAGAGCAAAAUUGUCCUAAGCAUUAUAUGCAUACAUAGUGCAGUACAUAGAGCACGUUGAAUUCCCCACUAUAACACAAACCCAGAAAGACAAGUAAUAACUCAACUGAUAUAAAGACAAAAAGAAGAUAAAAUGAUAUAGAAAAAAGAAUUUCAAAGAGACAGCAACAUACAAUAGACUGAAGCCACUUGAUCUGCUCAUUGAUUGCAGCCUUAAACUUGCAAAUAGUUACUGUACGCUAGUGCUCUAAGAAGUGAAAAUGAUGCGAGCCCUGAUUCCCUUUUGACUUCCAUUUACUGUCAAACAUUCUAGUAAUACAAAAAAUUGUUUAGAUAUCUUGCUAUAAAUAUAGCCGUUUGACUGUCAUAAUAAAGUCACAAAUAACCAUUCAUAUUGAUCUACUGUCACACAGCAUGCUUUAUGCAUACAACAGCUGUAUGCAUACCAACUCCUAACCUUAUCAAUACAUUUGGCAAAAACUUAAGAAGAAAGCUAUUUCUCCAUCUCUUUUUUGAAAUUUCACAAUAACCAGCACAAUGUGAAAGCUAUGUUCUAACCUUAUGAUAAAUGCUCCAGACUCCAAAAGGGUUUUAUAUAUGAGAGUUUGUUGCAGCAGAUAUAUUGACUUAUCAAGUAUGAAUCAUUGUCUGGAUGAACUAUCUUUAGAUAAAAGAAUAUUAGAACCACUGUAGAAUAUCUUUACCCUGCUGGUUCUAACAGGAAUCUGCAUGUGGCAACAAUUGCUAGACCCACAAUUCCCCAACUUGAAAUACAUAGUUGCACACCAUGAGAUAGUGCUACAAUCUACUGAGAUCUAACUUAUAUGGUACUUUAAGCUACUAAUGUUUGCAUAUUUCUACAUGUUAAAUUAACACUAUCAUCUAUAAUCACUCCAAAACAACAAAUGAUAAGCAGCUUUUGGCCACUUAUUACUAGCAUACACAAUUAUAAAUAAGAGAUCAUGGGUUUACUUGUUGCACCUACUUAAUUAUCUGCAGUUGACAUCCUGACACAAGGUUUAAAUAGUGACUGCUUAGAACCCUUGUAGUUGGAUCUUGACCUCUCCCAUUGUAGCCAAGAUUGGUUACUCUGGUAAUGAAUCAACACUCUCCUGCUCAGGGCCAUGAAGAUCUGAAAGCUCAGCACUAGUGGAGAACUUCAUCAAUCUCUUCUUCUCAGCAUACUUGAGACAAGGCUGCAUUACGAGACCAAUCACCACAGCACCAACGCUUAAAACUGCAACUUUUAAAGAAGAAAGAGCCAACACAACACAACACAAAUCAAUAUGGUUGGAGGAAUACACAUGAUAAUGGCUCCAACAGUGCCAGUGGGUAUCUUGUAGGGAUGAGAUGCAGCAGGAUAUUGUAUCCUUAACCAUACAAAUGCUAUGAACUCCAUAAUCAUUCCAAAACAGUACAGGAAGUUCUCUGCAGCUACAAUAUCUCGAAAGCUCAGCCAUGAUAGCAAAACCACACCAGAAGCUGAGAAUAUGAUUCCAAUCAAAGGAGUCCCAUAACAAGACCUCUUAGCAAAAAACUGAGGUAGCAUUCCACGCUCAGCCAUCCCCAAAAGUUGGAAAGAGUCGCUGCUCAUCUCAGCCACAAACAUGCCCAUAUUGGACAUUGCUGCAGCCCCCUGGAUGCACCAUCUCAACCAAACUCCUCCAAGCACUUUAGCAAUAUCUGAAAAGUAACCAUCGGUCCACAAGUCGCGAUCUAAUGGAAUAGCUCCAGUUCAAACUAGAAGGGGAAAGAAAUACCCAAAAAUGACCAAGAUCAAAGCAUAAAACAAAGCCUUUGGAAGAGUCUUCUUUGGGUUAUCCACCUCUCCAGCUAGUGUACUUAUUGAGUCCCAGUAGUUGAGAUUCCAAAACAGGGUGUUCAAAUACAAAUUCCAAUCCACUUCACCUAAAUUUACUACAAGCCAUCUUGAAGGCUCUAACUUGGGAAGGGACACAAGUCCCAUAACCCCAAAAGGAAGGAGUGAGAAAAUCCCUAAAAGAACAGCAGCCCAUCCCACAAUGGUUAGACCCCUAUAGUUCAUGAAAGUGAGAACAAAAGUCAAAGCUAACGCCGCAAAGGCUCUAGGUAACCCAUUGCCCAACGCAGGGAUACCAGACUUCAAGUAGUCAAGAAACAGAACUGGGUAUAAAGCAUUAUCAAUAACCCCACUUAGCCAUCCAACCUUGCUGAAAACCCCAAUAUGGGCCUAAGGCAGAUGAAACCCAAACCACAUAACCACAAUUUUCAGGAAACACAGUACCCAUUUCGGCAGUAAUUAAAGCUUCAGGGACACUCCAUAUAAUCGGAAACACCAAGAAACCAAGAAGUGCUAAAAGAGGACCAGCUGCCUUUACACUAUCCUCAACACCAAACGGCCCCCCAGAAACCUCAUAGAAUAUAAGGAAAAUAAGUGGCAAGAUUGAUACUUUUUUAGUGCCAUGGACUCGAGGAGAAGAUGGUUGGUCAUUGAUAUUAACAUAUUCAACAGCAUCAGACUGCCCUAUUUCUACUGAAACUUGCCUAUUUACAGUGUUCCUCAAUUUCUGCAUCAAGUUUAAGCAUAACUAUCAAAAGGGUAUCCGCAUCUAAAUUAUGAAACAAAAUGAGCAUUUACUUAUUAAAAAAAAUCAAAAAACAGAAAUGGAUUUCGCAGAGCACAUGAAUUUAAGUUCAACAUUAAACAGGCGCUUAAGAAAACAAAAGGGUCUGUUCGUAAAGCCAUCAGAUUGCAAGAUUGAACAACAUUAACGGAAUCAAUAGAAUAGAUGUAAAGAGAUCUGAAAAGAAAAUAAAAUAAAAGAUAAAGAGAGAUAAAACGAACCAUCAAAUAAGUGCAUGCAGAGCAGAGAGGCAGAUACUAGAGAAGCUCCGUCAUGUUAGAGAGAGCCUAAUUCAAUCAGAGCUCACUGAGUUUCUUUUCAACCGACCGGCAAAUUUGGAGUGGCACAACAUAAUAUUUUUACUUUUAAUUUUUGGAACACUUUUGAAUAGAAUUUUUUGUUUUUAAAAAAGGUAAGGGAGAUUAGUAUUUAUUUAACGGAUCAGGCUACGGUGCAACUGUGGCACCGUGCCACAGUUGCAUCUAGCCGUUGGAUGCAAUUGGAAUGGUGGAGUCCACUGACAUCCAACGGUUAGAUACAACUAUGACACGGUACCACAGUUGCACCUAAGGUUCCCUUAUUUAACUUUAUAUUUUUUAAAAUACCUUAAAAAUAUUUUUAUGUUAAAAUAUUAAUAUUUUUAUUAAUAAUUUUUAUAUUUUUAAUUUAUUUUUAUAAUAUUAUUUUUUAUAAUAAUUUUUUAUUUAAAUAUUAAUAAAAAAAUAAUUAAAUUAACAAUUUAAUCCUAAAAUAAAUAAACACGUGUUUGGUUUUGGGCUUUUUCUUUUGUUCGUUUAAUAUCAUCUGGCUCCCUGAUUUGUGACUAAUUAUCAACAGAAUCCCGUUGGUUUCUAAAUUGAAAUAAUAGAAGGUCAUGAGACUAUUUACUCCAUUUAGCACUGCAGACUUAGAGUAUAUUGAAAAAGCUUUGUCAAAUAGUAGUAAUAGGGGCAUAAGAAAUAAAUUAUAGCUAUCACAAAUUCGUUAGGAGAAUUUCAAUUUUUUCCAUCAAUAAUGGCUAUGAAGCAAAAUUACCUUAGGUUAUAUUGCAAUACUAAUACUUCAAAUCCUGAUAAUAAAUUUGAUGACAGUCGUUUUUAUCAUGGUUUUAACAGAUAUAAGAAGAGAAAAUUAACUGUUCAAACAAAUUAGAAGCAAAUUCUUUCAUAUCUUUCUUUUAUUUUUCCGCUUACUUUCUUAGCAUCCAAACAAGUUAAAGUUAAAACGCUGUUAGAGCCAACAAUAUGCAGGCAUCAAUAAGCAUAGUAGUUUUGUAUAUGUAUUCUAUACGAUAUUCUAGGGAUGUCAAUUGUAGAACAUUUUGUGGUAACUUUUUUACAUUAAUUAAUGUUUGAAGAACUUGUUAAAAAGAAAAUGGUAAUUUUAUCAUUUUGAAAGACAAAAAAAAAAAAAAAAAGAGUGAAAGUGGCGUUACCUCAUGGUCAUUAGAGACUUGUUGCAAUGAUAGCUCAAAAUUAAAAAUUUGUGAAGAAUUAGUAGACAACGACGAUACUAUAUUUAUACAGUCACCAACGUGUUGAUUUUUGUUUAAUGUUUGAUCGAUAGAAACUUUCGUCGUCGUCGCCGUUGUUGAAUUUGUGCUAAGAAUAUCACAAGAGAAGAAAAAAGGAUGAAAGGGAAGAGAAGAAGAGAGAAGUGGUGGACAGCAAAUAUGAUAUGCUAGCUACACACAGGCCUUAGAGAGUUUUUUUUUAAUAUUUAUUGUAUUUUUGUUUUUGUUAUUGGUUUUUCAUAUGCUUCCAAGGCAGCAAUGCGUUACAUCAUAAAUUGCACCUUUUAGGGGAGGUGGUAAAAAACAUGAGAGCAAUGCAUUCUAGCGCAUACAUGCAGAAAGAGUUUCCAAAUUUUCAAAAGUUUCUUUAUUUCUUCCACCUUUUUUUGCUUAAAAUAAAUUUUAAUUGUAUUUUGCAUUAACUUAGAGAAAAAAAAAUCCAGUUCUAUACAUAAACGCAUACAUUGAUUAGAAAAUGAGUUUUAUGGACACAAAGGGACAAUAUAAGAGAUUCUUUUUGUUUAUUAGAAGUAACAUAACUAGUUAGUGUAACAUGUAAUUAUAAGCUACCAAUAAUUUGCACUAAUGAUAAUUAACGGUAUAGAUUUUGAGCUAUGAAUGUCUUGUGGCUAGUUUAAUUAGAUUUUCGAGUUUUCAGCAGAUCUAUUUUAAUGAUUAUUAAAUUAUUUUCACUUCUUAUGCCUUAAUAAAAAAAAUCAAUAUUUUUUGCUGUAUUCUAUAUUUUAAAACUUAAUUUUUAGUUCUUUAUAUUGCAAACCAAACUGAGUCAAAUAGAGUAUGCUCUUCAAAUAAUUUUUCCAUUGCCUUCAAGAAGAAUUCAUUUUAUUUUUAUAUAUUAAUUUAACACUUGUAAACCGGGCCGUCAGAUUGCACAUAAAGCAAAUGAUCAAACCGUUACAAGACCGGCCCAGGCCCACCGACUCUAUUUUCUUUCAUUUGACCAUUAAAAAGCUUUUGGCCACCCCCACCAAAUAAAUAAGCUCUUGUUCUCUUUUGUUCCCUCUCAAAGGAAAAUAUCUGAUCACCGGAUAAUGAUUCCGGCGACACAAAAGAUCGAAACACCCCCCUAAAUUCCCUAAAUUUACGAUAAUACCCCACCAUGGAUGAUUCCGUUGAAAUGCCGCCUUACGAUGAAAGGCCUAAAAAGGGUUUUAACUUCACCUCCAUGCGCUUGAUCUUAACCCUCGUUUUCCCAAUUUUAACUUGCUUUUUGUUGGCAUUUUUUAUUGGAAUCGUAGCUGUUUUAUUCGGUGAAUCAUCAGUUUCCAGUUCCAUUUUUGUCCCUUCCCAGUGCAAGAUAGUGUCCAGCAGUAAGCUUUUUUUAACAUUUUCAAUUUUUUUUCCAUUUAUGAAGUCCAAAAAUUUUAUUAAUUUUGACUUUUUUGAAUGAUUUUGCAGGUGUUGAUAUAAGGUCAUCAAAAGUUUGUGAACUUGGGGUGUUGAAUUAUAAGGCGAAGCGUGUGUUUUAUCCAUUUGAAGCAAGUAAAUUUCGCUGUCGGUAUGAUUACUAUUAGGCUUCUAUCUUCAAGGUAUUCAUACAUUUUCCCCUGUACUAUAAGCUUCUCAGUGGCGGUCUUGUGAGCGGAAGUGAGCGGUGUGGUUGACAGCUUCUUGAAAAUUAUAAGUUUGAACCAAGCAUGUUAGAGCACCACCAAAAGCCUCUUUAAAUAAGAUUUUAUUAUUUAUUUAAAGAGCCACAUCAAUAUUGAAAGCUCCAAAAGACACUUCAAUUAAAAUUCUUUAAAUAAGAAUUGAUUCUCUUCAAAUUUGGAGAGUUAAUUUCUCCCUCUUCAAUUUAUAUUUUAUUACUUUUCAUUGAAGAAAUAGAGAAAUGCUUUAAUUGCUAUUAACUUUUCCUUUAAAAAACUAAUUAUAUGAUUAAAAUAAUAUUAACUUAUUUAUAUUUGAAGAGUCUUUUGAAGAAUAUCAUAUUUUUUUCACCAUUCUAUUUGCCACAUAGGUAAACAAAUAGAUAUUUAAAGAGUAAAAUUUAUAGAAACUUUUGGAGAUGCUCUUAGACUUUUGUUGACCAAAUUCGAAAGCCAAAUGGCACAGCUCAGAAGCUUUUGAAUUGAAUAACUUACUAGGAAGCUCCAAUUUUUUGUUGGCUACAGUAAAAGGAUGUUGUUUUAUUCUUCUUAUACUUUACGCUUGCAUCAGCUUAAAUCACUUCUUAAACGCUUUGCUUUAACUCCACUGCUUUGCUGGGGCGGAUUUACCUUGGAACAAGUGGGGACUUAAGUCCCCACUGAAAAAAAAAUUGUUUUAAUAAUUAAUUUGAUUUGCCAAAACUUCUCAAUAAAUUUUUCUUAAGCCCCCAUAAUUUCUUUCAACAAGCAAUUGAUCUAAAUGAGUUAAUUUCUGUCAGUUGUAUCCAAAUGAGUUCUCUGCAAUUGAUAUCAUGGCACUUGAAAUUCAACUUGAUACAUAUAUUUUGGAUAUGCGCACUAGUGCGAGACUAAAAGACAUAAGGUAUAUCCAUUGGUUUACUUGUUAAUAAUAUUAGCAUUGACUUUACCCGUUGCCAUUGCUAGUGUAGAGAGUAUUUUCAGCCAUGAACAUUUUGAAGAAUUGGUUAUAAAGCUGUGAGUAAUAGAUGAAUGAUAGUUUAAUUAUUUACAUAGAAAAAUACUUAUUUAAUAAUAUUGAUAAUGAACUUGUAAUGCAACAUUUUUAAUGUAUGAAAACUUGAAAGGACAAUUGUAAACAUAUAUUGAAGUAUGAUAAAUCUUUCAAAUUUAUAUAUUUAUUACUUUUUAAAUUUUUUUAUAUUGCCGUUGAAUGAGCCCCCAGUCAAUCAAUAUGUUGUCUUCACCCUGCUUCGUACUCUUCUAUAUAUGUAUCGGGUAUGCAGUUGUAGUUAAUGGUUGAGACUACGUGUUUGUUUGACGUGGUAGUUACGUUACGAGUCUGUUAAACAUUCGAUGAUUAAAGUAUUAUCUGUUAUUUCAAAGGGACAAAUAAGAUUAGCUACAACACACCCACUAGUUUUAUAAAAUUCGAAUGAGAUGGAAUAAAAUAAAAAAUAAAUAAGUAAAUUGACUUUUAAUUUUAGUGGUUGAAUAUAUUUUCUAUUCUCUUAGGGCACUGCUGUAAUUAUUCCUUAAACGUCAGUCAUACCCACAUAUAAUAGACACAAGAAAUGAAAUCUAAAAUCACCUGUUUAGUUAAAGAAUCAUCAUGAAAAAAUUUUGCCAUUUUGAUUUGAAGAUCCACUUUUUGAACAACCAACUUAUGUUCAUCAAGAACGGAUCAUGGCUUGUGAGUAGAAAAAUUAUUUUUGGACAAAUUAUUUUUUUUAAUAGAAGAAUUUCUCAAGGGACUAAUAAAAUUACUAAUAAAAAUGUCAGACACACCCACGUACCAUCGACACAAUUGACUAUGAGGAUCCAUGUUUUGAACUUCCACCUAAUGUUCAUCAAGAACAGAAUAUGGCUUGUGAAAAGAAAAUUUUCUGAUUUUGGCCUGGAACAAAAAGAAAUUAAAUUGAAGGAGAAUCUGCUACUUUCUCAUUAAGAAAGGCAGACAUGGUAUACCAUGGUACCAUACAAUAUAAAAAGUCUCCAUUCUCUGGCUUUUCAAACUCUGAAGGGGGCAAUAUUCCCCAAUUCUCCCGUGAAAAUUCUAAUUACGACAUUAUUCAUCGGUUGAUACAUAAGUACAAGUAGUGACAAAAUUAGGAAAAAUAUGACUCAUAAGUAAUUACUAGGCAGGGCUCUUGAGAGCAACAUUGUACUAGGCUUUAUAUGCAAACAUGGUGUGGUACAUAGAGCACGUUGAAUUCCACACUAUAACACAAACCCAGAAAGACAAGUAAUAUCUCAACUGAUAUAAAGACAAAAAGAAGAUAAAAUGAUACAGAACAAAGAAUUUCUAAGAGACAGCAACAUACAAUAGACUAAAGCCAGUUGAUCUGCUCAUUGAUUGCAGCCUUAAACUUGCAAAUGUUUACUGUAGCCUGGUGCUCUAAGAAGUGAAAAUGAUGCAAACCUUGAUUCCCUGUUUACUUCCAUUUACCAUCAACACAUUCUAUUCAUAAGAAAAAAAAUGUUUAGAUAUCUUGCCGUAAAUAUAGCCAUUUGAUUGUCUUAAUAAAGCCACACACAACCAUUCAUAUUGAUCCACAUUGCCACAUAGCCUGAUUUAAGCAUACAACAGCUGAAUGUAUACCUAACUCCUAACCUUAUCAAUACAUUGGCGACAACUUAAGAAGAAAACUAUUUCUCCAUCUCUUUUUUGAAAUUUCACAAUAAAACAGCACAAUGUAAGAGCUGCAAUGAAAAUGGACCGUCUGAAACUAUGGCGGAAGCUUCAACUAGUGUAGUGAUUUGACCUUCUUAUUAACCUAGCGAGAUCAAACACUGCCCUUGAUCUUGAACAGAUCAAUACGAUACGCACAACUUAUGAUUGAAUCCAGAAACAAUCAAAUCUUUAGCAAGAAUAAUUAAUCAGAAUCAAGAAACAAGUUUAAUGAAUAUAAACCUAUAAUUGGAACAAACACAGCCAAAGAACCCAAGAAUGACACAACGAACACCAAGGGAGAAGCUUUCCAGUGAGAUUAUAUUGAUGAUCAAAGAAGAAUCUUUUUACAAAGCUAACAAAAGAGAUUUCAGAGAAUAAGCUAUGACCCUCUCUCUCUUCAAUCUCUGUCUAGUUUGUUAACAGUGAUGACCCAAUCUGCUUCGUUAGCCAGCUUCAUAACUGCGUCAGUGACAAACCAGCAAACCCAGAUUGAGCAGACUAACGACACGUGCAUAACGGCUUUAACGAACUUGGUUAAAGAACUGCUCACAUGUUCGUCACGCGUGUUGCUUAAAUGAUAGCCAAAACGACUUCAACCAGAUGCCGUUUUGAAGCUUAUGAAUUAUAAGUGAAAACACGUGCUUGUCUCGUGACAUUUAAAUGCAACAACAAGCCCAAAACACUGCCGUUUCACUAUGUUGAGUUUGCCAUCUCUAAGCUUCACAACUAGCAGCGGACAAGAUGAUAAUUUAAUUGACAUGGACAACUUUUAUAUCACUUUUACAACAUUCUAUAUAAUUGUGAUAUUGGGAAUCGUCGGUGUUGUAUAUGUGAACCCUCGUUGGCGACACUGGUGGUUUUAUCUUUGUUGAAAUAUGGAUGACUUUUUGUUACUAUUUUGUUGUACAUAGUACAUAACCUUAUUCCCAGGAGAUUUAAUCAUUGAAAUUAACAUGUUAGUUUCAUUAGAAGGCUGAGUGGUUAGGGCUGCUACCCUCCAACUUGGAGGGCAAUAGUUUAAACCCACAAGCGCAAUGUGGGGGUAUUUCAUUCUUUAAUUACAUUGUAUAAUUGAAUAAAUGUAAUCUUCUCUCUUACACAAGUGUGAGUGGAGUAGACAUCUCUCGAAUAUUAGCGAGGGUUAAAACUUGGACAGAGCUCAAUAAGUAUUUAUGUAAGUUGGUCCUAGUAAUAAUCUGAUUUGUAAAUAUCAGUUAUAGUCUCAUGUUUCCUUCCUUAAUUAUAUUGUAUAAUUAAGUAAAUGUACUCUUCUCUCUUACCCAAGUGUGAGUGGAGUAAACAUCCCUAGAAUAUUAGUGAGGGUUAAAAUCUGGACAGAGCUCCAUAAGUAUUGAUGUAAGUUGAUCCCAGUAAUAGUAUGAUUUGUAAAUAUCAGUUAUAAUCUCAUGUAAUAUGAGUUGUAAUUUGAGCAACAGUUUCAUGUAAUUACAAAAAAAAUGCUACUUUCAUUACAUUUUUCUUCGUUAAAAUUCUCAAGUAUCAAUUAUGUUUGCUUAAGAAAUAAAAUUUCGUUAUGAAAAUUGUAGUAGUAUUUCCGAGCAUCUCACAUUUUCAAUGAUUUUUCAUAAAUCAAUUAAUCUGUCGUACCAAUAUCAUGUUUAGUUUUUCAGACUAAAUAAUCAAGAAAGCAAACAAAUUCACAGUUUAGAGGGGUAAACUAGCUUUUAGAUUUUAGAACUAGGCUAGAUACCUCACCAAAUUCCAAUUUGUACAGUGAACUACAAGAUUGAGAAAAUAAUGUAUUUAUAGUUUAAUUGAAUCAUGAGAAAACAAUGUAGUCAUAGCUCAAUCGGACAUGAUCACGGAGAGGCAUAUUCUUUUCAAGUUAAUUUGAUCCAUUUAUAAGAAAUGAAGUGGAUCGAAGUUAAAAGUUAAAAUAAAAAAUCCUUAUUCUUGAGUUUUACGACGUCGUUACUCCUUCAAGAGGCUGAUUGUGCAAGUGAAUGGAGAAACAGAAUGCUUUUAUAAUUUUUUUAAUAAUUGUAAAAAUAAUUAACCAUAACAAAUCCCUUGCGUAAAUACUAAUCAUUAUUUAAAAGGUAGAAAGAUAGUUAGUGCACAAUCAAAUUUUAAGCCCCUACCUCCUCGGCCCAAGAUUCAAACUUAGAUGAUCAGCCAAAUAAAAUUAUUUGAAAAUCAUUCAAUCAGGUUCCCGGAGUAAAAAUACAAGAUCCUUAUUAUAAAAGUUGUCCCACCUGCUGGUGUAUAACAACCACUUCAAUUCAAACUAGAUUCUUUUUGUUUUUUUUAAUGUAAUCCUGAUAAUAUUUAUGUUAUCUUAAGAAUAGGUCAGCUUGAUUAUUGCUGAAAUAUAGGAGGAAGUUAGCUUUGAUUCAUUGUAUUAUUUAUACGCUCUGAUACCAUAAAGAGAUUGAUAAUUGAAAAUGAACUCACUUCGUUACUGGUAUGUCUGGUUCGGUGGUUGGCGGGGAAGGUGGAAGAGAUGGUUGGCGGGCAGGUAGAGCUUCCUGUGGGGUUGGGUCAGCUGGUUGUGAAGUAGCCUCAGGCAGAGAUAAUUCUUGAGAGCUAGCUGCAGAUGGAGUGUUGGCUGCCUGCUGGAGUGAUGUGGGAAUGGACACAGUAAGUACAGGAGGAAUCCAAGUGGAUAUGGUAGUGGAAGUAGGACGUGGAAGAGUGGUGUGUAGUGAGGUGUAUGGAAAGACUGAUUCAACAAAUUGAACAUGGCGAGAAACAUGUUGCUGUUGAUUAUCAUUUUAUCAGAGAUCAAGUUCAAUCUGGUCUACUUCGAGUAGCUCAUGUCUCCUCUGCUGAUCAGCUUGCCGAUCUUCUCACCAAGCCACUGCCCACUUCUCAGUUCUUGCUUUUACGGGACAAGAUUGGCCUCUCUACUCGUGGCCUAUCUUGAGGGGGCAUAUAAAAGUUGUCCCACCUGCUGGUGUAUAACAACCACUUCAAUUCAAACUAGAUUCUUUUUGUUUUUUUGAAUGUAAUCCUGAUAAUAUUUCUGUUAUCUUAAGAAUAGGUCAGCUUGAUUAUUGCUGAAAUAUAGGAGGAAGUUAGGUUUGAUUCGUUGUAUUAUUUAUACGCUUUGAUUCUAAUGGAACGAAGUGAGUUCAUUUUCAAUUAUCAAUCUCUUUACUUAUUUGCAUGAUAUAUAUGAAUUAAUGUAAUUUAUUUGAAUUAUCCAAAUUCAUUAGAGAUAAAACUAUAAAAUAUACCAAAAACGUUAGAAGGAAGGGUGUGUUGGGAUGUUUUACAAACUAUAGGAAUCUGGUGAGAUUUUGAGCCAAACUGUAGGGAGUUGAAGGCAUUUGCCCAAUAUGUUUAGUCGUACACUAACCGUUAUUUGAUCUUGUUGUUGGUCCCGGAUGAGCUGUAGUCUUAUUUUAAUUUUAUUUAAACUCACCAUAAGAUUCGCGGAGCUCCUAACUAACUUAAAUGACUCUGCAGAGCAUGUCAACACAUAGCAUGUUUAACCGUUUUAUUUGUAGAAGAAUUUAUGAUUUCCCAUUAGCAUUAUUAUUGAAGUGGGGCGGGGGCGGGUCAAAUCUCAAUUGCUUGAAAAUUUUAUUUAUUAUUAUUAGUCUUGAAGUGAGGUGGGUAACGGUUCGCUCCAAUUCGAGGGAAUCAAAUAUAUCAUCCAAGGUAGAAUUGUGGAAAAUUAAAGCAAAAUAAGAAAUAUGGAAAGAAAAGAAGAAAGUUAAGGCAUGAAAGACAUAUACAGUUGAAAUUAUAAUCAUGUUUCUAUUUUGUUAACUAAUCAAAUGGAAAGCUGAACUGUAAACAAACAUUAAAACGUGUGGACCAAGCUAGCUGCCCUACAAGUCCACAAUAAUAAUUGAGUACUUUGAUUCAUCCUUCUAUAAAUUUCUACCCAUAUUGACUCCACCGAAAUUUCCACAAAAUUAAAAAAAAAAAACUGAAUUUCCACAAAAUACAAAACCCGUUGAACUUAUUUUUUGGUCAUGUGAACUAAGAUGUAAAUUAAAAAAAAAGUAUAAAAUUAAAAAAGAUAAGAUUUCUAAAAUGUGUGGAAGGUGAUUCAUGAUUCACUGAAAUUACUUACCCCAGAUAUAAAAGUAAACCUAUCUAAUUUCAUUAAAAAUAGUUAGAAAAAAUUAACUAAUAAAAAGCUACGGAAAUUAACCCCCCACAAAAAUGACUUUUUAUAGAAGAAUUUAUGUUUUUUAAAAUAUGUUAUCAAAGUGUAUUUGAUCAAAUCUCAAUUGCUUAGUAUGGUUAGGAUUUUGUGAACAUCACUAAAAAGUGAAAAACUAUGAAUGAUAGGGGUGAUGCUUGCAAUAUGAAUAAAUAAUGGACUGAUUCAAUUGAUGAUUACAUUUAUAUAUUAUUGAUUAUUUAUGAAUUUUCAGACUUGUUAUGAUGUAUAACUAUGUGAUUUUGAAACUUGAAACCGUGGCAAACAUUGAAAGGAAUUAUAACUUGAAAGCAUGACUCACGGGGUAUGUCAUGAUUCACGUGCACAAAAAAGGUAGAAUUGUGGAAAUUUACAACCCAACGACAAAUACGGAAAGAAAGGAAGAAAAUUAAAAGACUUCGGGCCUAGCCUGCGUGUAUUAAUUAUUAGAUUACUUUUUUUUUUAUAAGGGUAAUCAUCAAUUUACUCCAUAACAAUCUUUAAUUCAUUUUUAAAAAAUAUGAAAACUUUAAUUUAUCUUUUAAACAUCGUUACCUCUUCAUUGGUUUUAAUAGUUCAAAGGGUAAAAUUAUAUUUGCAUAUUUUCUUGACCGCCAACUAAAUGAUAAAACUCAAAAUUCAAUCUUGUUAUCUUGUUUCAAUCCUCUAUCAAUCAAAUAAGAUUUCUAAAAUAUGUGAAAGAUAUUGCAUGAUUUCCUCAACCUACCUGGCCCCGAACAUCAAGGUAAAUCUCUCUAAAAUAGUUGAUUAAAUCUCAGUUGCUAAGUAUAGUUAGGAUUGUGUGAACAUCACUGAAAACUAUGAUUGAUAGAAGUGAUCUUUGCAAUAUGAAUAAAUAAUUAACUGAAUCAAUUGAUUUAUAUAUUAAAGUUUAUGAAUUUUCGGACUUGUUGCGAUAUAAUAAUAGCAUAUGAUUUGAAACUUGAAACAGUGGUAAAUAUUGAAAGGAAUUAAUUUGAAAGCAUGAUCCGUGGGGAAUGUGAUGAAUCGUGUUUACAAAAAAGGUAGAAUUGUGGAAAUUUAUAACAGAACGAUAAAUAUGGUAAAAAGGAAGAAAAUUGAAAGACUUGGGGCCUGGCCUGGGUGUAUUUUCUAACUGUCCAAUGGACAAAAUUAUAUUUGUAUACUUUCUCUUCCCUAGCUAGGUUUCAUAGAAUAGCUCAUUUCAUUUUUAUUUUUUAAAUAAUAGCCCAAAACAUCCUUAUGUUAAUUCACUGUUAGUUGAAUAUCAUUUGUUAGUAAUUCAUUAAGGGUAAAAAAUGAUUUUCUAUCAAAGAGAAAAUUAGAAAAAUAAAUAAAAGUUGACAUAUAACUAAAAAUGAUCUUAUCUAAUCCCACUAAAUAAGAAAUGCCAAAAAAGAUGAAAAAUUUAUAUUUCAAGCAAUUCUUUUUUCACUUAUUUCUAUUUUGGCGGCAUGAAAGCCCUAUAAACCCUAGAUCUAAAUACCAAAAAUAUCACAAUUUUCUUAUUCAUAUAAGUAUACUCUCUAAUUGCAUUGUAAAAUGGCUUGAAUUGAAUUGAAGAUAAAGAAAAUAUUCAGCACAUGCAAGCACAUAAAAAUUGGUGGCAUUUUUGAGUUUUUCUUCCAAUGAUUUAAAGAUAUUGUUUUAAUUACAGUUUGUUCCUUAUGACAAUUAUUCAAUGGCUAUAUCAAACUAUAUCAUCGUUGAUUUCAUUUAAGAAAAAGUUAAUGAAUUUUGCAUACUUUGUAGUGUUAUUUAAUUGUGUAAAAAAAUUAUUUUAAUAUAGUUUGUAUCACUUUAAUGAAAAAUCUUAUUUUGCUCUCAAUGAAUUACUGGUUAAUAGUUUUACACUCACGGUGAGUUAACGGAAGGAUAUUUUAGGCUAUUGAUUGAAAAGGAGGGAUAAAAUGGGCUAUUGCAUUAAACUUUAGGGAUGAAAAAUGCUUUUUCUCCUUUCUUAUCAAUCAACUAACUGAUAAAAGUCAAAACUCAUAUUUUUUUUUUCCUUGUUUCAAUCCCCUCUCAAUCAAAAAAGUUUCCUUGUCUAAGCAAUGAGGAAUAUGGCUAGAAAGAUUGUUAUUAGAAAGAUUUAUCAAUAGUAAUUGGUUCACAACUGAACAAUUUUAGAUUAUUGUGAGUCAAUAUAGGUCUUGUUUGGAAUUGAAGUGUUGUAGCUUUUAAGCUACAGCUGCUUUAGAAAAAAAACUAUAAUUAUGAAAUAAGAGUUAAUAAUAUAUAAUAAAUAUAAAUUUUAAAUAAUAAAUUUGACAAAAUUAUUAAAAAUAUAAUAGAUUUUUGAUAAUACAAGUAAAAAAAUCAUAUCAACAUAGCUUGCAAGUUACAACAGUUAGUGUUUACCUAAUACUUUAAUACUGUAGCUUUUAAGUUACAGUUGUCCAAUACCUCAAUUCCAAACGCACCUAUAAAAUGGCUUGCUUCAAAAGUCUAUCAACCCAACUUGGAAUGCUCUCAUUGUUGCGGAAACGUGGGUUGAGCAAUUACUAAUACUGCAACUUCUGGAGAAAUAUAAAUGUGGUGAUAAACAAAUGCAAAGAAAAUAGAACACAAUAUUUUACGUGGUUCGGCGUAAUGCCUACGUCCACGGGCAAAAACUGGAAGAUAAUUUUACUAACAAUGAAAUUUACAAAAGUGGGAAAAACUCACAAAACCCACAACCCCAAUACACCCAAAUGGAACCUCACUAGAACACUCAAGUGGAAGCUCUCUCAAAUUCUCUCAAAGAACUCACUUGCAAUUGCUCUCUACUUCUCUCAAAUUGGGAUGGUUACAAUAGCAAAAUGCUUCUCUAUUUAUAGAUUGCAUUCUGCUCCAAGUUGGGUUCAAUUUGUCAAAAUGUUGAGCUGGAUCUUGUAUUGCAUGCACGAGCUUUUCAACACCUAACUUUGUCUUUUGAAAUUGCUUAGCCGACCAUCUUUGCUUUUUUGAAUUUGGCAAGCAAUUCUUUGACUUUUCAACAAUUCUCCACCUCGGCGAAGAUUUAGUAAAUCUGAGCCGAUUAUCAAUAAAUUAUCCUCCAGCCUUUGCCUUCUCCGACUGCUUUUAAACUUGCAGGAUAUUAAUCAAGUUUAGACAAUGCUCAAACUUGAUCGCUGUCACCACCUUGGUCAACAUAUCUGCGGGAUUAUCUAUAGUUUUAAUUUUCUGAAGAAGAAUCUUCCCCUCAUCAAUAAUUUCCCGCACAAAGUGAAAGCGUACAUCGAUGUGCUUCGUACGCACAUGAUAAACUUGGUUCUUCGUUAAAUGAAUAGCACUCUGACUAUCGCAAUACACAUUAAUGUGCUCCUGCGCCAAUCCCAAGUUUUCAAGCAAACCUUAUAACCAAAUAGCCUCUUUAAUAGCCUCUGUAAUUGCCAUGUACUCGGCCUCUGUGGUCGAUAGUGCAACUGUAGACUGUAGUGUAGACUUCCAACUAAUUGGCCCUCCAGCAAAAGUAAAUACAUAUCUGGUGGUUGACCGUCGUUUGUCCAAAUCACCAGCAUAAUCAGAAUCAAUGUACUCGAUCACACUUUGACCAAGUGUAUCGUCUCUUUCAAACAGUAAACCAACAUCCACGGUCUUCUAAAUGUACCGUAGAAUCCAUUUCACAGCUUGCCAAUGUCCUUUACCAGGAUUAUGCAUAUACCUGCUCACUAUACCAACUGCAUGUGAAAUGUCAGGCCUUGUACACACCAUUGCAUACAUCAAGCUACCCACUGCAUUUGAAUACGAAACUUGUAACAUGUAUUCUCGUUCUGCAUAUGUUGAAGGAGAUAAUUGUGCAGAAAGCUUGAAAUGAGAAGCCAACGGGGUACUCACAGGUUUUGUCUGCUCAGUCAUGCCAAACUGCUGUAGUACCUUCUUCAAAUAUUGCUUUUGAGACAAGCUUACUUUGCCACGAGCUCUAUCUCUGCAUAUCUCCAUGCCAAGAAUCUUCUUAGCUUCACCUAAAUCUUUCAUUUCAAAUUCUUGAUUGAGUUGAGUCUUCAACUUCUCAAUCUCAUUUUUGCUCUUCGAUGCUAUUAGCAUAUCAUCGACAUACAAUAGCAAAUAAAUGAAAGAGCCUUCUUGUAGCUUGCGAAAAUACACACAAUAAUCAAAUUUAUUUCUUGUGUACCUUUGUCUUUUCAUAAAUCGAUCAAAUCGCUUGUACCACUGCCUCGGAGAUUGUUUCAACCCAUAAAGCGACUUUGUCAAUUUGCAAACCCAAUUUUCUUUUCCAGCAACCUUAAAUCCAUCUGGCUGAGUCAUGUAGAUUUCCUCUUCCAAAUCACCAUGUAAGAAUGCAGUUUUUACAUCAAGUUGAACUAGUUCAAUAUCAAAUUGCGCAACCAUGGCUAGCAAAAUUCGAAUAGAUGAAUGUUUCACAACUGGAGAAAAUACCUCAUUGUAGUCUAUUCCUUCCUUCUGAGCGUAACCCUUCGCUACCAAUCUAGCCUUGUAUCGAAUUUCAUUUUUACAAGGAAAUCCUUCCUUUUUUGCAUAUACCCAUUUGCACCCAAUUGCCUUCUUUUCCUUGGGCAGUGUAACUAACUCCCAAGUUUCAUUUUUGUGAAGAGACUGCAUUUCUUCGUUCAUUGCUUUCUUCCACUGUAUACUUUCUGGAUUACUUACUGCUUCUCUGUAAGUGGAAGGAACAUCAUCAUCUACAAUUGGAAGUGCAUAGGCCACCAUAUCAACAAAGCGAGCAAGUCUGCGAAUCUCUCUAUGUGGCCUUCUAUAUGCAAUUGAAUCAUGUUGCUGUGAAGGUUCCUAGGUCAGAACCUCUUCAUCAUUUUCGGUCGAUGGAGAAUCAUUAUCCAUCUCAUCGACACCAGCUGGAUCAGCUUUAACUUUUUCAAACUCCACAUGCUGCAAACUGCUACUGGUCUUGUCAUUCUCUUGAGAAUCUUUUUGUUUCAACAUGGUUGAUUCAUCAAAAGUUACAUCUCUGCUGAAAAUAAUCUUCUUCGUUACAGGACACCAGAGACGGUAUCCUUUUACUCCACCAGUUAUACCCAUGAACAAUGCUUUCUUUGCUCUUGGGUCUAACUUAGAUUCUUUUACAUGAUAAUAAGUAGUGGAACCAAAAACAUGUAAAGAAUUAUAAUCAGUAGUAGGUUUACCAGUCCACAUCUCCAUGGGUGUUCUGCCCUCAAUUGCAGUUGAUGGCAAACGGUUGAUCAAAUGGCACGCAUAUACAACUGCCUCAGCCCAAAACUCUUUGCCCAAUCCAGCAUUGGAUAACAUACACCGAACUUUCUCCAGUAUAGUCCGGUUCAUGCGUUCUGCCACCCCAUUCUGUUGUGGUGUAUCUCGAACAGUGAAAUGUCGCACAAUACCCUCAUCUUGGCAUAUUUGAAGAAAUGGAUCAUUCUUGUACUCACCACCAUUAUCUGAGCGAAGUCUUUUGAUCUUUCGACCAUUCUGAGUCUCGACCAUUUUCUUCCAUUUCAUAAAUAUGCCCAAAACUUCAUUUUUGUUCUUCAUCAAAUACACCCACACUUUUCUUGAAUAAUCAUCAACAAAAGUAACAAAAUAGUGCAUACCUCCCAAAGAAGCUGUUUUGGUAUGUCCCCACACAUCACUGUGAACAUAGUCCAUAAUUCCUUUUGUAUCGUGAAUUGCUGAACCAAACUUUACCCUUGUCUAUUUGCCCAGAACACAAUGUUCACAAAAUUCUAAUUUGCAAGAAUUUGUACCUUUCAAUAAGCCUUGCUUCGCUAAAGUUUGCAAAGCUUUUUCACCAGCAUGUCCCAAACGCAUAUGCCACAAUUUGGUUGCUUCUAAAUCUGCAUCUUUUCCAGAAACUGUUGAUGCUGAUCCAAUAACUGUACUUCCUUGGAAAUAGUACAAGUUAUUUCUUCUUGUGCCUUUCAUUACCGUCAGUGCCCCAGCUACUACCUUCAACAAUCCAUCUCUUAAAGUGAUUGUGAGUCCUUUAGAUUCUAGGACUCCUAAUGAGAUGAGAUUUUUCUUCAAGCUUGGUACAUAGCGAACAUCUGUCAAAACUUGGAUUGAGCCAUCAUGAUUCUUUAAUUGGAUUGUACCUAUUCCCAUGGUUUUACAAGCAUUGUCAUUGCCCAUAAAAACAACUCCACCGUCUAGCUCCUUGAAGUUAGAAAACCAGCCCUUGUUAGGACACAUAUGAUAAGUACAACCCGAAUCCAAAAUCCACUCAUCUGAGUGACAUAUCAAUGUCAUGCCAACCAGACUAAAGUCUGACUCCUCAUCAUGCUCUGCUACACAUGCAUCAGAAGUAGCCUUGCCCUUUUGUAACUUAGGACAAUUCUUUUUCCAAUGCCCUUUCUCGCGACAAAAAGCACAUUCAUCUUUGGCAGGUCUCCCUUUAGACUUGUUCCUUUUUCCAGGUUUGUGGCUUUGCGAACGACCUCUCGCUGUCAGUGCUUCUGCAACUGUAUAUCUGUGAUCCUUUCUAUCUUUCUUUCUGGUCUCAGAGUUGUACAAUGCACUGCAUACAGCAUCGAAUGUGACACUGUCCUUCCCAUGAAGCAAAGUAGUGGUAAGAUGAUCAUAUUCAUCAGGAAGGGAAUUCAACAACAAUAAUGCCUUAUCUUCAUCUUCAAAUCUCUCAUCUAGAUUUAGCAAAUCCGCCAAUAUCUUGUUGAAUGAGUUCACGUGGUCAUUCAUUGACAUGCCAUGUGUAUAUGUAAAUCGAUAGAGUUUCUUUUUCAUAUAAAGCCUAUUUUCAAGACUUUUCUUCAUAUGCUUUUCUUCCAGUGUCUCCCACAAUUUCUUUGCCGAUGUCUCCCUCAUGACAGAGUAUUUCUGAUCUUUAGCCAGACAUAGGCGAAUAGUACCACAUGCCUGUCUAUUGAUUUUUAUCCACUCCUUGUCAUCCAUCACGUCAGGCUUUUCUUCAAGAGCAACGUCCAACUCUUGUUGACAUAAGACAUCCAACACCUCACAUUGCCACAUACCAAAAUUAUUGGUACCAUCAAAUUUCUCCACUUCAAACUUUGCAUUAGUCACAGUAGUUCUCGCUGAUGAAGACGACGACGGUGCCUCUGCCAUCCUUUUUAUCUCAAAUGAUCAGUUUCUUCAACAACUAUUUACACUUAAAAAACAGCCUCUAUGAUGUUUAUUUCGCGUGAAUAAAUGCACCAGGAAAGUUCCCAAGAGACUGGACGGGAACUCGGUCCCAAUUAAAAACCAGAAUCCUUAGACUCUUAUCGCCUUUGUUGACAGAACUUUCCUAGACAUGCAAAAAUACACACUACUUACAAUAGACUGCCUCCCAAGUAUAAAUGACCGUCUCCACCGUAUUUGUGAACAGUACCGUUUAUAGGAAUAGUACCGUAUACGUGAACAAUACCGUAUCCCCCCAAGUACGAGCCGUCGGCUCUGAUACCACUUGUUGCGGAAACGUGGGUUGAGCAAUUACUAAUACUGCAACUUCUGGAGAAAUAUAAAUGUGGUGAUAAACAAAUGCAAAGAAAAUAGAACACAAUGUUUUACGUGGUUCGGCGUAAUGCCUACGUCCACGGGCAAAAACUGGAAGAUAAUUUUACUAACAAUGAAAUUUACAAAAGUGGGAAAAACUCACAAAACCCACAACCCCAAUACACCCAAAUGGAACCUCACUAGAACACUCAAGUGGAAGCUCUCUCAAAUUCUCUCAAAGAACUCACUUGCAAUUGCUCUCUACUUCUCUCAAAUUGGGAUGGUUACAAUAGCAAAAUGCUUCUCUAUUUAUAGAUUGCAUUCUGCUCCAAGUUAGGUUCAAUUUGUCAAAACGUUGAGCUGGAUCUUGUAUUGCAUGCACGAGCUUUUCAACACCUAACUUUGUCUUUUGAAAUUGCUUAGCCGACCAUCUUUGCUUUUUUGAAUUUGGCAAGCAAUUCUUUGACUUUUCAACACUCAUUCAAGUGGCUAUAACUAAGAUAAAACGUCGCAAAGGAAGAGUAAUUAAAAAAUGUAACUUCUUUAACAUGUCCAUAUAGCAUUUUUGUUUACAAGUGAAUUUGUGUGAUAGAGAGAGGAUGUAAGCAAGAUAGUAAACUCCUAAAUAUAUUAUUGUUUGUAAUGUCUAAAAUUUGAAGAGAAUCAAGCUAAUAAAACUCCAUUGAAAUUAGACCUUCAAGAGUACGGUUCUUGGGCAUUAUAAAAUGUUGUAAUGUUGAGAGAUUACCCAACCAUUAUGGAAUCCUACCAAGAUGAUUGUUACCACUAAGAUACAAUCCUUCUAGUGAACAACAAUUAGACAAAUUUUUUGGAGAUCUCUCUUACAAAGUCAUUACCAUCCAAUCGCAAUUUUGAAUGAAAAUAAAUUUUUUUUAUUGGGAGUUUGACCUUAACAUUAAAUUUAGACAAUGAAUUUUAACUUUCUUCAAUUAUUAAGCAGAUUACGGACAUUUGAGGAAUUUGAAAACAUUUCAUCCAUCGAAAGUUAAAAUUAGAGAUGGAAGCUAGGUGCUACAGCUAAUGGGAACAUUAAUUCCUGUCCCUCAUCACACUUUAUUUUGGGUCUAAUAAUUUUACGGCAGCAUUGACCACUGCUCAAGGUAAGUAAAACUUACAAAUGUGUGGCAAAAUAAAUAAUUAAGUGGAUAAACUGUUAACUAAUUUUCUUGAUAUAUACAGCUAAUGUAGUUGUUCCUCUGUUAAAAAAACAAAUGCUAAGCAAUUUCGGCUGAGCCUGCUUGUGGUGUUGAUAAAAACGAGGGCUGGCUUCAAAUAUUUGAAUAGACACCUCCACCGUACCUCAAACAAAUCUGUCAUUAUUUGUGCCAUGAAACAUGUUUCGGCCGUCAAAGUCAUGAGAGGGUUGAUGACGCUACUACGUAUGAUGACACACCAGCCGACAGUGUAGUAACAGCUCAAAAACAAAAUCUACCAAAAUCAACGGAAGUUAAUAAAAAAUUAUUUUAUUAAUAAAAAUAAAUAAAUAACUUAUUAUUUUUGGAGACGUGUGUAGUUGAGUCUGUGGACUGAAAUGGAAAAUAUGAAGAAGUUCAGAGUCGUUGUGCAGAUUGACUUCAGUUAAAUGGGACUAGUAGAUAUUUUAUGCUGACGUGGCACGAAUUAGUUAUAAUCUGUUACAACGUUUCCAGAAACAUCAGUAUAAAUAGAAGCUGAUGAGCAGUGCCUGUUGUACUUGUACGAUCCUUUUUCUUCUUCAGUUGUUCGUCAAUUUGCAUAGAAUCUGUUUCAUUGUGAUCUGUGCAAAGUCUUCUAUAAAUCCACUUAUGUUUGAUUAGUUAUUGAUCAAUAUCGAGAACAUUAUCCACCUGGAACGACUUCAAGUCCAAAGUAAAAGAGAGAGUGGCUCCCCGCAAUUUUCUUGUUUUCAGUAUAUUUUCUUUUUUUUUUCUUUUUUAAAAUCUUUUGACGCAUGCAUAAUCUACCCUUGUUUAUUAUCUCUACUUUGCUCUGCUCAAGUCCAUUUUUUCAAAUCUUAUUUUAAAUAAUAAAUUGAAUAAAAGUACAUUUGUGUAAUUAAUUAGUAUCUGAGGGGGGCAGCAUAUUUGGUGGAGUGUUAUGCUAUGUAAGACUCAGCUAUUAUCAAACAGUCCCUUAACCAUUUAAUUUAAACCAACUUCUAUUUGGUUUAUUUGCUAUCUUUGUGGAUCUCAUAGGCGUGGCAGAGUUUAAUAAUUUUAUCGUCUGAAGAAUAGGAUAUUGGCUUCAAUAAAUUUAAUUUAAACCAACUUCUAUUUACUCCAUCAAUUAAUUAAUGACAUUUUGUUUUGAAAAAUUCAAUAAUUAAAUUCUCACGUUUCAUGUGUUUGAAGUCAAAUUAUUCAUUAACUAGAACUCUGUUCAAAAUUGACUGUCUUGUGGUUCCCAAAUGUAGUUGUAAUAUUGAAUGAAAGUAAAAACUUUCUAUGGCGAGUUUAAAUCUAAAUCUGGACAAUGAAUUUUGAGUUUCUCAAUGCUAUUCUAAUAACAAAAAUUAUGUUGAUUGAUUUAUUGUUACAGUUACUAUCCUUUGAAAAUGGAUGGAUUCAUUGUUUCCGUGACCAAAUUAUGCCUGCCUAACGCUGCAACUAUUAAAAAAUUUAAUAUUUAAUGCACAUGUUAAAAGAUUUAAAAUUUUAUGCAUUUAUUAAUUGUUAUAAUCUUAAAAAAAAUUAAUUAAUUCAGGUCAAUCUGAGUUGGUGCAUCUGCAGGAGCCUUUUUUUAAUUUUUUUUUCCCCUUAUUGACCAUAAUGACAUCUCCUUCAACAUGACUAUUGACAAAGAGCAUGUAAAAACAUGGAAACAGAACUUCCACAGGUGGAAUUUAAGUUUUGGCCAUGUGGCCAUGAAAGAAAAAGGAAAAGACGCCUCUAAGAUUUGUUUCAGUGGUUUACAUUGACUCUUUAAUUUAAUUUAUAGUAACACAAUUUUUUUUGUACAAAUAUAUAUUAUUCAUGUUUUGUAUUAUAUUUUAACAUCAUAUUUUUAUUUAUUAUAAAUAUUUAAAGCUAAUUUUUAGGUUGAUAUUUAAUAAAAGGGUAUAAUCGUUCCAUCCAUUUCUCAUCUCGCGAUCUCUCUCAAUUAUCCUUUAUUGAUAGCUCAAAGCGCGUUGCUGUGGAAAAUUGUAGCAAAAUGAAAAAUUGGAAAGAAAGGGAAGAAAAUUAAUGCUUGGAGAAAGCAAUCCAAUAAGUCAACUGGUCUUUAGUGGGAACAUAUUACAAAAAGGCCUCGAUCAUCAUAUCGUAGACUCGGGGAUAAGGAUUUGGAUCGAGUUUUUGUUUUGAUAUUGAAGGACCUACUUCUCUGCCGCGAUGUAGAAUAUAUGCAAGGAGUUGUCUACUGCUCUUUAGGUCAUAAUAAUGUGAUUGGUGCAUUCAACGUUGCCCCGAAACACUGGAAAGUACUUCCAUAUCCUCCGAAUGAGAACUGAUUUAUAUAUGAUUUCCUAAUUGACUCAGGAUCAGAUGACAACAACAACUUAUUAAUAGUUAUAUCAAAACGGCAGAAGACGUGUUUUGUUUACAGGUUUGAUCCAUUUGGAAUGAAGUGGUCUCAAGUCGAAAGUAAUUUAUCGAAUAACUUUCGACUAAUUAAUAGUUAUAUCAAAGGGUGUGGGUGUUUUACCUCAUCAUGUCUUCAAGUGGAAGAUGAAGACUAGCAAGUGAAUUCAGGAAUAUUGCAUGCCAUUAAAUUUGUAGUUUUUACAUGUUGAUCAGCAGGAUACAACAUUAAAUUUUGUCAUUGACAAUACUGCAUGCCUGUCGUCUAAAGCAUUACCUCACAAGGUUUUAUGAGAAACGAAAGAUGUGUUUGCUUUGAACAAUUAAAGUUACUGCUACGAACCUCCCCAAAGGUCAAGAAGACAGAACAGGAAGCUAAUGCCAUCAAUGUCUUGUUCAUUAUAGCUGCUGGGUAGUUAGGUGUAGUUUCCUCAUUUGAAGCUGUCUAUACAUGGGCAUUUCCCCUGCUUAUGUACAAAUAAAUGAACAACCUUGAAGCUUUAUUAUUCGCAACAAAAAGGGAUUACUAAUUGGAGAAGACUAUACAGAGUUUCUCUCACACUUUCACUCUGUCAAUUUCAUCUAGAAGUCCCUCUAAAAGCAUCUCCCAAAACAGUUAGUCAUCUUUUAUGCUCUGUUUGUAAAAAAUGUGGGCUUUAUUCUUUCUAGAAGAGAUGGAAUUCUAGAAGAGAUGGAUUUGCACGGUCAAAAAGAAAAGAAAAGCCGUAAAAUAAACAGUAGCCGCAAAAUGAACAGUAGCCGCAAAAUGAACAGUAACCGCAAGAUGAACAGUAGUCACUGGUGGCUAUAAAUAGAGGAGUGCUCCUCCUUAUUGUUUGUAUCCAAAAUCCCAGAGAAGGAAUCCAAGUUUUGGUGAGAAAUUGAGAAAGAAAAAUAUUCUUAAGCAUGUAGUUAUAUUGAAGGAGCAUUUGUCUCCUCAAUAUGGGUAUUACGAGUUUGCUUUGUUAAGAGGUAUUUCUCAAGAUUAUGUAUUUGGGGUUUGGGUGAGAGAAAAUUUAUGAGAGUGCGGUUGUAAUAAUUUUCCACAUAGUGAAUAUUUUUUCUCUGGUUGUCUUUUUGACAACGGCCGUGGUUUUUUCUCCGGAUUUGGAGUUUUCCACGUAAAUCUUGUGUUGUGGGAUUGAUAUUAUUUUUCAUUUAAUUUUUCUUGUUAAUUUGUUAAUUGACAAAUUGCUUGGAGAGAUCUUGGGAGGAAGCUCAAUUUCCUAACAGUGGUAUCAGAGCCAUUGAUUGAAGUUUUGGUGUCGGGGUACUAUUCACGUAUACGGUACUGUUCACGUGAAGCAGUUUGAGCCAAUCCGAAUAAUCUGUGGUGAAGAGAAUAUGAAGCAAAUAUGUCAGCAGCUGGUGUUUUUCAAACUUGGUUGAAGUUUGAUGUUGUUGAAAAAUUAAUGGGAGAAUGAUUUUAUUGGCUUGUGGAGAAUUCAAGUCAAAGGUGUAUUCAAUCUGGGUUACACAAGGCAUUGAAGGGGAAGCCAUCCCCUGCGUCCAGUGGUGGCUCUGGAAAAGCUAGUAUAAGUGAUGAAGAUUGGGAAGAAUUAGAUGAUCGAGCUGCAAGUGCCAUACGACUAUGUCUAGCAAAGAAUGUUCUUGCAAAUGUAGGAAAAAUUCUUACAGCGAAAGAACUUUGGGAGAAGCUAGAAAAGUUGUAUCAGACAAAGAGCAUCUCAAAUCGAUUGUACCUGAAGGAGCGAUUUCACACACUGCGAAUGGCUGAAGGUAUAAAAAUUUCCGAUCACCUCAGUGUUCUCAAUGGUAUUGUGUCAGAACUAGAAGCCAUUGGAGUUAAAAUUGAAGAUGAGGACAAGGCGCUUAGGUUACUAUGGUCACUUCCAACUUCCUACAAACACUUGUUACCUACUUUGAUGUACGGGAAGGAUACAGUAGAUCUUGAAGAAGUUACUAGUACUUUACUCUCAGAAGAAAGAAGACUGAAUGGUGAAAGUACUAAAACUACAGAUGUCUCGGCUUUGGCAGUUGUAGGGAAUUGGCAGAAAGAUAAAUCUAAGAAGAAAGGAGUCUGCUGGGGGUGUGGACAAUCGGGGCACUUAAAAAGAGAUUGUCAUAGUAGAAAUGGAGUAGGAUCGGCAAGUGGCUCCAGAUUAGAUACUGAUAGUAUUGCUAGUGGUAAGUCUCUCAUCAUCAUGGGAGACGAUGAUCCCUUGUAAAAUGGAUGAUGAUGACAUCCUCAUGGUAUACCGCUAGUACCAUGAAAGGGGAUAUGUUACUACUAGCGGGUCCACAAGAUUUACACACAAGGCAUGGUUGGCAUUGAUGCAGGGUGUGUGGUGGAAUUUAUGUCGAUGAUUGACAAACUUCCAGGAAGGCCAACAUGGAAGUUGCACCAUAAAUUUCAGCAGGAUAUUUCGACAUGUGCCGAUGUAAAAUUCUUAGAAUUGGUAAUUAAUUCUAAGUGGUAUAUUCUUUAUGGUGGAGUAUGAUAAUUCUCUAUGACGAGGAUUAUGACUUAGGUGAAAACAGUAAGGACAGUGUGGAGAUUGAUUGGUUCUUAAUCAAAUCUCCAAGUGAGAGAAUGUAAAAAAUGUGGGCUUUAUUCUUUCUAGAAGAGAUGGAAUUCUAGAAGAGAUGGAUUUGCACGGUCAAAAAGAAAAGAAAAGCCGUAAAAUAAACAGUAGCCGCAAAAUGAACAGUAACCGCAAGAUGAACAGUAGUCACUGGUGGCUAUAAAUAGAGGAGUGCUCCUCCUUAUUGUUUGUAUCCAAAAUCCCAGAGAAGGAAUCCAAGUUUUGGUGAGAAAUUGAGAAAGAAAAAUAUUCUUAAGCAUGUAGUUAUAUUGAAGGAGCAUUUGGCUCCUCAAUAUGGGUAUUACGAGUUUGCUUUGUUAAGGGGUAUUUCUCAAGAUUAUGUAUUUGGGGUUUGGGUGAGAGAAAAUUUAUGAGAGUGUGGUUGUAAUAAUUUUCCACAUAGUGAAUAUUUUUUCUCUGGUUGUCUUUUUGACAACGGCCGUGGUUUUUUCUCCGGAUUUGGAGUUUUCCACGUAAAUCUUGUGUUGUGGGAUUGAUAUUAUUUUUCAUUUAAUUUUUCUUGUUAAUUUGUUAAUUGACAAAUUGCUUGGAGAGAUCUUGGGAGGAAACUCAAUUUCCUAACACUGUUUUCUAGAAACAGAGUCCUAACUAAAUUGAUUGACUGAACAGUGCAUUUCAACAUAGCAUAUUUAACUGUUUAAACAGUUAUUUGAACCGUCUUCAGAGUUAUCAUCAACAAACUCAUUCAUACUGGUCCAAUCUUACGGACGAUAUCAUAUGCUUAAUAAUGAACGAAUAGUCUUGGAUCAGUGUUUUGCGGCAAGAGCAACUCGACACAAUCUGGAUUCAACCUCCUCCUAUCUAACAAGGGAUUUCGAUUUGAGUUACUUGGUGCUCAAGCAAAUUCACAUCAUAGUUUUGAUUCUUUAGAUAUGAAUUCAUCACAUUACAUAUAUCAGAUUAAGUGUAACAAAAUUCUUUAUCUACUGCGAAAAUAAUAUGCGCUAAAAAAUGAUUUCAAGACUAUUUGACUACAAAAAGCAGCUGCAUGGCUCAGCCUCAGGUAAGAAAGCCACAGAAAAGGAAAAUCUCACUGUCACGACUCACGUCACGCAUCAUUCAAGUGAUGGAUUUAACAAGACUGCUUAUGUUCUAUCAAAUUCCUCUGCCUCUCAGAAGAUAACUUUUCUGGGCCAAAUUUCUCAUCUAAAGCAUAUUAUGCCCCAAAGUCAGAGAUAACAAAAUGGGGCACUACCGAUUAUGAAAGAGAGCUAGUAGUUGUCAGAAGCCUAAGUCAAAUUCCGGUAGUAAGAAGAGGCCUUUCUUGAGUUUAGAUUAUGUGUUCGAGUUUUAAUAAAUGCCUAAGUUAAUAAUAAUAACAACAGUAAUAAUAAACUAAAAAGCAUAAUUACUAUUGAAUGGUAAAAAAAAAAAAUGAAAAUGUGUGAACUCCAAUAACCACCCCAGUGGCGAAUUUUGGAGAGGGCUAGGCCGGGCUUCUUAGAAAUUAUUUUUAUUUAAUUACAAAAUCACCUUUACUGAAACCUAUAUAAAAUUUUUUAUAUUAAUUAAUUAUGUUGCCUCUUCAAUUAUCAUUGAAUUCUUGUCCGUUCAUCAUUUGAUGGAUAAAUGUGUAUUUCAAUAAUUUCAAAUAAUGUCUAGAACAAAUAUUUUGAAUGAUAAAACUCAUUAUGUCCUGCAUUACUAGAUGUAUCUAUAAUUUAUUAUUUACAAAUUAUAUUGUAUGAUAAAAAUGUAUUGAAUUUUUUAAAAAAAAAAAAGUUCGGCUCACUCAGAAAAAAAUGUUAUUAGCUUCGCCACUGCACAAAUCUAGAAUAAUAAUUAUUCCUUAUUAUAUUGACUGCACCAAGCAAUAAACUAAUAAGUUCUCAUUAGUGGUUUUUAAUCUUUUUAAUUCUUUUUACCGCACACCUGAUCAAUAAUUCUAUUUUGUUAACUAAUCAAUUGCAAAUCAUAUAUUAGUGUUGAACGGUGAACAAAAUUGAAAAAAAAAAUUCUUAAAAAACGUGUGGACUCGGAUAGCCAGACCAGAAAUCUAUGACAAUAAUUAGCUUUGAUGCUGGGAAUCUUUUAGUUUCUGGCCGUAUUGACUCCACCAGUGAUGCUGGGAAUCUAAUGGAGCUCAUUCUUUGGUUUUACUUGCAGGUCUAGAAGCAGGUGUCAUCUUGUAAAGAAGGAAAAUAAUAUUUGCCUUUUUGAAUAAUUUUAUUGAACCAGGAGACGCAGCUAUAUACAAGAGAUUUCCUACAAUCAUGCUAAUCUAUUCUAGGUAGUCUAAGGGCCAGUUUGGUAAUGCUGCAGCUUUUAAAAUAAUUACUGUUAGCUGUGCUGUAGAAAUAAUCAGCUGUGAAGAGAAUCAGUUAAGUGUUUGGUAAAUUUUAUUUUUAAAAGUACUGUGAAUUUUGAAAGCAGUUAUGGGUGUUUGGUAAAUCUUAUUGUUAAACUGCUGUAAGAAAAUAAAUGACUAAAAUGUACAUAAUGUAGGAUGAAAUUUACUUAUACAUAUAAAAAUAUACACGUACAAUAUUAUAAUAAAAAUUGCAUAGGCAUAGAAUUGUUUAUAUAUAAACAAACCCAAAUAAGACAAACAACAAAUAUUAUAAUAAAAAAUACAUUGAAUAUGCAUGAAAAGGGUGAUGAAUCACUUACUGUUAUUGAAUAUGGUUAUGGAACACAUACUGGAUCUUGCUUUGUUGCACUAGAGAAGUUUUGAUAGAACACAAAAUAUGAAGAAAUAGGGUAAACGAAAGGUGUGUGUUAAUUAUAAUAAAAAAUUAUUAAAAUAUUGAUUUUAUUUCCAAUUUAAAUAAGGAUAAUUUCGGGUUUAAGUAAUAAUUGUAAGGAUAUUUAUGGAAUUAUAUUAAAGGAUAAAAUUGAUUCUCAAAAUCAAAAUCUAAAAGUUACUCCUUCCCUGCUUUUCAAAAUCAGCUGUAGGAGGAGCUGAUUCUGGCAAAAGUAAUUUUGAUUUUUUUUUUACCAAACACCAAAAUUAGCUUUUAGAUUUUUAAAAUCACUUUUAACCCUCUCAAAAGCAAUCCCAAACGGGGCCUAAAUAUAAAAGGCAACUAAACAAAUAUACAACUAAUACAAUAUAUUCGUCAAUGAAUGGUCAGAUAUCAUUGACCUUUCCUUCUCAACACUCCCCCUCAAGUUGGAGAGUGGAUGUCAAGAACUCCCAACUUGCGUAUCAUAGUUGAGAAAGCUUCCUUUCCCAAUGGCUUGGUGAACACAUCUGCAAGUUGAUCUGUUGAGGCAACAUGUUUGGUUACAACUGAACCAUCUUGUAUUUUGUCACGAAUAAAAUGGCAAUCCAUCUCUAUAUGUCUGGUUCUUUCGUGGAAAACGGGAUUGGCAGCUAUAUGUAAGGCUGCUCUGUGUUAUCACAAUAUAAUAAUGCUGGCUUCGGAUGCAAUAUUCUCAAAUCCUUCAAUAAUGAGCGUAGCCAGGAUAAUUCACAACAUGUACCUGUCAUGGCUCUAUAUUCAGCUUCUGCUGAGGAGAGAGAUACGGUUUUCUGCCUCUUUGUCCGCCAAGAAAUAAGAGAAGAUCCCAGAAAAACACAAUAACCCGUAGUGGAUCUACGAGAUAUUGGACAACCAGCCCAAUCCGAAUCAGAAAAAGCUCGCAAAGAUAAAUCAUUCUGAGAAAGGAAAAACAAACCUUGCCCUGGACUAUUUUUCAAAUAACGCUAUACACGCAAGACAGCUUCCAUGUGUGGUCUACGUGGUGCAUGCAUGAAUCUGCUUAACACAUGGACCGAAUAGGUGAUAUCCGGUCGGGUAAUAGUUAAAUAAAUUAGGCGUCCAACAAGUCGUCUAUACUGAGACGGAUCUUUAAGCAAUUCACCUAAAUCCGAGAGCUUUAUGUUUUGUUCCAUGGGAAAGUUCACAGGUUUAGCACCCAAAAAUCCACCAUCUUUUAAAAUUUCCAAAGUAUAUUUUCGUUGCGAGAUGGAAAUACCUUUCUUCGACCGAGAAACUUCGAUGCCCAGAAAAUACUUCAAAUCACCCAAAUCUUUAAUUCGAAAAUGACUAUGUAGAAACUGCUUGAGGGAUACUAUGGCAUUGACGUCAUUACCCGUAAUAAGAAUGUCAUCGACAUAUAUCAACAAAGCUGUAAACGAUUUGCCUUUCCGACAUGUGAAUAACGAGUAAUCAGCUUUGGAUUGAACAAAGCCAGCAGCUUGGAUAGCUGUAGAGAACUUGGCAAACCAUUGUCGGGAAGCUUGCUUUAAGCCAUAUAACGACUUGUGAAGGCGACACACUAGAUUCUCCCCCUGUCGCCGAAGACCAGGAGGUGGAGACAUAUAAAUUUCUUCAUGGAGAUCGCCAUGAAGAAAGGCAUUGUUGACAUCAAGUUGGUGAAGAGACCAAUUCUGGGCAGCUGCUAAAGCCAAUAAACAACGAACAGUAAUCAUUUUAGCAGUGGGAGAAAAAGUGUCAUGGUAAUCUAUACCUUCUAGCUGUGUGUAACCUUUUGCAACCAAACGAGCUUUGAAACGCUCAAUACUACCAUCCGAGUGUCGUUUGAUUUUAUAAACCCAACGACAACCAAUAGGCUUCUUACCAGGAGGAAGAGAAGUGAGGGACCAAGUGUGGUUGGCUUCUAAAGCAGCCAAUUCAGAUUGCAUUGCUUCUUGCCAAUGGGAAUGGGAAGCUGCUUUGGCAUAAGAUGUAGGCUCAAUAUCUUGACUGACAGCAGCAGUAAAAGAGCGAUGUUGUGGUGAGUAACGAUGAUAAGAGACAAAAUUGCAAAGGGGAUAUCGUGUACCUUUUUGUAGACUUGAUGACAAAGGCGGCAAAUGGUUGGGAGACGUUACUUGGUUACAGACAUAAUCACGUAAAGCCAUGGGAGGGUGAUGAGGUCUUUGGGAACGACGUAAAAUGGGUUCGGGAGGAGGACUAGCAGGUGAUAGCUGAGUAGAAACUAAAUUCGGUGGUAAUGGUUGUUGGAUGGGAGAAAUUGGUUCCGGUGGUAAGGGUUGUGGAACUGGUGGGGAAGGAGCGGAUAUAGAAAGAGGAAUCACAUGGUCUGAAUUUAAGGAAGGGGAUGGAAUAGACUCAUAAGGGAAAAUAGUUUCAUGAAAAACAACAUCACGGCUAGUGAACAUUUGGUGGGUGUCAAGGUCAUAGAGCUUGUAAGCUUUUUGACCAACUAGAUAGCCAAGAAAAAGACAUCGUUUAGCUCGAGGAGCAAAUUUAUGGGGGACGUGCACAUUAGUAGCAUAGGCAAGACACCCAAAAACUCGGAUAUGAGAAUAAGAAGGAAGCUUUCCAUAAAGUCGUUCAAAAGGAGUUUGGCGAGAAAGGAGUGGUGUGGGCAAACGAUUAAUUAUAUGAACAGCAGUAGAAACACAUUCUGCCCAAAAAUGUAAAUGAAGGUGGGUUUGAAAACGAAAAGCUCGAGCGGAAGCAAGAAUAUGGCGGUGCUUGCGCUCUACAACCCCAUUUUGUUGAGGGGUAUAGACACAAGAAUGUUGGUAAGUGGUCCCUUUUUGUUUAAAAAAUUCCCGCAUAGAGAAGAAUUCUCCACCAUUAUCAACCCAAAUGUUGGCUAUAGAUACAUGGAAUUGGGUUUGGACAAAUGAAAAAAAAUUGACAAGUAAAUGUUGUGUUUCACUUUUGUGAUGCAUAAAAAACACCCAUGUGAAUCUAGAAUAAUCAUCCACAAUAGUCAAAAAAUAUUUCGCACCAGAAAGAGAGGCAAUUUUAUAGGGACCCCAAAUGUCACAAUGAAUUAAUUCAAAAGGUCUAAUAGAUGAAAUUGAACUAAUAGAAAAUGGAAGUCGACUUUGUUUUGCAAGUGCACAAACAUCACAAGCAUUAUUAGACUGGGAAGGGAAAUUUAACAAAUGUUUUGCCAUAAAAUCUAAUCUAGAGGAAGACAAAUGCCCCAAACGGCGAUGCCACAAAAUGGUGGAGGAGGUGACCUGAGAACUGGGUGAACAGCAAGAAGUGGCUGCUGCGGAUGGAGUUUGAGGUUUUGGUUUUUCUGAUGCUAACGCAACCAAGUAAUAAAGUCCGUCUCGUUGUUCACCCAAACCAAUUGUCGUCCUCGUCGUCAAGUCCUGCAAAAUACACCAAUGAGGGAAAAAAGUUACUGAACAAUUGAGAUCUCUGGUAACUCGACUCACAGACAUUAAAUCCACCUUAAAAGAUGGCACACCAAGCACAUUUUGUAAAGUAAUAGCAGAAUUCAAAGGUAAAUUCCCAAUGGAUGUAAUCGAAGCCUGUUCUCCACUUGGCAUAGCAACUGGUGGCAAAAAAGUGUUCUUAUUGCUGUUGACAAGCAAAGUUGGUGAUGAAGUAAUGUGGUCUGUUGCACCACUGUCGAUAAUUAAUCGAUGGAGGCGCAACAAUCUUUGUAACAAACCUGAGGCAGCAGCAUUAGCUUUAGGAUUGGUGGAUUGUGUUGUCCCUUUACCCUGCAUGAUAGAUAAGAUUUGUUGGAUUUGCAAGUCAGAGAGCCCAUUUGUCACUGAUGGCACUUCCUGCAUUACUGGACUUUCCUUGACAUUGUUGGCUGAAGAUUGAUGGUUAUUGUUGCGCUUGAAAUGAGUGCUUCCUUGAUUAGAUUUGUUUGAUGCAUGUUUAGGGUGUUCUGGUGGGUACCCAUUCAGCUUCCAGCAUUUUUCUCGUACAUGAUGGUCACGAUCACAAUAAGAGCAAUGCAAAGGUUUUCGAUUAGAUGGGUUGGAACGAGAAGAAGAACCUUGUUCAUGUCGAACAGCUAGAGCUACCGGUUCAGCCCUUCGAACAAUCAUGGCUGAGUUCUCCAUCAUCUCACGUGCAACCCCCAGGCUGCGCUGCUUCUCCUCUUGUACAAUGGAAGAGUAAGCCUUAGCAACAUCAGGUAGCGGAUUCAUCAACAAAAUCUGCCCUCGGAUUGCACUGUAGGACUCAUUGAGUCCCAUGAGAAAUUGCAUCAAUCUGCGUCUCUUAUGGUCUGCCCCACAAGAGCAAACGGUGUCAUUAUAGGAUCCUAGUUCAUCCCAUAAUUUUUUUAGCCUUGUGUAAUAAGCUGCAACAGUCAUCUGAUCUUGAGCAAGACAAGCAAUGUCCCUCUCAAUCUGAAAAAUACGAGGGGCAUUGCUUUGAGAAAAACGAUCCCGAAGGUCUUCCCAUACCUCCUGGGCGGUGGUCGAAAAUAUGACACUGUCUGCAAGGUCUUGUGUGAGUGAAUUGAGAAUCCAAGACAGGAUCAUAUCGUUGCAUUUUUUCCACGAAGCACAUUCGUCUGGUUUGGCUGUGGCAGACGGCAUUGUGGUGGUCCCGUCUAUGAAACCUAACUUGGAUUUGGCAUUCAAAGAAAUCGUCAUGGCUCUACACCAUGUCGAAUAAUUAUCCCCAUUAAGGGGCUUGGAAACAAGCACCAUUCCUGGAUGAUCAGAAUGAUGAAGAAAAUAUGGAUUGGCAGCAUCAAGCUUGCCUCCAUUCGAAGGUUGCUGUUCCGUCAUGAUAAUGAGUAACAACGAAAAAAGAAAGAGGGCAGAGAGCUAGGGUAUCGUUCCCUGCUCUGAUACCAUGUAAAGAAGGAAAAUAAUAUUUGCCUUUUUGAAUAAUUUUAUUGAACCAGGAGACGCAGCUAUAUACAAGAGAUUUCCUACAAUCAUGCUAAUCUAUUCUAGGUAGUCUAAAUAUAAAAGGCAACUAAACAAAUAUACAACUAAUACAAUAUAUUCGUCAAUGAAUGGUCAGAUAUCAUUGACCUUUCCUUCUCAACACAUCUAACAGCUGCUUUGAUAAUUUCCCACACCUUCAUCUUUGAUGGAAAUAUGAAAUAAAAACAAAUUGGUGAAAAUGGUUUUGGUACCCGCGGCUCUGUAAUCUAUUUCAAAAACUACACCAUCAAAACGACUGCAUAAGAAUCUAACUUCUCCUCUUGAUUUUUAUGGGCAUGUUGUGUAGUCCAUGCAGACAAAAAUCAUAUUUUAGUUUACUCUUACUCAAUGCUUGGAUUAAAGGUUUUUUUUUUGGGGGGGGGGGGGGGGGGGGGGGAUUGAAGCAGACUAAAAUGACACAAAAAAUAGUUGAACGAGUGUGGGUUUUGUCUUCAUUUUAGGAGAUCUUUAUAAAUUUUAGGAUUUUUUUUCCCGAGAAAAUUUAUGCCAACUCAUUCUUUGCUUCUUUUAUGAAGGGACAGAUGCAACUGAAAGUAUAUUCUUGAAUUCUAUAAGAGACAGCAGUUUAGAUUCUCGAGCCUUCAAAAAAAUAUCAAAUUCUAGAUUGCUGAAAUUUUAUAUAUCCAAGUAUGAUGGUGCACCAAUUAUUAACUCCAGGGUGCAACUUCACCGCGGAUUAGAAUGUCUUCCUGCAGAAUUGAGAAAUCUCCAUUGGCAUAAAUAUUUUUUUGAAAAUACUGUCAUUAGAUAUUUUUAUUAUUCAUACUUCAUUGCACAAGGCACCACCUGGCUUCUAUUUCAAGCCCUAAUAAUGAUCCGCUGCUGGAAAAGAAUUUGUGCAGCAUGUACGCUCCUUGACCACAACAGCAAAGUUUAUUGAUGUUAUUUCAUAUUCUGCUGUGAGUCAAAUAAAAAUUUACUAUGCCCUUUCGGCAUGGCUUGCCUUUCAGCAAAAAAAGAAAAAAAAUCUUUCAAAUUGUGGAAGCAUGCUUACAUUAAUCAGCUCAGUAUGUUAUGUUUCAAGGGAUGCAAAAUUCGUUUUGUUUCUCAUGGAAGAAUUGACUUGUCUGGAUGUAUUAAUCUCAUAGAUUUUCCACAGAUUCGUGGGAAUAUAACAAAGCUAGACUUAAGUGAGAUCCCAAUAGAAGAAGUUCCGUCAUCAAUAAAAUGCCUAGCUGAUCUUAAAACGUUGCGUUUGAGUAAGUGCACGAGGCUGAAGAGGCUUUCCAUCAAGCAUUUGUAAAUUGAAAUCUCUUCUUGAGCUUUAUCUCUAUAACUGCUCAAACCUUGAAAGUUUUCCAGAAAUCAUGGAGAAAAUGGAACGUUUAAAGAUAUAAAUUUAGCAAGGACGGCCAAUUACAGAGCUGCAAUCUUGAUAGCCUUCGGGAUAACAUUAGCAAUUUAAAAUCUUUGAGGUACAUCUCUACUAAUGGAUCAGCCAUUAGUCCUCUGUCGCAGGUUCGGUUGUACUUAAAUAUCUAUCAUUUUCUCAAUACAGAGGUUUGGUAUCAUUGCCUCCAAUAUUAUUGUCAGGUUUAGGUUUAUCGAAUUUGUUACAGCUAAAUUUAAGAGACUCUGCUAUAAUGGAAAUUCCCCAAAAUAUUGUUCGUCAAUCCUCAUUGAAAAUUUUAAAUCUAAAGGCUUGUUUGUUAACUACUUGAAGUAUGUAGUUAAUGCUUUUUUUUUUUUUUUUGUAAUUUAUGUUUGAUUUGAGAUAUUUACAUUUGAAUAAAAAAAUUAAACUUUUGUUACAUUUAUCUAAAAAAAAAAAAGGCUGAAUGGGAAGUAAAUAAUUCCCUUUUUCGUUUUAACUUACAAAAACAUAAAUGUUAACUAUGUUUAAGAAAUUUUUUAUUUAUAAAAAGAAACCAAAUACUACUUAUAUUCGUAUAUCAAAAAAUGAAAAACAAACAUGUUAUUCAUACGUUCACAUACAAACUCAUUCAGACCUCAGCUAAAUACAAAUCCAUUUACAUUUCAAAAAAAUAAAUAAAUACUUCCUAAGCGGGAAUAACUUUGAGAGUUGACUUGCAAGGCUAGAAUAUCUUGACUUGAAGGGUUGCAAUGAUUUCUCAUCAUUGAGAGUUUAUCAUUGUGCUUCAUCAUCAUCAUCAUUAUUAAUAAAAAGGUAAGCAAUUAAGAGUCAAAUUAAACCAGAAAAUCACUCAUCCACGCUUUUGGGACAUCAUUCUGCUCAUUAUUUUUAUUCCGUAUCUUCAUUGUUUUAUUUGGUAAUUAUUACCAUUAGUAAAUAAAGGGAUUAGUUGAUUAUUAUGAACUAACUAAAUGGAGCUCACCCUUAAAUGUCGGCUUGUAUCAGGGAGGUGCCUUAGGGUUAAUAAAUCAACUAAUCCCAUAAUUUGUCGAUGUAGGUGAUGGUUGUUAAAGCCAACAAAAACAAAUACCUACUCUAAAUAAAUUGUGUAUAGUGAUUGAGCAGGGUCGUGUUUACAGAGAUCGGUAAUUAUUUAAAUCCUUUUAAAACGUAAAACAUAAAAUGGGGGUUUUGUUGACAAUAAUAAAAAUCAAAUUAAAAUAACAAGAAUGCAAAUUAAAGUUGUAAUUCAAAUUUGGAGAAAGCUCUGGUUGAAGGAAUUAACUCAGCUUAAUUCGACUACUGAUCAUUUAUUCAAAUAUAAAUUAUUACUACUUAUGAAUAGACCGGUUAUGGCUACUGAGAACCUCUAAUAGCCAAUAUCUCCUUAACUAGUCGAUAACCAAGGUACGACCAUUGAUUAUUUCCCUAAUCAAUAGACAACCCUAGAUACGAUCAUAUGAUUUAAUCAAUUGACAGCCUAAAAAACCAGAGAGACCCAAAUCCUAAUCAACAAACACAUACGAUGGUUCAUUUAAAUUAGAUUGUUUAUUCUCAUAACACAACUCUCUGCUAUGUUAUUUGUCACAAACAUUAAAAUCUUCAUACAAUGAAUCCUUUAAUUGACAAUAGAUUAAGUUGAUAAUUAAAUAGUGGCCAAUUACCUAAUUAACAAACAUAAUCAUGAAAAUAAUUCAGAGAAUAAACAAAUACCCAAAAAGCAAUAAAACAAUUAAAACAUAAGAAAGAUCUCACAGUAGUGAUGAAUCAAAGCUUCAUUAACCUUCAACUAGAAAAAUAGGUUUAGUUCUUCAUAGAGAGAAGAGAAAAGUUUAGAUCUAGCGUUUCUUUCUUUUUCUCCAAUCCCCCCUUUUUCACUAUAGAUUCCUCCCUUAAAUACUCUCUCUCUCUUCUCCUCUAGAGUUCUAUUUAAAAUAAAAUACUAAUAUAUGAAAUAUUAAAUUCGUAAUUACAAAAAUAGCCAAAAAUACAAAACAUGUUAAACUAAAAACUGCAGGUCCGUAGUUGACAGCACGCGCCCACGCCUUAUCAAUAAAGUUCUUCUGACGCUCUAAAUUUCUCCAAGAGAACAAUCAUCUUUAAACAUCAUCUUAUAGCUCAAUUUUAUCACAAAUCAAUAAAAUUGCACCUACAAAAGUAAAACACAAGUAAAUCAUUAUUAUUAAGUGCAAAACAUCGAUAUUAAGGGAAGUAAACAAUGCAAAACUAGUGCAUAAAUUGCACUCUAACAGUAGGGUAGCAAAUUAUUGCCAUAGAUCAGCACACAUCUCGAAAACAUAUUUGAUCCACACAGUGAAGAUGAUUCAAUAUUAAGCAUGUCAUAUAAUCUGGAGUUGGAUAUUGGAUCAAUUUGAUGAUAAUGAGUUUCUUUCAAUCUCAAUAUGUAUCUUCUUCGCAACAUGACUAGCCAUUGCAAACUCAAACUCUGACAAUGAUUUCUCAAUCGCUUUCUAAGACGAUGAGCAUGUAUGUAUAUAUAUGUGUGUGCACGUGCGCGUGUGUGUUUGUGUACGUAUAUAGAGAGAGAGAUAUAUAUAUAUCACACAUGUGCGCUUUCCUUUUGUCAAUAAGAUAUGCAGAGAGCUUAAUAAUCAUAGAUUAGCUUAUAUCCUUCAAACCAUGUGCUAUGAAGUAAUUUCACAAACACUUGUUGAACGUUAUUGAAUCAGUAGUUCACAGUUCAAUACAAUGUAGGUUUCCUAUUUGAAGUAAAUGAUUAUGGUGUGUGCAUUUUUCAUAAAGCUAACUACUGAAUUUACCAUUGAAACUUGCAAAAUGUAACAGAGAGAUGCAGAUAGCAGCCACGAAACACUAAGAUUGAAAAUCAGGACUACUGAAUUCUAUUACAAGCCCUUAAAAUAGACAACAAUCAUCCUCAAAUGUAUAUACUGAAAGUAAAAAAUAUUAAUCGUAAAGUUAUGCAUUAACAAAACUAUUGAAUACUUAUCUUUAGCUAUAUAUUUUUAAUUGUAGCUCCCUACUUUGUUCUAAGAACUAGGCAAAAGUAGCAUAUCUUCAAUCCAAUCAGCAUAUAUACCGCUCAUCUUCUCCAGUUCUUUCCACUUUGAUUUGCAUUUCAUACCCUGCACUUGCUGCUUAGAAAUAGUCAUAGUUUGCACAUUGACAGUAGAAAAAGUACUUGAAACAAUCAUUGGCAUAGCAUGGGAUUCCAUUGAGUCGCGGUCUCCAAGCUUUCAUGGUUCUGUAAAGAAAAUGACAAAAACAUCAUGCUAUUGGCAUUCUACUUUUAGCAAUUUUCCACAAGCUGAGCUUUUUCAUAUCUCUCUAUAAAUUAUGCUGGUUCAACCUUCAGAUAAGUUUGUGAUAAAGGCAUCUAUGAUUACAAUGGGAAAAUUACAUGAACUUAUGUUAUCAAUCAUUGUUUUGCCUUCUCGUGAUAGAAUUCUGCGCAAUAUAAAACAUGACAUAUCUGUUACUUACCAUGCCAUGUCGUGAACCUAGAAGCAAUGCAAAUUGCAAGGAACAUAUUAAGCUAUCUACUGUAUAUAACAAAUUCUUAUUAGCCCACAAUCUUGUGCCCCAACAUUGAUCAAGUAACACUAUUAUUUCAUUUCCAAAAUGGCAUAUAUAAUCUGAUGUUGAACAAACCAAAUUGGGAAUCAUCAUUCCUUACAUUGAGCUGACAUUCGUACCUGCUAGUCCAUGAGCAAAGUUGCUUAUAUUUCCACACAGGCAGCUCCCCUUAUCUCUCGGUUCCGACAGAGCUUUGUUUUCCCAUCACCAGCUUUGGAUUCAUUCGAUCACUGAUGCUCCGAGUUAGCAAGCCCCUUGUUGUGUUCCCAUUUAACAGACCCACUUCUGUUAUCCACAGAAGAUCCACCACUCAAAAUGCUUAUCACCGAACUAUUCCUAAACUGAGUAGAAACUUCCGCACAUCUCUCGGCAUUUACAUGAAGAAAUCGACACCCACCCUCAUAUUUGUAAGUUUUCUGAUAAUAGAAAUGUCUACAAAGCUGCAUUUCGUUAGGCAAUCUAGUCUCUCCAUUCCUAGCAAAGUGACAUUGAUUCCCGUAUUUGUAAUUGCCUAAUUGGGGUUUUGGCAAUAGCCUGGUCUUAAAAUUACCACCCAUUACUUUGUUCAAUGCCACUGGCAUCCUCUGAUUAGGAACAUUUUCACAAUUUUUAGCCCUGUUAGUCGAAUCACAUUCAAGGGGAUAGUGAGACAGUAUUUCACUAAAAGAUUCAAUUUGACUACACAUAUAAGAAUUUGAAAUCACUUUUUCUUGGAAUAUUUAAUGACCCACCCAGGGUGAAAGUUUUUGAAUGGAAAUUAUUUAAUUUGAUUUGUUUUCCAACAAAUUCAAGAAACCCCAGAUAGUAACAUAAAAAAAAAAAAUCAACCAAUAAUACGCAAUGGGUUUCUUUCUUUUUGCUUUUGGAGGGCCAUGAAGAUCUGGAGUGGGCUGUAAGUAAUAGCCUUUAUCACUGGAGUGACAAAUUUGCAGAAGAUGAUGCAUGGGGAAGGAUUGGGCGAGCAUAAAAAUGGCUUUACACUCUUUGGAUUAGCGCCUCAUUUAGGUUGUAGCGAGAUAAAGAUAUCAUUUAAAGUUUUAUAAUCCUUGUUAUGCUUAAGGCUUCACUUAGUAUAGCAUAGAGCUUUUCUAGUUUAGCAUUUUACAAGUAGAAUUUUUUUAAAUUAUUAUUUAUUUGGUUGUUUUGUUCAGAAGAGCUUUUAAAGCUCCAAAAUCUUUGAUAGUCAGGUUUUUUUUUGGUAAGUAAAACUUUUAACAAAAAUUUAUUAUUCACUUGAUCGUUUACAAGAGUUUUCAUUAGAAGUUAUGUAAAGUUCUUUAAUUUUUUUUAUCAGUGCAUCUUUUUACAAGUAUAAUUUUUAUUUUUUAACAAAAAUUAAUUCAAUAAUAUUAAUAAUCUCAAUAUUUGAGUUUUAAUAUCAUAUGUCACUCAUUUAUUGGAUGACAGAUUUCAUAACUUAUAAAAUUAUUUAACUAACAUCCACUAAGCUAAUGUCACUAUAGUGAAGAUUGAAGUUGAAAUUUAGAUGUUACGUUGGGUAAUAUUGCGCUUAUUUGGUUGUUUAUGAGAGUUUUUUUGUACAAAUUUAUUUUUAUACAAAUUGAUAUAGUCUAAAUUCAUUAAUUAGAUGAAAAUAGAAAAUAAUAAAAAUAAAUCUUGUGUACUAAAAGUUAUUUAAUCUAUUUAAUUGAAUUAUCCUACGUUUGUUUGUACUAAAUAAAUUUAUAUAAAAAUUAAUUCUAUUUUUUGAUGUGCAACUAAACUUUUAGUCUCUUAUUAUUCGUAAAAUUCAAAUUCAGUGGCUUAUCAAAUAAAAUUAAAACUAUUGGUUAAUCAAAUAAAAUUAUUUGAAAUCAUUGGGUGUGGUAGCUGGAGCUCUUGAAAGUUGAAACUAUGGAAGCCAUGAAAUAUACCAGCGAAAAGAGUUCUAAUUUUUAAAUGUCUAUUUUAUAAAAAUUUUAAUAAUAAAAGUGUCGCAUCGACAUUGAACAGUAUAAAAAUUUUUAAUAAUAAUUUUUUUACGUUUGGGGUAUUUUUGUAAUUAUACGAAGGUAAACUAAUCGCAAAAUUCAUUUGGCUUACACUUGCUCUGUGUAUGGUUAUGGCGGUAUCAUUAUCAUCUUCUCCAUUCGUACUGACACCAAACCUUAACCGUUCAGAUUCCCUUUCUCGACUGUCAUACCCUACGCCCCGUCUCCGUGUCUCCGAUAAACAGUGCUCAAUUAAGGCCAUCAGAUUAUCCCGGACCCACAUUGAUCCAACGGCUCACAAUGACCGACGACCUCUCCAUCUCCAUUACAAGCUUCCUCUUCAACUGGCUUCUGCCUCUAUCGUACUCUUUCUCGGAUUCGGAGCCCGUAUAUGCUCGGCUGGUCCUACGGAGCUACCUCUCACUCCAGCUGUCAACCAACAAGACCAAUUGCUUAAUCCAGACACAGAACAACAAGAGGGUGAGAAAUUGAAUCAAGAAUUUGAGAAUUGGAAAUCGAAAACGUACGCAUUGACCGUGCCUUUAAGGGUCGUUUCUCUUCAGAAUUCAGUGCCUCAAUCUUGGGUUAAGGAUUUUAUGCGAAGUCAAGGAAAGAGAUUGAAGUUUCAGAUGAAUUUUUGUGCUAGCACUGAUGGGAUCGUUAAAAAUUUAUCUAUGCCCUCUAACAAAGUUAAGGCUAACUCAGCUUCGUAUAUGGCUGCUGAUUUGGUUAGUGUUGGUGAUUCAUGGCUCAGUUUUGCGAUUAAAAAGAGAUUGAUUGAGCCAAUAGCUGAAGCUGAAGAUCAAGAUUGGUUCAAAUGCUUAAGUCACAAAUGGAAGGUAACAUCUUUGUCUUUGACCGGAUGAUUUUUAUUGUCUUACAUUGAAAUUUGGUAAUGUAAUUUGUUCUCUAUCUGUGUUACCUUUGUAGUGAUUUUUUUUUUUAUUUGCUUUUAUUUGCACUAACAAAGUCUUAGGUAUAUCUACGCAGGAAUGAUGCAGAAGAAAUUGAUCCUCGAGGUAAAAUAUGGGCGGCACCAUACAGGUGGGGCACAAUGGUGAUAGCCUACAAGAAAAGUAAAUUUCGAAAGCAUAAUUUGGCUCCGAUUGAGGUAAUAAUUGUCUUUAAACUCAUUUAGUUUUAUAUGAAACAAAAUCAAGACUGCCUUUCUCUUCAAUAUUUUUGAUGAUAAUAUCUUUAGAAGCAUCUCAUUGACAGGUAAUAAUGGUAUCCCUGAAAGAGUCUAUAAACUCAAUGAUAUUAUCUUCUACAAAUGGUUCAUUAAACUUCUUCGUUGCAGUCAAAUGUACACUAAGAACAAUGAGAAGCUAUGCCACUGUAGCAUGUAGUGAUGGCACUUAAUAAGUGAGUUGCUAGGAUGUGAACUAGAAAAAUUAAAUAUUGUCUCCUUGGGUAUGCUAGCUCGUAAGUCAGGGUUAAUAUUAGAACUUAUGAUACUAUAACCAUGAGAAGCUAUUGACUGCCAAUUAAAAUAUCCAUUAAAAUGUCUAGGGAGUUAUGAAGGUGGAGGUAACUUCCAAUUUCUAAGGCCACAUAGUAGACAUCAUGCAGGAUCCUAGGAAAGUGCAGUUAACCUCCUGGUCGAUGCCAUUAAUAAAUUUGAUCAAUGCCACUGAAACCUGCUAACUGAUGUCACAAUGCGACAUGAGCACUUCAAAAUGGGACAGACGGUCAGUAGCACUAAAUUUUUCUUGUCUAAGAUUGAGCAAUUGGUCUAACUACUAACCCCUAUUGUAGGUUGAUCAUUAUGUUUUUCAAUUAUGUUCAGUUUGACCCAAAACAUUACAGAAUCUUGAUCUGAAUAUUGUCACUGAACACUGUCAAUGUCGUUUGGCAUAGCCAACUAACUUGAGUUUGGUAAAACAAACACACAGUGUGUCUCAUGUCUCACAAUUCAAAUUAUCAUCUGUAAUGAUGGAGAAUUUUUCCAAUGUAUGAAGUAUGCUUUGAUACGUGGGUUACCUUGGGGAAGGUAUCUCAAAAUAAAGAAUAUGGGGAGAAAACAGUGCAGUAGUUUAUUAUUCCGUAGUCAAGUUUUGUCUCAAAAAUGGUCAAAAUUUAAAUGAAUAAGGACAGGGGAUCUUCAGUCUUUUUUCCCUUUUUUUAUACCAAGAUAUCUCUCAACCUUUAUAUAAUCCCACUGGAUAUCUGCUUCUAAUAAUUAAAAUAAAAUUUCACCCACACAAAUAAGUACUGACCAAGCUCUAACAAUAAAAAGUAACAUCUUUAGUCAAGUAAUUUACAGUUCCUCAUCAUCUUAGUGUGAGACUAUCAGUACGAUCCAAGAGCAAAAUAAAACUGGUUUGACCCUGUUUAUUGAUGUUUAAAUGUUGUUCAUUGUGACAUGUAGAAAUGAUGAGGUGAAGUUUCUUUGGUCAUCAAUUAGUAAGAUCUCGUUUGAAGUUGUUUUCUGAAAUGAACUGGCAAAUGGUAGUUUUUUUGGGGCAUUUGAUGGCUCUUUUUCUUUUUUCCUCAUUUUAAACAUGUGCCUGCUUGGAACGGGAUGGAUUAAGCUGCAGGUUAUAUAUUUUGACAUGCUCUGGUCAUUACACAAUUUGUUCACACUGGGAAUUAGGAUGAGAAAUUUGUUGAUGCUGUUUUGAGAGACCUGCAUUCUAUGCACAAUAACCUGAUUAAUGAAAAUGGAUUGUAGAACUGGAAAGAUCUGUGGCGGCCUGAGCUCGCAGGAAGAAUUUCAAUGGUUAAUUCUUCCCGAGAGGUUAUUAUUGGUUCAGUUUUUAAGUAUAUGGGAGCAUCAUACAAUUCAAACAAUAUUGAUUCGCAAGUUGCUGGUGGGAAGAUUGCUGUUCAGCAGAAUCUGGCAUUACUGGCAAACCAGGUACUCUUAAAGAAACGAUAUCUGGUCAUUGCAUGUUAUUGCCUGACAACUGAUUUUGUUUGUAAAAGUCUGCUUCUUCAUACAUAUGAAUGCAUAUGUUAGUGUUUUCUUCUCCUUUUCAUAAUAUAUGAAUGCAUAUGUUAGUGUUGUCUUUUCCUUUUCAAACAUAUUAUACAGAUGUUGGUGUUCUCUCCUGAGAUGGAUGCAAUAAAGGCAUUUGCUGCUUAAUUUAGCUGAAGAAAUGGCAAGGGAUGUGAGAUUCUGUCUCAUUAAAUUAACAAAAACCCAAAACAAUGAAAGCCCAUAAUAAUGUAGUGUGGGUAAAUUGGCGCCAUUUGGUUCGUUUCCUUAAUGUGAAUAUGCGAGCAAUAGAGACUAACAAAAUGAAGUGAGAACAGCAAGUCAGUGUCCUUUGAUGGAUGCUUUUUUAAGCAGAAAUAGGUUUGUAAUUGACCAAAUUUGUCUGGCAUGCCAAUUUCAAAAAAAUUAAAUUGUGUGGUUAUUAGCUGUAAUGAAGGGGCAUAGUAGGUGCAAUUAGGCGGAUCCAGGAAAGUUCAACAAAGUUCUGGUAUGGCCUAUUGAAAUUGGUUUUUGCAAUUCAAGAGUCUUUCAAGUGAACGAUGAGGGGUUUUGAUUUAUAAAUGUUAUAAAUCUACUGUGCAUAGUAUUCUAGUAGAAUCAUCUAUAAGUUCUAGUUAUUGAAAUUGUCUACCUUGUUCAGUUUGAGUUAAGGGCAUAUGUAAUAUGAAAAAUAGUUGUCGCAUCUUUUAGGUUACCUAACAUUUGAUCAAUCCUAUUAUGAGGGCUUCAAGAUGUCUAACAAUAUGCAGAAUGCCCAUGCUCCUCCCCAUUGUUUAUCUUAUACAAUAAUUUGUUUUAGAUGCUAAUAUCUUUGUUGAUACCGGUAACAAUAUUGCAAUAUCUGCGUUUAUUGGGUUUUACAUAGGUUCGACUGUUUGACAGUACACACUAUCUGAAGGCAUUUGGAAUUGGAGAUGUAUGGGUUGCUGUUGGGUGGAGUAGUGAUGUUCUUCCUGCUGUCAAACGUAUGUGAGUAUGUCUAAUGUUGCAUUGUUAUCUCCUUCAUAUUAGCGAUCAGUAAACACGAUAAUGUGACUAAUAAGUUUGUAUUCUCUUUUAUAGAUAAAAAAAUAUUAGAUGACUAGUAAUUAACAUUUAAUUAUAGUUGAAAUAUUGUUUAUUAAAUUAGUCUAUUGUCUAAGAACGGUUAUAAAAUUAAUUUCAACAUAUAAUAAGAACUAUUACAAUAAUUUAUUUAGAUUUAUAUAUAUAGCUUAACUAUGAAUUAUUAAAACCAAUAUAGCUUCAUAGUUUGUGUGUUAAUAUCUAUUUUAAUCUUUUGUUUAUCUUAUUAAUUUUUCAUUUAAAUUUAAAUCUAUGUUAAAGAUGUUCUAUCAAUCAAUUUGGACUAGAGAGUAAAUAAACAAUCUAGUAAUCACACAAUAGAUAUUGUAUAUAAUUGUUCAAUUAUAACAAACUUUAAAUUUGCAUUAAUAUGAUUAGAAGUAUUGUUUUGCAAUUAACCGAAUCAUAGGCUAAUAAUUUUCAAUAUGAAAUAACUAACUUAGGAUAAAUUAAUUAAUUGACUGAUUUUUUUUUUAAUUUGAAUAUCUUGUGUUAUCUCUAGUAAACAAUUAAAUUUGUCCUUCAAGACUUGAAACAAAACAAAUUGGAGGGCGAGUCAGAGGUCCCUCUCCCUUAAUCCAUCAAUGGAUAGAGUUCUGCUUGCAAACAGCAAGAGCAUUGCCUUUCAAGCAAGAGGUUAUGCCGGGCGCAUCUCCCUCUGCCCUUGAAAGACUCUGGUUAAGUUGCCUGAAGAACUUCUGAAGGGUAAACCAAGCCUGGAUACUAACUUAAUUGCUGGAGUACCCCCGGCUGAAAUUCUGGCCAGAUGUGAGUUUUUGGAGCCAUUAUCUGAAGCUACUUUGUCAGAUUAUGAGUAGCUGGUUGCUAAUCUGCAAAAACCUGCUCCUGUCUUGAUGAAAAGGGUGCAACAUUACUUGUCAUCAUUAAUCCAAAGCUUUCCAGCAAAAGCUACACUGAAAAGUUAAUGGCACUGCAUGCCAGUCAUUAUAAUGCUGUCAGGGCAAUUGGUUCAGGGCAACUGGGUCAGAGCAUAACUUCAUUGGGAAAAAAGGCUUCAGCUAGUUACCUAUUACAGUGCGCACUGAGAUGGCAGUUCUUGAGGUUUUAUAAGAAAUGAAAGAUGAGUGCUUGUUUGAACAAAGUUGUUGCCAAUCUCGCAGAGUUCAAGAAGAAAGAUCACAGAGCUAAUGCCACCAAUUUCUUCAUCAUUGUAGCCUGCAUAGUUGAAGUUUCCUCACUUGAAGCUGUUUAUGCAAACGCUUUUUCCCUGCUCAAGUACAGGAAAUUGAAGAAUUAACCAGAUAUGAUAUGCUGAAAGAGGGAAUUUCUUCCUUAGUGGCCUUUUGAUUUGUAGUGAAGGAGUAGGAUGAUCACUAGCAAGAACCCUAUCAAGGUAGAUUUUAUGAUGUUAACAUAUUAUUAAGCAUUUGUCACUUAGGAAUGAUACAUUCAUAGCAUGAAAUUAAUUAUAUGAUCCUGAUUAAUCAAUUAAUUUUCAUGAGUUUUAACCUAGGUAAAACUAAGUACAAUCGUCGUUAACAACUACUGAAAUUGGGUAAGUAUGAUCUUGACAUUGAAGAAUUUGAAAACACAACCCACAGAGGAAAUUACCUAUUGCAUGGGGAUGGAGAUGUUUACCGCAGCGAUACAGAGCAGUGUUGUCCACUGCUCUUUGGGCUAUGGUGUCACUAAUUCUGAUUACGUAAUUGACUCUGGAUCGGGUGGAAAUAAUAACACUUUAUUAACAUUGCAUAGUCCGAGUACUUUUCCAGGAUCAGAUACGACGUGGUCUAAUGUUGAUAAUAAUAGUUUAUUAAAUGACAAAUCGUUGUUCAAGUAGAAGAUGAAGGUUGUGCAGGUGAUUUCAGAAAUAAAAUACAUUCUAAGAGAUGCUGGUCUACUAUUGCAUGCCCCCAGAUUUAAGAAUCUUUUGAUUGGGGCAUUUGGCAACGAUUCGACAAAUUCUAGAUUCAAGCUCCUCCACCAAGGGAUACCAACUGAGUUAUCAAUUAUCGUAGCAGUUUCUAUGAACUAAAAUUUGCAAAAUAAUUUCUAGCCCCGUUGACUCCACCAACUAAAGUUUACAACUCUACAAUAAUAAUUUCUAGCCCCGUUGACUCCACCAACUAAAGUUUUUUAAAAUUUAAAAAAGUACAUAGAAUUCCACAACAAGCAAAACGUGUGGAAUUUAAUUUUUUGCCGAAAAAGGACAAGAAAAAUGAUAAGAUUUUUAAAAUGAGUGGAAGGUGAUCCAUAUUUUACUAAAACGACUUACCUCGAACAUUAAGAUAAUUGAUUUUUAUUUUUUAUUUUUUAAUAAUAUCAACUUCCAUAUCUUUCUAGCGGGUCCAGCUAUGUUGCAACAGUGAUACUGUACCAUUGUUGCUUUCAGCCAUUGGAUCUUACUAAUGUAACAGUACAACUAUAGAUCCAAUGACUGGUUGCAACUGUAAUACCAUACCACUGUUGCAACAUAAUUUUGCCCCUUUCUAACCCCCAGAAUAUGCUCACGUUCAAGUCUAUCUUGCUAAUUUAAAAAAAGAAAAUCAAAUCAACACCAAAACAAUGAAAAGUAAAGCUUUUGAAUUUCAACUCGAGCUAGCAAACGUAUUCAGCUUUUUCAAAUUCUUCCCAUUGCAUAUCUUCUUCCUCCAUCAAUGCAAUAUUUGAACGAUUAUGAAAGAGUUUAAGAACAUAAAAAAUCUCCAAGGUUUAUACGGUAUAACAAAUUUAAAUUCUCAAUUACAAUAGAUAAUAAUUAAACUAAUAAUUUUUUAUGUACUUAUUUUAGUAAUUUCACCUAAGAAUAAUAUUGUAAUUAGAAAAAAAAUCUAAUAAGUAGGGUGGUCUUAUAAAAAAUCAACUGGUCUCCCCCCCAUAUAAUUAUAAUCCUUCUAGAAAGCUAAUUUUUAUUAAAUAUUUGCUUUUUAAGUUAAUUUCAAUUAAAAAAUGUUUUAAGUUAUAUAUACUCUAAUGAGAUUCUGAAUUCCUUUAUUCCAAUAAUAAUGAAAACGUAUUAAAUUAGAAAUGAAAAAAUUGGUGUUGACGAUUCAACCUAUUUGGAUAGAUUACGUGAAUAAAAUUGAAAUUUUGAUUUAAUUUUUGUUUAUUGUUAAUUCUCAGGCUAUCUUAAUUUCAAGAAUUUAGAAUGUUAAUUUGGUCAUGGAUUUCAGCCCGUGAGUGUCAUAUUCUAGACUUAAUGGUAUCAUUCUUUGAUUGAGGGCAAUGACUCUCACUCCUCUUGUAAAAAAAUAUUUUCAACUAUUUUGAUGACUUAAAAAUUGAUAGAUUUAUUGUUGUCAUGACCAAAUUAUUCAUUUUAAUGAAAUAUAAUUAAUGCAUCAAAGUUACCAGGUUUAUGUUCUAUCUUAAUGCGCUUUUUUUUUUUUUUCAGUUAUCAGCUAUGCCCCUGAGGCAUUUUGUAGAGUAUAGCUUCUGCUUACCUCUGUUUCAUUUUUUUUUAAUAAAAAAACAAGGGAAGGUUUUUCCGAGUCAUCCAUUAUUUGAUUACCGUCAAUCAAGAAAACGACCAAAUUAAUUUCUCUCCAAAAUUUCCAAAAGCUAGAAAAUUUUGUUAUUUGAAAAUAACAUCAUUAAUUAUAGAGUGGAUCAAACCGCGUUAUUGUCUUUUAUAAAAUUGAUGUCUUUUUAAGAGUCAAUACAUUUUAUUUACGCAAACCAGUCGACAUCAACUUGAACUUCCAUAUUUUUAUUAUUAUGUUAUUUAUUUUAAUCCCCGAUUAUUUGAUUAGCCACUAUAUAUAUCAAGAAAGCGACAAAAUUUAUUUCUCAUGACUUCCAAAAACUAGAAAACAACAUCAUUUAUUAUUUUUUUGCAACCCUAAUUGACAUCAACUUUAACUUUAUUAUGUUAUUAUUUCAAUCCCCCAUUAUGACCUUUCUAAUCCUCCAUUAUGCAUCUUUUAUAGUGCAAAUUUAAUUGCACAUCUAAAUAAAUUGAUUAUUGUCACUCCACCACCAAUAUUUCAAAUAGUCACUAGACCAUUUCUGCCUUUAAUUUUCCCUUAAUUUUAACUGUUGACUGUUUUUAGCAUCUUAAAAUAUACAUUUAUUCCUUGAUUAUGUGAUAAAAUUAUGAAAAUAUCCAUUUUAGCUUAAAUUAAUUGGAAUAACCAUAAGCGUAACAUAAAUUAAUAGAACAAAAUUAUCAAGUGUAUGUUCUAUCUUACUUUUUGAAGAAUUUAACAUAUAUAAUGCUAUACUAUUAAUAAAUUUAUCAUUUACUAUAUAUGUUCAAAUAUUUUAUAUAUUUAUUAAUUGUUAUAUAGUCAAAGGAUGAAUGAUUUUUCAGGUCUACAUGAGUUGGUGCAUCUGCAAGACUCAAUUUUGACAACAAUGAUCUAAGGGGUAAUUUACCUUGGCGUUUGACAAAUAUAACCUCUCUUCAAGAUUUACUUCCAAUCUACUUACUGUAAAUAUCUCCUCAUCUCCUCUCAUUUAUAUGAUAACCCUUGAAGAUCUCACAUUUUCAAACGAUCAUAUUAGGGUUUUUAUUAUUAGCAUCAUUGUGUCAAUAAUAUAUGUUGCAGUAAGAUUUUUUCAGACCAAUUCCCUUCUUCAAAUAAUAAUGGAAAAGUAUUAAUUUAAAAAUAAAAUGAAUAUGCAUUGAUUAUAUCCUGAUUUUCAUCGAUUAUAGAGAGAGUUUCUCCAAAUCAACUCCCUUAUUCAAAUAAUACAGAAAAAAUAGUAAUUUAAUAGUAAAAUUAACAAGUGUUGAUUAUAUAUCCUAAGUUUCAUCGAUUAUGUGAUCAAAGUGGCAUUGUUGAUUUAUUUCUUCUUCAAUGUAAAUUUUUAGGUUAUCUAAAUUUCAAGGAUUUAAAAUCUUUGUUCAUGGAUUACACGCUUAUUAAUUUUUCUGCCAUUGACUGUCAUAUUCUAGACUUAAUGGUACCUUCCUUGAUCAAGGAUAAUUACUCUCUGCUCUCCUCUUAUAAAUUCUUCUUCCAUUAACAUCACUAGGAGUAUGUUGAUCUCUCAGACGUUAACUUCAGUGGAGAGUUUCCAAAUUGAUUGUCACAAAACAACACAAAAACUAGACACACUUGAUCUGUCUAUUAAUUCUCUUUCGGUAAAAUUAAUUAAUUUUAGGGGAAUAUUCGACCAACCUAUAUAAUUUUAGAUUGAUCAUUAAUUAAUUGGACGAAAAAAGUGCUUGUGCUUUUGUGGCGACAAUUGAACCAGAGAAGUGAAGCUGUAAAGAUUUGGCAGUAGUAAAUUGUUAGAAAGACAUAAAGACGAGUUCCCAUUAUUAUAAUUUUUUCAAAAAACUUUUUUACAACACAUGCACCUGGCCAAAAAUUUUAUUUUGCUAACUAACAAUAAUUGAGUAGCUGACCGUAUUGACUCCACCUACUUGCUAAAGUAAAAAAAUAGAAAUAGAAUUUCCACAAAAUGGCAAACAUGUAAAAUCUAAUAUUUGGCCGUGUGGAACAAAAUACAAAUAAAAAAAAAAGAAAAGAAAAAAGGCCUAAAGACUUUUAAAAUGUGUGGAAGUCUUUCGGCCCUUUUAUAAUGGUGUGUUUUUCAAAGGAACAAAUAAUAAUAAUGACACUUCUACGGUUUGUUUUGAUAAUCACACAUAUACUCUUUAAUUUGAUAAAUGGUUACACAAAUUUUGUUUACAAAAAUAUAUUAUUCAUGUUCUGUGUUAUUUUUUAACAUCAUAUUUUUAUUUAUUAUAAUUGUUUAAAGUUAAUUGUUAGGUUGAUAUAUAAUAAAAACGUAUAAUCGUUCUCUUACUAAACACACAUACUCAUAGUUUCUGUUCAUUUGUCAUCUCAAUCUCUCUCAUUUAUCCUUUAUUGAUAGCUCAAAACGCGUCACUGUGGAAAAUUAUAGCAAAACGACAAAUAUGGAAAAAAAUGGGAAGAAAAUUAAUGCAUGAAAGAGUUGCAGAAGACAACCAAAUAAGUCAACUAUACGCUAGCUGGGUGUAUAAAUUGUUAGAUGUGUUAUAAACAAAUAGCAUAGAGCCCUUUGGUUGGUUACAAAGAUAGAAAGAGUGUGUGUGUUUUUUAGAACUUAAAGAUACAGUUAGAAUGGGUGGUUCAAAAUAAAAAAUGGUGAUAAUGUUUGUUCUGUUAUUAAUAAUAUUAGAAGGUGGGGGGAGUGAGGGAUGUUUGGAUCAUGAGAGAUUUGCUCUUUUGCGACUUAAACUUUUCUUUGAUGAUCCUUUUAAUUAUCUUCACGAUUGGAUAGAUGAUGAGGGAGCAACUGAUUGUUGUCAGUGGGAAAGGGUUGAGUGCAGCAACACCACAGGCCGAGUGAUAGCGCUAUACCUUUUUCACACGUAUGGGGGAGAGGACAGCUGGUAUCUGAAUACUUCUUUUUUUACUCCCUUCCAACAACUUGAGUCACUUGCUUUACAUGGCAACAACAUAGCCGGUUUUGUUGAGAAUGAAGGUGCUUCGUCUAAUUCAAUUAAAUUACAUUUCGCUCUCGUAAUUUAAGACGAAUAUCAAGACUGAGCAGCUAUAUGCAUAUUCAUUCAAUUGACAAUUUUUGAAAUUACACCAAACAUCAUAUGUGAUCUUUGUUUUGAUUUUACUUGCAGGUCUAGAAAGAUUGAGCAACUUGAAGGGGCUUGAUUUAAGAGGAAACUUGUUCAACAAUAGCAUCUUAUCAUCUGUGGCUCAUCUUUCAUCACUAACAUCAUUAUAUUUAUCUGAAAAUAGAUUGGAAGGAAGUAUUAAUGUUAAAGGUACGUAAUUAAAACGUCAUCGCUUCUACCAACUCUUUCAUUAACAUGCUAAAAUAAGAUUCAAGGCUUUGAAUUCAAUUUUUUUUAUGAGUAAUAUUAGAAAAAUAGUUUUAAGCAAUUCAUAAAUACAAUUUUCAAUGUUUCUCAUAAUUUCAUCUUGUACUUUUGUAUGUCUUGACUUUAAGAUUAAAAAAAAAAUUACUCUAACUGUGAAGCAAAUACCCCAUGACUAAUUUACAAUUUUGUCCAGUUAAAAAUGAUAAAAUUUAUCAUUUGUUUAUAUUGAUUUAUUAACUCUAUUUUAAGUCUUAAGUCUUGGCGUCUUGGCAUGUUUGCAGAAUUUGAUUCCUUGAGCAACUUAGAGGAGUUGGACAUGAGCGGCAAUGAAAUAGACAAUUUCGAGGUUCCUCAAGGUACACAAUUAAAAUAUUAUUUAAUUAUAUUAAUUUAAUUCGUUUGAUUAGGGAAGGCCCAAAAUGUACAAAAACAUAAUUAAAAAAAAAAUAAAGAAAUAGAGAAUUCAUAUUAUUUCAAAAAACAAAAGGUAAUACUAUUAUUUCAAAAAAAGAAUGUAAUAAAGAUUUGAUUCCGGUUCUUUAAUCUUUAUAGCAAUUGAAAAACAAUGUUGCUCUUUUCCUAAAGCAUAAAAUAUGAAAUGAGUCAUAAUUGAAUUAGUCAUUUAUUUUGUUUAGAUCUAAAUUUAGACAAUAAAUUUUGAUUUUUUUUUUCAAUCCUAUCCUUAUUAUUAUUGUUAAACAGGUUACAGAGGUUUGAGGAAGUUGAAAAGCCUCUAUCUAUCGGAAGUUAAAAUUAGAGAUGGAAGCAAGUUGUUACAGUCAAUUGGAUCAUUCCCAUCCCUCAACACUCUUUACCUUUCAUCUAAUAAUUUUACCGAUAUAGCGACAACUACUACUCAAGGUAAGUAAAAGGUACAGAUGUGGCCAAAUUUAUAAAUAAAUUGUUAAUUAAUUAAUUUUUCCGUAUUAUUAAUAAAGCUAAAUUCGUCGCUCCUUCCUUCUAAUUCUAAACAGAGUUGGCAAUUUCACCAACUUGGAGUAUUUGACAUUGGACUUGUCCUCACUCCAUUUAAGCCUUCUGCAAUUGCUUGAAGAAUGAAUUUAUAUAUUUAUUUAUUAUUAUUAUUAUUGUUAUUGUUGUUGUUGAAGUGAGGUGGGCAAGCGUUCACUCAAUUAAUAUGUGGGGAAUUAAUAAUUACAAUCCAAGGUAGAAUUGUGGAAAAUUAAAGCAAAAUGAGAAAUAUGGAAAGAAAGGAAGAAAGUUAAGGGCAUGAAAGACUGGGAGAAGACUAAAGACCACCAAAUAAGUCAACUGAAAACUAGCUGGGGCCUGGCUGUACAAAUUGUUAGAUGUGUUUGUUAUAAAUAACAUAGAGCCCUCUUGUUGGUUGCAGAGGCAGAGAGACAGAGAGUGUGCAUUUUGUUAAUUAAAAAUAUAUAUAAAAUGGGUGGUUCAAAAUCCAAAAUGGUGAUAAUGUUAGUUUUGUUAGUAUUAAUAAUAUUAUAAGGGAGGUGGCGUGAGGGAUGUUUGGUGCAUGAGAGAUUUGGUCUUUCGAGACUUAAAACAUUUCUUUAAUUCUCCUUAUAAUUUUUGUCACGACUGACCAUUGUCAAUGGGAUGGGGCUGGGUGCAGGGUUGAUUUACGUUAGAACAAUAUAGCCGGUAGUGUUGAGAAUGAAGGUGUUUCAUUUAAUUUAAUUAAUUUACUUUCUCCCUCCUAAUUUAAGUGGAAUAUCAAGACUGAAUAAUUAUAUGCAUCUUCGUUCAGUUGACAAUUUUGACAUAUUUUUUUAAGUGAUUAAUUUUGAAAUUACACCAAACAUUAUUUGUGAUCUCUGCUUUGACUUUACUUGCAGCGCUAGAGACGUUACCAAGAUUGAGCAACUUGACGAUACUUGAUUUAAGAGGAAACUUGUUCAAUAAUAGCAUCUUGUCAUUUGUUGCUCGUCUUUCAUCAUUAACAUCAUUAGAUUUAUCUUACAAUGGAUUGGAAGGAAGUAUUAAUAUUAAAGGUACGUAAUUAAAACGUCAUCGCUUCUCCCAACUCUUCCAUUAACAUGCUAAAAUAAGGUUCAAGGCUUUGAAUUCAAUUUUUUUUAUGAGUAAUAUUAGAAAAAUAGUUUUAAGCAAUUCAUAAAUACAAUUUUCAAUGUUUCUCAUAAUUUCAUCUUGUACUUUUGUAUGUCUUGACUUUAAGAUUAAAAAAAAAUUACUCUAACUGUGAAGCAAAUACCCCAUGACUAAUUUACAAUUUUGUCCAGUUAAAAAUGAUAAAAUUUAUCAUUUGUUUAUAUUGAUUUAUUAACUCUAUUUUAAGUCUUAAGUCUUGGCGUCUUGGCAUGUUUGCAGAAUUUGAUUCCUUGAGCAACUUAGAGGAGUUGGACAUGAGCGGCAAUGAAAUAGACAAUUUCGAGGUUCCUCAAGGUACACAAUUAAAAUAUUAUUUAAUUAUAUUAAUUUAAUUCGUUUGAUUAGGGAAGGCCCAAAAUGUACAAAAACAUAAUUAAAAAAAAUAAAGAAAUAGAGAAUUCAUAUUAUUUCAAAAAACAAAAGGUAAUACUAUUAUUUCAAAAAAAGAAUGUAAUAAAGAUUUGAUUCCGGUUCUUUAAUCUUUAUAGCAAUUGAAAAACAAUGUUGCUCUUUUCCUAAAGCAUAAAAUAUGAAAUGAGUCAUAAUUGAAUUAGUCAUUUAUUUUGUUUAGAUCUAAAUUUAGACAAUAAAUUUUGAUUUUUUUUUCAAUCCUAUCCUUAUUAUUAUUGUUAAACAGGUUAUAGAGGUUUGAGGAAGUUGAAAAGCUUUGAUCUAUCGGAAGUUAAAAUUAGAGAUGGAAGCAAGUUGUUACAGUCAAUGGGAUCAUUCCCAUCCCUCAACGCUCUUUACCUUUCGUCUAAUAAUUUUACCGAUACAGCGACAGCUACUCAAGGUAAGUAAAAGGUACAAAUGUGGCCAAAUUUAUAAACAAACUGUUAAUUAAUUAAUUUUUCCGUAUUAUUAAUUAAGCUAAAUUUGUUGCUCCUUCCUUCUAAAUCUACACAGAGUUGCACAAUUUCACCAACUUGGAAUAUUUGGCAUUGGACUAUUCCUCUCUCCAUAUAAGCCUUCUGCAAAGCAUUGCAUCAAUAUUCCCUUCGUUAAAAAAUUUGUCGAUGUAUCACUGUGUAGUCAAUGGCGUCCUACGUGGUCAAGGUAAAAGAAAAGUGUUGAUUGUGAACUCGCUCAAUGGUGUCCUACGUGUUCAACAUUUUUAUUUAUUUAUUUUAUUGUUUAAUGUUUCUGCUAGGUUUUCCUCAUUUCAAGAGUUUGGAACAUUUGGACAUGGAUUUCGCGAGCAUUGCACUCAACACCAACUUUCUUCAAAUCAUCGGAGAAUCAAUGCCUUCUCUUAAGUACUUAUCACUAUCAUAUUCUAAUCUUAGCACUGACAGCAAGACUCUUGAUCGAGGUUAAUGAGAUGCUUCAACCCUCCCCUUUAAAUCUAUAAUAUUAAUUUUCGAUUAAAUAUAUAAUUAUAGAAACCAAUCACUUAUAAAAGAAUGCUAUGCAUUUGCCAAUUUUUUUAUAUUUUACUGAUUGAUGAAUUAAUAAAUUUUCAGGCCUCUGUUCGUUGGUGCAUCUACAAGAGUUGUACAUUGCAACUCUUGUAGUAAUUAAUUAAUUAAUUAAUUAAGUAUUAGUUAAUUAAUUAAUUAAUUAAUUUUUUGUAUUAUUAAUAAAGCUAAAUUUGUUGCUCCUUCCUUCUAAUUCUGAACAGAGUUGCACAAUUUCACAAACUUGUAAUAUUUGGCAUUAGACUCUUUCUCUCUCCAUAUAAGCCUUCUGCAAAGCAUUGCAUCAAUAUUCCCUACGUGGUCAAGGUAAAAGAAAAGGGUUGAAUGUGAACUCACUCAAUGGUGUCGUACGUGUUCAACAUUUUUAUUUAUUUAUUUAUUUUAUUGUUUAAUGUUUCUGCUAGGUUUUCCUCAUUUCAAGAGUUUGGAACAUUUGGAUAUGGAUUACACUCGCAUUGUACUCAACACCAGCUUUCUUCAAAUCAUCGGUGUAUCGAUGCCUUCUCUUAAGUACUUAUCACUGUCAAAUUCUGAUCGUAGCACUAACAGCAGCAGGAUUCUUGAUCAAGGUUAAUCAGAUGCUCCCACCCUCCCUUCUUAAUCUAUAAUAUUAAUUUUCGAUUAAACAUUUAAUUACACAAACAAAUCACUUAUUAUAAAAGAACAAUACGCAUUCAUUAAUUUUUAUAUUGUAUUAAUUGAUGAAUUUAAUAAAUUUUCAGGCCUCUGUUCGUUGGUGUAUCUGCAAGAGUUGUACAUUGAUAAUAAUGAUUUAAGAGGUAGUUUGCCUUGGUGCUUGGCAAAUAUGACAUCCCUCCGAAUAUUAGAUGUUUCUUCCAAUCAACUUACUGGAAGCAUCUCCUCAUCUCCCCUCAUUCAUUUGACAUCCAUUGAAGAGCUGAUGCUUUCAAACAAUCACUUCCAGAUCCCAAUUUCACUUGAACCACUUUUCAAUCACUCAAGACUCAAGAUUUUCAAUGCUUACAACAAUGAAAUAAAAGCUGAAAUAACUGAGUCACAUUCUUUGAUCGCCCCAAAAUUCCAAUUAAAUACACUCUUGUUGUCUUCCAGUUACGGAGACAGUUUCAUAUUCCCUAAAUUCCUUUACCAUCAACAUGACCUGGCGUAUGUUGAUCUCUCACACAUAAAAAUGAAUGGAGAAUUUCCAACUUGGUUGUUGGAAAACAACACAAAAUUGAGCCACCUUUCUCUCAUCAAUGAUUCUCUUGCAGGACCUUUUUGGUUGCCAAUUCAUUCACACACGCAGUUAAUACUGUUGGAUAUAUCCAACAACAACAUCCGAGGCCACAUUCCACUAGAAAUUGGAGAUGUUUUACCACGUUUAUACGUUUUCAACAAUUCCAUGAAUGCUCUAGACGGUAGCAUUCCCUCUUCAUUUGGUAAUAUGAAAUUCCUCCAAAUUCUGGACUUAUCCAACAAUCACUUGACUGGUGAAAUCCCCGAGCACUUGGCCGUGGGUUGCGUCAACUUGCAGGCUCUUGCAUUAUCAAAUAACAACCUACAAGGUCAUUUGUUCUCUAGAAAUUUUAACUUGACAAACUUGAAAUGGUUACAAUUGGAGGGCAAUCGCUUCGUAGGUGAGAUCCCACAAAGUUUGUCUAAAUGCUCCUCACUAGAAGGAUUGUCUCUUAACAAUAAUAGUCUUUCGGGUAAGAUUCCACGAUGGUUGGGUAAUCUCACACGGUUAGAAUAUAUUAUAAUGCCCAAUAAUAAUCUUGAAGGCCCUAUUCCAGUGGAGUUUUGUCAGCUUGAUUCGCUUCAGAUUUUGGACAUUUCAGACAACAACAUAUCUGGAAGUUUACCAUCUUGUUUCCAUCCUCUCUCUAUCAAACAAGUUCAUCUUUCAAAAAAUAUGUUACAUGGACAGCUAAAAAGAGGUACAUUCUUUAAUUGCUCUUCCCUUGUGACAUUAGAUCUUAGCUAUAACCGCUUGAAUGGCAGCAUUCCGGAUUGGGUUGAUGGGCUUUCUCAGUUAAGCCACCUUAUCUUAGGUCACAAUAAUCUUGAAGGUGAAGUGCCAGUUCAAUUGUGCGAAUUGAACCAACUACAAUUGUUAGAUCUUUCUAAUAAUAAUCUUCACGGUCCUAUUCCUCCUUGCUUUGAUAACACCACACUUCAUGAAAGUUACAGCAAUAGUUCUAGUCCUGAUGAGCAAUUUGAAAUAUCUUUUUUCAUCCAAGAAACUCAGGGAUAUGUAAAAGAGCAAAUCCAUGAAAUUUUUGAGUUCACAACAAAGAACAUUGCGUACAUUUACCAAGGAAAAGUGCUUAGCCUCCUAUCAGGACUUGAUCUUUCUUGCAACAAGUUAAUCGGUCAUAUUCCUCCUCAAAUUGGAAAUUUGACAAGGAUUCAAACAUUGAAUCUAUCACACAACAACUUGACAGGAUUGAUCCCAUCAACAUUUUCAAACUUGAAGCAUAUCGAAAGUUUGGAUCUUUCCUACAACAAAUUGAAUAGAAAAAUCCCUCAUCAACUAGUGGAGUUAAAGACAUUGGAGGUUUUCAGUGUGGCAUACAAUAACUUAUCAGGCGAAAUUCCAGAAUGGAAAGCACAAUUUGCAACCUUCAACGAGAGUAGCUAUGAGGGAAAUACUUUUCUUUGUGGAUUGCCAUUGCCCAUUUGCAGAUCACCAGCAACUACGCCAAAGGCUUCAAUUGGCAAUGAAAGAGAUGAAAAUUUAAUUGACAUGGACAAUUUCUUUAUCACAUUUACAACAUCGUACGUAAUUGUAAUAUUCGGAAUUGUUAUUGUUUUAUAUGUAAAUCCUUAUUGGCGACGUAGAUGGUUUUACUUUGUUGAAAUGUGGAUAAUUUCAUGUUACUAUUUUGUUGUAAACAAUCUUAUUGCAACAAGAUAUUGUCAGUGAAAUUAAUUAGCAGUUUAAUUACGAUUCUUUAAGUUCUAAUCAAGUUUGCUUAGGAAAUAAAUUUAUUUUUAUUUUUUAUUAAAAUUGUAGUAGUAUUUAGCGCUAUAUAGCUUCCAACUUCCAAGCACUUCACAUUUGUCUCUACACUUCCAAACCCAUAUCUAUCCAACAUAACUUAUACUUCCCUAUACUGUGCAGCAUACUUAAAUAAGAGAAUCAUCUCCAAUGUUAAAACCAACCACUCUAUAACAUUCAUUUAGAAACUAUAUUUAGAAUAGUUUUAUAAUCAUACACAAGAAAUGAAACACCUAGAUGCACUUGAUCGCCUAUUUUACUUUAAAAAAUAAUGAUUAUGGUGCUAUCAUCAUCUUCUUCACUAGCAACAUUAACACCAAAUCCAGCGAUGGACCCAGACAUUUAAUCAAGAAAGGUAUAUAUAUAAUAAAGUUGAAGCUUGACAAAAAAUUCAGGAAGAUUAAUGCAUCGCCACAACAAGAGGCACAACAGCAUCAAAGUAGAGAUGAAGCAAUAUUCUCAAAGCUAAAACUCUCAAAUCCACCCACCAGAAUUUCAUAUCUCCUCAACAAUUUUAAGAACUAAAGAUAAUUAGGAUCUAACAUUAGUUUUUUAUAUAUUAGUUUCAUAAUUUACAAAUCAAUGAAGAUGAAGAUUAUGCUAAUGAAUUCAAAUUAUACCAUACAUUCUCGAGAUGUUACCAAAAAUUUCUAAGUCAAUCCCACAUAUUUCAUAAUUUUAAGACUAGAAAAUUUCAUUAGUUAGAAGUUUCAUUACCUUCAAGUGGAAGAUGAAGAACAUUAUACAAUUGAUUCAGAUUAUAUCAUACAUACUCCAAAUGCAACUAGAAAUUAACAAGUUCAUGCACACAGAUUUCAUAACAUUAUGAUUGGAAAGUUUCGCAAAGAGAAAUUCUAAAUUCAAUCUCUUGCAUCAAGGUAGUUUGAUUGAUUUGAGUUACUUUCAAGUCAGGGAGAAAGUAAAUUAAAACAGGGAAAAAAUAACAGUAAAAAUUUGUUGCUAAACAUGAUGUGUAUUUUUUUUUUAAGGCAAUUUGGAAACACAGUUGUUACUACAGAUAUUCUCAACUUAGAGAUAACUACAAAUAUUAAAAUGCAUAUGAUCGCACAUAUUACUUGGAGCUUAGUAGGAUUUCAUUAAGAGAAGCAAUCAAACCACUUAUCAAUUGUUGCAAUCGUUCUAUAAGCUAAAAUAGCAAUAUAAUACAAGAAAAAGAACAUAUAGAUACUUGGCAAGAGUUCAUUAAGAAGUCGCAUCACAUUCGGGUGAGUUUGCUUCUGAUAUCUUGCUAGCUGGGGCUUUUUCUUGUCUUUCUGCGUAUGCCGAAGGAAACCAACCAGCUUGGCCCUUGCAUUCACCUUCUGACCAUCCAGUAGGAGCCACCUUGAGAAGUUAUAACUAAAACAGUGAAUUAAACAAAAGUUGACCGUUCAAAGACCUAAGGGGAAAACUAAUUCUUUUACGUAGGAGUGAAUUAGUUGUGAUCACUGAAAUAACAGCAUAACUAUGGAAGCAUAACAAGAUAUAAAUUCACACGUCUAUAAGGGUAAACUGGGUGGUUUAGAACUGAGCUAGCAACCCUACUAUAUUCUGAUUUGCACUUCAAUGUAAAAGGGAAUAUAUGGUAGGAAUAAAGAAAACCAACUAUCAUUUGUUAACUCAUUGCUUUUCAAUCAAAAUUUUAAGAACAAAAUGCCAUGUGCUUUGAACAUCAAAUAAGUAUAAGCAUUAGUUCUAAAUUCCACAUAUCAUAAGUUAGAAGGAUAAGUUAAUAGCAUAUUAGAAAAAUCUAUGUGUUGUUAUUUAGAGGGGAAAGUACCUGGCGAACCACAACAUAAUCAGCUAUUGAAAGACUUAGCUCUCCAUUUGCUUGAGCAACAAAUGGAUGUAUAACCUGCAAGAUAAUGGGAUAAAUAGAACUUAAUCUUAAAAAAAGCAUAACAAAAGCAGCAACAGUAGCAGCAACGUUCAUUGUAACCACUAUGAUCAUGGCCAACAAAGAUAUAUUAGAAACAAAAUUCCAUUUAUACUACGACAUUAAUAUGUACUAUAUGAUAUCAUGACGAUUGGGUUACCAAGAGCUAUCAAAGUCCAAUAAAUUCUGUAUAACUUUAUGUAGUUAUUCAAAUUAUGGAUCAGAUUUUAAAUCUGAAAUUUUGACUGCUCUCCACAAAACAUGGCCUAUGCGCAAGAAAGUCAUAGAUAAUGAGGAUUACAAGUGUCUGACAUCUUUUGAGUGAUGGAUUUAACAUGAGAGCUUAUGGUCAGUCAAUUUCCUCUGCCUAGUAAUAUAAGCUUUCUCGGCCAGAUUUAUCAUCAAAUACAUAGAUUGCCCCCAAGUCACAUCCAUAUAAACAUAGUUUUUCUAGGUAAACCAAGUAAGGAGAAUCAUAAUUCAGACAUAAUCAUAAAAAGGAACAUCUAACUUAAGAGAAAAUCUCAAAAAGAGGGAUGCUGAGCUAUCAGUCUUGUAUCUAUAAGCAAUAUCAAGACUUUACAUCACCUGCUACAUCGUGAAUGGCUACACAACUUUCAGUGGUUUGUCUUUCUUUGGCAUGCCUAACUCAGCUUUGAUGUUGCUGAGAUAUUGAUAGUAGAGACACAUGAUACUUCUAGCUCAUGCAUUCUAUCUAGCUCAUCCGACAGCUAUGUCUUUUUUAAUUCAUUAGUGUUUGCUAAACCUCAUGCUUAAAAGUCCUGUUGUUCUAAACAAAGUUUCCUAAGAAUGACUUCCUCAGCACCACAUUUGGACACUUUUAGAGCAAUUUAUUUGGGGGAAAAGAAUUUUCAAGGUGUUAACUAAUAAAUUUUAAAAAAUAAUUACUAUUUGUCCUACGAUUAUAUGACAAUUUAUCUGGGAUGAAAGGAUACAGACAGACAUCUUCCACUUUCAAGACUAAUCACUACUUCCGUAGAUGUUUUGCAAUAAUACAAAUACUUGACCAGAUGGUAGUGAUGGUAGAAAAAAAUUUUAUUGCUCCAAAAUUAAAAUAAGAAUGCAAUAUGUUAAGCAAAAGACUGUGCAACAUCAAAUUAAUUGAUAAGUUUGUAAUUCAGUAAAUUAACAACUUUCAUGGUAAAAUACAACAAAUUUCUUUAAAAAAAAAAAAAUCUUAAAAGACAGCAUUCAAUUUUGUGCGCAUCUUAUUUCUUAAGAUUUUCCAGGAGGGCAAUAGAGGGACUUUCACCUAUGCAAGAGAGCAGAAGCCUUACUUUCGCUAUAAAGUAGACGUCAUUCUGAUUAAUAUGCAUUUGCAAAUCAGCUCCAUUUGAAUCAGUAUUCUGAUAGACACAUGAGGCAUUUACAUCCAUUUCCAAAGUCACAUGUUGAGAGGAGGACUCAUUUGAUUGCUCCUCUAGGACCAUCUAAUUCAAGUAGCAAGGGAUGGAAGAGAAUAAAAAGUCACAAUUAUUCUUUUGCAUAAGUGAGACGAAAAUGAUAAAUGCAAUAUUAUCAGCAGUAAACAAGAAGAGAACACUCCAAGGAAUAGAUAGAUGCGGACAAGCAAGUUAAAAUGCACAGUUCCAAACCUCCGCAUACAACUUCUCUAAAAUAGCAAUAACGUGUUGAUGAUAUGUUUUCUCAGCAUCUACCUGCAAAGGCCCGAGACCAGGAAAACAACAAUAAAACCACUAGCUAAAGGAGAAAGUAAAGAAAGAAAUACACUUGACAUAAAUCUUGACAAGAAGCACAAUUUAAGACAUAACAAACCCCAAUCAUAUUGUUUAGAACUACCAUUCAUUAUUUCGUUAUUGUAGCAUUUCGAACAAGUGUUGACUUAAUUCAACAUUGUUGGAAAGAUAGGCUUUUAGAAGCGGAAGAAAGCCACUCAAACCAAAGUGAUUGUCCUUGUAUUGAUCAAGGGAUGUAAACAUAUUACAUUUGCAGGAUGAGUUUUAAUCACUUCCUGAUUUAUUUGGGUUGCAGUAAAACUAAGCGAGCAACUGUUUGACUUUCAAGCAACAUCUAAAUCAGCUAUUAAAAUUCAAAUAAAAUUAUAAUAGAAUAAUAACAGGCCAUCUUGCAUCAAAAUUAAGUUUAAUUUGUGAAUUUUUUUCUAUAGACAUGUUAGUUCCUGCUAUUGAAAUGUUAAAAGCUUUGAAAAAUUAUUCAAUAAAUUAUGCAAACAUUAAAAUAGAGGACAUAUUAAAAAGUUUCUAAUUACAAUGUUAAGAUUUCCUAUAUUUUAGCAUUUGCAUAUUUUAAUUUAUUUAAAAGCUACGUCGAUCAACUUUGGGCGUGAAGAUUUUAGCUUCUACGAGACUUGAUUGGAAUAUGCAUAAGGAAGAGUGUUAAAAUAUGAUGCAUCCAACGAAAGACAAACCAUGUGUAGUCUUUUAAUUAAGCCAAAGUAGCAGCUCAAACAAAUGACACUUGGACCAACAUGCAAUCAUGAAGUGGCCGGAAAAAGGACAAAUGCAACUUUGGCUUAAAUAAAAAAUAACAUGUGACUUGACUUUUCCUGGACAUGCAUCAUGUUAUUACAAGACAACAGAAAUCAGUAUGAUAGUACUAAAAGUUGACAAUAACAUGAAGAUAAGAGGCAGAAUGUCAACACAUGCAUAGGCACACACAAGAAAGUAUUAACAUAUAUACCAUAGCAAAAAGUCUUUGAUAUGUCAUCUGUUGCUGCUGUGAUUCAACUGACAGCAUGGCAGCUGUUGCUUCUCUACCAAGAGCCAUUAUUGUAGAUUUAAGCUCGGUCAAUCUUGCUUCUGCAUUUCGAAGCUUCACAGCACUCUCUGCUGAUAUAUCAGAUUCCCUUAUCUUUGAUCGGUGCCUAAAUACUUCAGCUGCCUGGUGAAAAUAUUCAAUAUAAAUCUAACAUAAUUCUCAUCUUGCCUUAUACAUGCAUAUGUUACCUCAAAGCUUGCCUGGGCUUCAACUUCAUGUCGAAGUUUGUCAUAACGAUGAGUCAGGUGUCGAGCAUCUUCCAAAGGUGCUCCGUUGAUUAACGCCCAUAGUGGCUUAGAUACCUACAUGUCCAAAAACCUGUAACAUAGUUAGAAAAAUGAAAAGAAAGAGCGAAACCUCAAUUAAAAAGUUCCUCCAACAUAAUCAUGGAAUUUGGGCCUACUUCAAGGAUAUAUAUAAGGAUAAUUUAUGCAAUUUUGGGUCUUAGGAUGAUUCAUAUUAGGUUAGUGUUCUUCUCUUCUGUAUUUAAGGUUAAAAUAGAAAUAAACCUAUGCAAAUAUCUAAAUUAGGGCUGUAAGACUUCCACAUGCAUCCUUCAGUCUCAUGGAUUUGAUUUUACUAUAGAUGCAAGUGUCUUUAUCGAAAAUGCUUGGAGUCAAUUGAGAGAACUCACAGCCAAUAACUUGUCACAUGCUAGUCUUUGCUAGUGAUGCAAGAAGUCACAAGGUCUCUUCAACAUUUGAACCAAUAAAAUUAUUAAGUCAUGGAUGUCACUAGCAAUGAUUUCAAUAUAAAACAUUAAAUAUUUCAAGUUGUAACUUUAAAAUGGAUUCUUUUAUUCAAUAUCUUAGAACUAAGUUUCCUUAUGAGAAGAUAAUAGUUUCAGUAGUAAUUUACAUGAAAUUUUCUAUAUUUGAAUUAUUUUCUAGUUAGGGAUGAACUAACCUGAUCAUGAAGAAUCCCAAGCAAAGUUUCCCUCUCAUUUUCCAUCAAAUCAUGUGAAGUGCCAAAUUGAAGAGCAGCUCUUGCAGCGCAAGAAUUGUCACUUUGAUUCUCCGCUCCAUACUUGCAACAAUCUUCAGCCAACUUUCUCGCUACAAUAUUUGAAUACAAAAAUAUUGUACACAAGAACCAGUCAAGAAAAUAAAAAAAAAUCAAAUAUUAUAACGAGAGCAAGAGCAAACAAACAACCUAUUUCCAUUUGUUUCAAGCUUACUGCAACAAACCCUUCAAUGCCACGGACAAUAUUCCUCUGAAAAUGCUGUGCUACAGAGCAUAUAUUCCAAAUUAUUGUUCAGAUAAAACCAUAGAAACCAUCAUAAUUAUCAACAUACAUUAAGCUCCGUUUGGUAAAUACUUGCAACUUCAGUCUAGAAAAUACAGUUGUUUGUACCAUAUUUGACAAAAUUAUUAUUUAAAAAUCAUAACUAAUUACCAAAAGCCACAAUAAAUCAAUAUCAAACAGAGUCUUAUUAUUAGCUAAAGGAGGAUGGUGCCUUAGCUGCCCUGGUGGAAUUGUAUAGAUUUUAAAGUUGUUGGUGACACUCAAUUUCAGCUUCAUGAACCGCAAUAUUUUCAAUACCAAGAUGGAGCAGAUGCUUCAAUACUGCCUGUACAAAUCAUAAAAAACUAAUAAAAAUAAAUAAAAUCGAGAAAUUUCACUAACUAAAAGUCUAAAUAUAAUUUUUGAAAAAAGAAAAGAAACGGACUUGCUGCUGCUUGGCGACUUGUUCUCGGAGCUUGAUUGCCUGUUUCUUGAUAGCUUCCAUACUGUUUCUUUCAAAAAGCAACGACGGCUCAGCUCAUGGAGGUGGAAAAAAAAAGUGUGAUCGAGAAAAAUAAAAAGGCAUGAAUAAUUUUUGACAAAAAGCGAAAAAUAAAAAGGCAUGAAUAAUGAAUAAUUUUUGACAAAAAGCUCUUUCCAGAAAAUAAAAAAAGAAAAAAGAAAAAAGAAAAUUAUAAGUUUGAAAGGAGUAGAUGAUAGUGGAAGUGUGGGGUAAUUUUUAAAAACCUCCCCUGAGGUUUGGGCUUGUUGCAAGUAGAUGACGAGAAUUGAUUUAUUUGUAAAAAACCCCCUACCGUCAGUUAAUUUUAACAUUGACAGUUAGUUGACCGUGCAAAGACAAUAUUACCCUUAACAAUAGUUUGUAAACGAAAAUAACUAAAAAAAAACCAAAAUUAUUAGCUAUUUUACCCUCUUUAAAUUAUUGAUAUUUUCUUAAAGUUCCUAUAAAAAAGAUAAAAUUAAAAACUUGAAAAAUCAUCUUUAAAUUAUUAAUAUUUUCUUAAAGUUCCUACAAGAAAGAUAAAAUUAAAAACUUAAAAAUGAAAUAGUCAUAAUCUUUACCUAUGAUAUUGUAAAUCUUUAGAAUUGACAAGGAUAAAAUUAUCAAAAAAUAGGGUUUGUGCUUUUCGCGCCAACAAUUUUAAUUUUUUUUUAUAGUUAUUUUCAUUUACAAACUAUUGUUAAGGGUAAUAUUGUCUUUGCACGGUCAACUAACAGUCAAUGUUAAAAUUAACUGACGGUAGGGGGUUUUUUACAAAUAAACCAAUUAUCGCCAUCUACUUGCAACAAGCCCAAACCUCAGAGGAGGUUUUUAAAAAUUACCCUGGAAGUGUGCGGUGUGGCUGCCAGCUACUUGGAUUGUAUUGUCGGGUAAGGUAAUAGUAGAGAAUUUUGUUUUUGAAGAAAAAUGGGUAAUUUUUAAAAACCUCCCCUGAGGUUUGGGCUUGUUGUAAGUAGAUGGCGAGAAUCCAUUUAUUUGUAAAAAACCCCCUACGUUUUUGCUCCGCUUGGUUGCCGUUUGUGCAAUUAUGGGCAUUGUUGACAUUUCUCAAUAAAACAAAUCUUUUGCAACUUUCGUUGCCUUGAGAACAAUAGCUAGAUUUCUCAAUCUGUUUCAUCCAACACUUCAAAAAUUUCAACUUUUAUGAGUUAUUGCAUUCUCUGGCAAAGUAGACUUCUUCUAAUUUUAUCACAGUGCUUUCAGGAACAAGAAUGGGAUCCAUUAACAUCCCCUCAAAUUUUACAGCUUCCUUACAGCUAUACACUGCUGUAACACGAAGUUUAAUGAUUCCAUCGCCAAAUAGUCCCCAAAAUCUAUUCUUCCCCAUAUUGAACAACUUAAGUUCACAACACUUGCAUUCUAAAGGCUUCCCACUAACAUCUAAUAUCUCAAGACUCAACGUUGCUUUACAAUAAUUGUUAUUACUACCAAACAAACAUGAAGAAACCCCGAUUAUCGGAUAAAUCAACCCAAAAUGAACAAGAGAAGAACCCAAAACAAGUGAAUCGCUAGAGCAAAACCCCCAACCCAUAUCCCUAAUCCCACACUCAAAAAAACCCAAUUUCUCUCCAAAGUCAUUGACACUAGCAUCACUACUAGACUCUAAUUCCAAUCCUAGAUUACAUUUAAUGUUAACCCAACUAAAAUGAAUGUUCUUACUACAAUACGCAUCGUUUACACUCUCAAACAACGCGCUGAACUUACUCUUAAACGAUCCCACAUUGGUCAAACACUCAUCACUCACAUCGACAUCCAAGAAUUCACUCAAAAACUUCAUAGACUCGACAAUUGGAGAAAACAAAACCACUAAACUCAACUUUAUACAAGCAUACCCAUCGAGAAUCUUACCGUCAUUAACCGAAUCACAACAAAUCACCGGGUCCCACGCGCAGUCGUGAACGAGCUUACGCAUGGACGGGGCAACAUUUAACCCCCGCGGCAAAAACGACGAAGCUUUGGAAAAAUUGUGUUUUAGAGCUGGGUUGAGGAGUAGAGAUUGGAGAGAUUGGAAGGUGGAAUCGGGACGGUCAAAGGAUAGAGAGAGAGAAGGGAAGGGGAUCUUUAAAAGAGAAGUGGGGAGAGGGAGGAGAAGAAGGAUUUGAAAGAGAAAAGAGAGGAACGGAGAGGCGGGAAUGAGAUUAAGGUUUUCACUGCAACUAAAAGAGUAAUCAUGUAUGGCUCUUGGUCUUGGAGAUGAAGGAGAGGAUUCAGGUCGAUUAAGAGGACUAUACGCUGCAUUUUGGUGUAGUCUGCCGCCAUUGGUAGAAGUUUCGAAGUGGGUUUCUGUUUAGAUCCGAGUUUGACGAAGAAACGUGGUGGUUGCGCUUGGGACAAUAUUGUUUUUGCACUGGUCAAUGUAAAAAUUAAACGACGGUAGGGAGUUUUUUUAUAAAUAAAUGAAUUCUCGCCAUUUAUAACAAGCCGAAACCUCAAAAGAAGAUUUUAAAAAUUACCCGAAGAUUCGAAAAAUAGUAGAGAAUUUUUUAAAAAGCUAGAACAGAGCAUGUUAGGCUUUUGUGGACCAAAUUCAAAAGCCAAAGGGCACGGCCCAAAAGCUUUUGAAUACAAUAACUUACUAGAAAGCUCCAUUUUUUGUUGGCUACAGUAAAAGUAUGUUGUUUUAUGCUUCUUAUAUGUUACGCUUAAUCGCUUGCUUUAACUGCAUCGCUCUCUGUGUACUCUUCUACACAUGUAACGGUUAUGCGGUUGUAGUUCACGGCUGAGGCUACGUGUUGGUUUGACGCGGCAGUUACGUUACGACAUUACGAGUCCGUUAAACAUUCGGUGAUAGAGCAUUAUUAGUUAUUUUAAGGAGACAAAUAAGAUUGGUUGCAAUAAACCCACUAAUUUUAUAAAAUUCGAGUAAUAUAGAAUAAAAUAAAAAAAUAAAUACAAAAUUGGCUUUUAUUUUUUAUGGUUGACUGUAUUUUGUGUUCUCUUCCGGCACUACUACAAUUGUUCCCUAUAUAUCAGUCACACCCAUAUAUCAUCAAUACAAGAAAUGAAAUCUAAUGUCACCUAUUUAGUUAAAGAAUUACUCAUGAAAAAAUUUUACCAUUUUACUUUGAGGAUCCAUAUUUUGAACUGCAAGCUAAUGUUCAUCAAGAAUCACUAAUGUUCAUAAAAAACAGAGCAUGGCCGUUGAGUAGAAAAACUAUUUUUGGACAAAUUAUUUUUGUUGAUAGAAGAAUUUCUUAAGGGACUACUAAUAUUAUGAAUAACAAUGUAGAACACACCCACAUAUCAUCGACACAAUUGACUUUAAGGAUCCAUGCUUUGAAUUGCCACCUAAUGUUCAUCAAGAACAGAGUAUGCCUUGUGAGUAGAAAAUUUUAUGAUUUUGGUCCGAAAUAAAAAGAAAUUAAAUUAGAUGAGAAUCUGCCACUUUCUCAUAAAGAAAGGCAUACGGAGCAUACCAUGGUACCAUACAAUACAAAGAGUCUCUAUUCUCUGGUUUUUCAAACUCUGAAGGGGCCAAUAUUCCCGAAUUCUCCCUUGAAAAUUCUGAUUACAACAUUAUUCAAUUCUUGACACAAUCAAAGUAGCGACAAAGUUAAGAAAAAUAUGAGUCCUAAGUAAUGGCUAGGUAGGGUUCUUGAGAGCAAAAUUGUCCUAAGCAUUAUAUGCAUACAUGGUGUGGUACAUAGAGCACGUUGAAUUCCACACUAUAACACAAACCCAGAAAGACAAGUAAUAACUCAACUGAUAUAAAGACAAAAAGAAGAUAAAAUGAUAUAGAAAAAAGAAUUUCAAAGCGACAGCAACAUACGAUAGACUGAAGCCACUUGAUCUGCUCACUGAUUGCAGCCUUAAACUUACAAAUAGUUACUGUACGCUAGUGCUCUAAGAAGUGAAAAUGAUAAGAGACCUGAUUCCCUUUUGACUUCCAUUUACUGUCAAACAUUCUAGUAAUACAAAAAAUUGUUUAGAUAUCUUGCUAUAAAUAUAGUCGUUUGACUGUCAUAAUAAAGUCACAAAUAACCAUUCAUAUUGAUCCACUGUCACACAGCAUGCUUUAUGCAUACAACAUCUGCAUGUAUACCAACUCCUAACCUUAUCAAUACAUUUGGCAAAAAAUUAAGAAGAAAACUAUUUCUCCAUCUCUUUUUUGAAAUUUCACAAUAAACCAGCACAUUGUGAAAGCUAUGUUCUAAUCUUAUGAUAAAUGCUCUAGACUCCAAAAGGAUUUUAUUUAUGAGAGUUUGUUGCAGCAGAUAUAUUGACUUAUCAAGUAUGAAUCAUUGUCUGGAUGAACUAUCUUUAAAUAAAAGAAUAUUAGAACCACUGUAGAAUAUCUUUACGCUGCUGGUUCUAACAGGAAUCUGCAUGUGGCAACAAUUGCUAGAUCCACAAUUCCCCAACUUGAAAUACAUAGUUGCACACCGUGAGAUAGUGCUGCAAUCUACUGAGAUCUAACUUAUUUGAUACUUUAAGCUACUAAUGUUUGCAUAUUUCUACAUGUUAAAUUGACACUACCAUCUAUAAUCACCCCAAAACGACAAAUGAUAAGCAGCUUUUGGCCACUUAUUACUAGCAUCCACAACACAAUUAUAAAUAAGAGAUCAUGGGUUUACUUGUUGCAACUACUUAAUGAUCUGCAUUUGAGACCCUGACGCAAGGUUUAAAUAGUGACUGCUUAGAACCCUUGUAGUUGGAUCUUGACCUCUCCCAUUGUAGCCAAGAUUGGCUACUCUGGUAAUGAAUCAACACUCUCCUGCUUAUUUUUUUGUUUUUAAAAAAUAACGAAAUCAUAAAAUAAAUAAACACGUGUUUGGUUUUGGGCAUUUUCUUUUGUUCAUUUAAUAUCAUCUGGCUCCCUGAUUUUUUACUAAUUAACAACGGAAUCCUGUUAGUUUCUAAAUUGAAAUAAUAAAAGGUCACGAGAUUAUUUACUCCAUUUAGCACUGUAGACUUAGAGUAUAUUGAAAAAGCUUUGUCAAAUAGUAGUAAUAGGGGCAUAAUAAAUAAGUUUUUCAGAAUUUACAUAAUGUACUUGGCUCUAGGAAGAUUGCCCUCUUAUCACUCAAGUUAGGUUUUGCCUUAGAGUUGAGGUAAAUCAUUAAAAUAAAUUAUAGCUAUUACAAAUUCGUUAGGAGAAUUUCAAUUUUUUUUCCAUUAAAUGGCUAUGAUGCAAAAUUACCUCAGCUUAUAUUGCAACACUAAUACUUCAAAUCCUAACAAUAAAAUUGAUGACAAUGGUUUUUAUGUAUAGUAAUUUUCACUCUUUUGUUUGAUCUAAAAGUAGUUCUUAAAAUGACAAUGAUGACUUAUUUAGAAGAAAUGGCAAACUUAUAGUUUGUAAUAUUGUUUGCACAAACAAUAAAGACUAAUUUGAUAAUAAUGAAGUGUUAAUUACUAUUUAACAUUUUUAAUUAAUUUUUAAAUUUAAAAAAAAAUGAAGGCCGAAACUUGUGCAUUAAAUUUUAAUUAAAAGUUGAUUGCUUCGAAGGUUUGAUCGUGACAAAUUGACAAUUGAAAAAAGAAGUAGGGAAUAUAUAUUCUGAUGAAAGGGACAAGAUUAAGCAAGGGGACAAUAUUGUCUAUUGGACCUACAAAUGGGGGCAAAGAUAUAUAUAUUCCAAAAUUUCUUAUUUGUGGAUUGGCCACCACGUGUAACUAAUAUAAAAAGAGAAAAUUUGGCAUGGUUUUAACCGAUAUAAGGGUCCGUUUGGGAUUGAGGUGUUGUAGCUUUUAAGCUAUAGCUGUUGUGGAAAAAAAACUGUAAGUAUUAAAUAAAAGUUAAUAAUAUAUAGUAAAUAUAAAUUUUAAAUAAUAAUUUUGAUGAAAUUAUUAAAGAUAUAAUAGAUUUUCUAUUAUACAAAUGAAAAUUCAUAUCAACAUAGCUUAAAAGUUACAGCAGUUAGUGUUUACCAAACACUUUAGUGCUGUAGCUUUUAAACUACAGCUGCCCAACCUCAAUCCCAAACGCACCCUAAGAAGAGAAAAUUUUGAGUGUAUAAGAAGAGAAAAUUUUGAGUGCACAACAAGAACAAAGCAAAACCCAUGAAAAUUCACCUUUCAUGUGGGUUGGAUUGGAUAAAAUCAAUAUCUUGAAUCAAACAAAAUGUUUGGUACUUGAAGGUUUUUUUAACAUUUUCAUUUUUUUUUUCCAUUUAUGAAGUCCAAUUUUUUUUUUAAUUUUGAUUUUUUUGAAUGAUUUUGAAGGUGUUGAUAUAAGGUCAUCGAAGGUUUGUGAACUUGGGGUGUUGAAUUAUAAGGCGAAGCGUGUGUUUUAUCCAUUUGAAGCAAGUAAAUUUCGCUGUCGGUAUGAUUACUAUUGGGCUUCUAUCUUCAAGGUAUUCAUACAUUUUCCCCUGUACUAUAAGCUUCUUAGUGGCGGUCUUGUGAGCGGAAGUGAGCGGUGUGGCUGACAGCUUCUUGAAAAUUAUAAGUUUGAACAGAGCAUGUUAGACUUUUGUUAACCAAAUUCGAAAGCCAAAUGGCACAGCUCAGAAGCUUUUGAAUUGAAUAACUUACUAGAAAGCUCCAAUUUUUUGUUGGCUACAGUAAAAAGAGGUUGUUUUAUUCUUCUUAUACUUUACGCUUGCAUCAGCUUAAAUCACUUCUUAAACGCUUUGCUUUAACUCCACCGCUUCGUACUGUUCUAUAUAUGUAUCGGGUAUGCGGUUGUAGUUCACUACUGAGACUACGUGUUUGUUUAACGUGGAAGUUACGUUACGAGUCUGUUAAAACAUUCGGUGAUUAAAGUAUUAUCAGUUAUUUCAAAGGGACAAAUAAGAUUAGCUACAACACACACUAGUUUUAUAAAAUUCGAAUGAGAUGGAAUAAAAUAAAUAAGUAAAUUGACUUUUAAUUUAGUGCUUGAAUAUAUUUUGUAUUCUCUUUGGGCACUGCUGUAAUUGUUCCUUAUCACACCCAUAUGUUAUAGACACAAGAAAUGAAAUUUAAGAUCACCAGUUUAAUUAAAGAAUCACUCAUGAAAAAUUUUUGCCAUUUUGAUUUGAGGAUCCACAUUUUGAACAACCAACUUAUGUUCAUUAAGAACAAAGCAUUGCCUGUGAGUAGAAAAAUGAUUUUUGAACAAAUUAUUUUUUGUUUAUAGAAGAAUUUCUCAAGGGACUAUUAAAAUUACUAAUAAAAAUGUCAGACACACCCAUGUACCAUCGACAAAAUUAACUAUGAGGAUCCAUGUUUUGAACUGCCACCGAAUGUUCAUCAAGAACAUAGUAUAACUUGUGACAAGAAAAUUUUUUGAUUUUGGCCUAGAACAAAAUGAAAUUAAAUUGAAGGAGAAUCUACUACUUUCUCAUUAAGAAAGGCAAACGGGGCAUACCAUGGUACCAUACAAUACAAAAAGUUUCUGUUCUCUAGCUUUUCAAACUCUGAAGGGGGCAAUAUUCCCCAAUUGCCUUGUGAAAAUUCUGAUUACGACAUUAUUCAUCGCUUGAUACAUAAGUAAAAGUAGUGAUAAAAUUAGAAAAAAUAUGACUUAUAAGUAAUUACUAGGCAGGGCUCUUGAGAGCAACAUUGUGCUAGGCUUUAUAUGCAUACAUUGUGUGGUACAUUCUACACUAUAACACAAACCCAGAAAGACAAGUAAUAUCUCAACUUAUAUAAAGACAAAAAGAAGAUAAAACGAUACAGAACAAAGAAUUUCAAAGAGACAGCAACAUACAAUAGACUGAAGCCAGUUGAUCUGCUCGUUGAUUGCAGCCUUAAACUUGCAAAUGUUUACUGUAGCCUGGUGCUCUAAGAAGUGAAAGUGAUGCAAACCUUGAUUCCCUGUUUACUUCCAUUUACUGUCAAACAUUCUAUUCAUACGAAAAAAAUUGUUUAGAUAUCUUGCCGUAAAUAUAGCCAUUUGAUUGUCUUAAUAAAGCCACACACAACCAUUCAUAUUGAUCCACAUUGCCAUAUAGCCUGAUUUAAGCAUACAACAGCUGAAUGCAUACUGACUCCUAACCUUAUCAAUACAUUGGAGACAACUUAAGAAUAAAACGAUUUCUCCAUCUCUUUUUUUGAAAUUUCACAAGAAAACAGCACAACGUAAGAGCUGCAAUGAAAAUGGACCGUCAAGAACUAUGGCGGAAGCUUCAACUAGUGUAGUGAUUUGACCUUCUUAUUAACUUUGCGAUAUCAAGCACUGCCCUUCAUCUUGAACAGAUCAAUACAAUACGCACAACUUAUGAUUGAAUCCAGAAACAAUCAAAUCUUUAGCAAGAAAAAUUAAUCAGAAUCAAGAAACAAGUUCAAUGAAUAUAAACCUAUAAUUGGAACAAACACAGCCAAAGAACCCAAGAAUGACACAACCUACACCACGGGAGAAGCUUUCCAGUGAGAUUUUAUUGAUGAUCAAAGAAGAAUCUUUUUACAAAGCUAACAAAAGAGAUUUCAGAGAAUAAGCUAUGACUCUCUCUCUUCAAUCUCUCUCUAGUUUGUUCACAGUGAUGACCCCAAUCUGCUUCGUUAGCCAGCUUCAUAACUGCGUCAGUGACAAACUAAAAAACCCAGAUUGAGCAGAUUACCGACACGUGGAUAACGGCUAUUAAGAACUUGGUUAAAGAACUGCUCACAUAUUCGUCACGCGUGUUACUUAAAUGAUGGCCAAAACGACUUCAACAAGAUGCCGUUUUGAAGCUUGUGAAUUAUAAUUGAAAACACGUGCUUGUCUCGUGACACUUAAAUACAACAACAAGCCCAAAACACUGCCGUUUCACUUUGUUGAGUUUGCCAUCUCUAAGCUUCACAACUAGCAACGGAGAAGAUGAUAAUUAAAUUGACAUGGAGAGUUUUUAUAUCACUUUUACAACAUUCUAUAUAAUUGUGAUAUUGGGAAUCGUCGAUGUUGUAUAUGUGAACUCUCAUUGGUGACACUGGUGGUUUUAUUUUUGUUGAAAUAUGGAUGACAUUUCGUUACUAUUUUAUUGUACACAACAUUUUGUUACUAUUAACAUGUUAGUUUCAUUAGCCACUAGGCCUUUGGCUGAGUCAUUCGGGUGUCUGCCCUCCAACUUGGAGGGCAGCAAUUUGAACCCCCACAAGCGCAAUGUUGGGUAUUUUUUUCUUUAAUCCCUCGAAUAUUAGUGAAGGUUAAAAUCUAGGCAGAACUCCAUAAGUAUUGAUGUAAGUUGGUUUCAGUAAUAGUCUAAUUUGUAAAUAUCAGUUAUAAUCUCAUAUAAGAUGAGUUGUAAUUUGAGCAAUAGUCUCAUAGAAUAAUAAUAAUAAUAAACAUGUUAGCUUCAUUACAUUUUUCUUCGUUAAAAUUCUCAAGUAUUAGUCAGGUUUGCUAAAGUAAUAAAAUUUUGCCAUUAAAAUUGUAGUAGUAUUUCUGAGCACCUCACAUUUUCAAUGAUUUUUCAUAAAUCAAUUAAUCUGUCGUACCGAUAUCAGGUUUAGUUUUUCAUACUAAACAAUCAAGAAAGCAAACAUACGAAUUCACAGUUUAGAGGGGUAAACUAGGUAGGUGGUUUAGAUUUUAGAACUAGGCUAGCUACCCCACUAAAUUCCAAUUUGUACAGUGAACUACAAGAAAUUGAGAAAACAGUGUAUUUAUAGUUUAAUUGAAUCGUGAGAAAGCAAUGUAGUCAUAGCUCAAUCUGAGAUGAUCACGGAGAGGCAUAUUCUUUUCAAGUUAAUUUGAUCAAUUUAUAAGAGAUGAAGUGGAUUGAAGUUAAAAGUUUAAAUAACAAAUCCUUGUUCUUGAGUUUUACGACGUCGUUACUCCUUCAAGAGGCAGAUUAUUUAUGCAAGUGAAUGCAGAAACGCAAUGCAUCAUCCACGGGGAUGGUACAUCAAAAGGCGGGAUCAUAGUCUAUGCCCGCAGAUUAACAAUUUCGCUCAUAUAGAAAAUUAAUUUUUUAUAUAUACUAAUCAACACUAAAUUGAUUGUGUUUUGUAUGUUUAUAUGCGAAUCAACACUAAAUUAUAUUAAAUGAAGAAAUAAUUCAAUUUUUUCUAAUUUAAUUUAGAAAAUAAAAUUAUUAACAUUAAUAUUCCCAAAAAAAAUUAUUUUCCAUUAGUAUUCAAAGUCUUCACUUAUGGAAAAUGUGUUUUACCUGAAUAUUAGUUACCGUGUAAAUUUGAUUGAUAGUGAAAAAUAAUUUUUUAAUUAUUGUAAAAAUAAUUAACCAUAUCAAAUCCCUUACGUAAAUAAUUUUUAUUUUUCAAAAAGGUAGAAAGAUGGUUAAUGCACAAGCAAAUUUUAAGCCCCUCUCUUCUUGGCCUAAGAUUCAAACUCAGAUGACUAGUUAAAUAAACCUAUGUGAAAUCAUUUGGCCAGGUCCGCGGGGAAAAAAUACAAGAUCCUUAAUUUCAUAAUAUAUAUGAAUUAAUGUCAUUUACUUGAAUUAUCCAAAUUCAUCAGAGGUUAACGAAUUUUCCUGACAUGUAGUAGAUGAAGUUGUUGCUUCCUUCUUGGCAUUAUUUCAGCUCUGGUUGUUGGUCCCGAUGAGCUUUAGUCUUAUUUUAAUUUUAUUUAAACUCAUCAUAAGAUUCGUGGAGCAGCUAACUGACUUAACUGACUGUGCAGAAAUGUCACAUAGCAUAUUUAACCGUUUUAACAGUAAUUUUGAACGGUCUUCGCAAUUAUCAUCUACAAACUCGUUCGUAUUGGUCCAAUCUUCCGGACGAUAUCAUAUGCCUAAUAAUGAAUGAAUGGUCUUGGAUCGGUGUUUCGCAGCAAGAGCAACUCGACAAAAUCUGGAGUCAAGCUCCUCCGAUCGAACAAGGGAUUUCGAUUGAUGAUUGAGUUCCUUUGUGCUCAAGCAACUUCAAAUCAUAGUUUUGAUUCUUUAGAUAUGAAUUCAUCACAUUACAUAUAACAGAUUGAGUUAAACAAAAUUUUAAUUUACUGAGAAAAGAAUUCUAUUUUGUGAACUAAUCAAUUGCAAAGCAUUAGUGUUGAACGAUACAAAAAAUUGGGAAAAGAAUUCUAGCCGUAUUGACUCCACCGAAAUUUCCACAAAAGCAAAAAAAAAAAAAAUAUAUUCCACAAAAUGCAAAACGUAUGGAACUUAAUUUUUGGCCCUGUGAUCACUAAGAUACAAGGCAAAUUUUUUUAGAUCUCUCCGACAAAGUGAUUACCAUCUAAUCGCAAUAUUGAAUAAAAAUAAAAAUUUUAAUGGGAGUUUGACCUUAAAUUUAGAAAAUGAAUUUUCACUUUCUUCAAUUAUUAAACAGAUUACAGACAUUUGAGGAAUUUGAAAACACUUUAUCCAUCGAAAGUUAAAAUUAGAGAUGGAAGCUAGGUGCUACAGCUAAUGGGAUCAUUAAUUCCCCUCCCUCAAAUGUGUAGUUGUUCCUCUUUCCACAGCAUAAGCCUUAUAGUUAGAGUUUCUUUUUAAAAAAAAUGUUAAACAAUUUCGGUUGAGCAUGGUUUUGGUAGUUGAAUAGACACCUCCGCCGUACCUCAAACAAAACUGUCAUUAUUCGAGUCAUGAAACAUGUUUCGGCCGUCAAAGUCAUGAGUAGGAGUGGGCAUGGGUUGGUUUGGGUUAGGUUUUAAGUCAAUUCAAACCAAACUAUAAAAAUUUGGGUUCAACCCAAACCAACCCAAAUAUUUUUAACCCAACCCAAACCAACCUAUUUGGAUUUGGUUUGUGUUUGGGUUUGAUUUGAAUUUUAUAAUUAAAAUAUUUUUUAUUUUAAUAAAUUUAACUAUAUCAAAUUAUAAUAAUUAUUAAUUAAUAUUAAUUAUUAAAUUAAUAUUAAAAUAUGAAAAAAUGUAGUGGAUAAAAAUUAUGAAUAAUGGAUUUUACAAUAACUUUGUUCUUAAAUAUUAACCAUAUUACAACAUAAAUUCUAACAAUGUCAAUACAAAUUAAAGUAAGAUAAGAUAUCUCAACUCAAGUAUCAAAGCAAUCCAUCAAAAUUAAAUUAUUUAAUUUUAUAAAUUUAAAUCUUCCGAGAAAUAAAUCUAAAAUUUAUUGUAAUUAGAAAACGCGUCAAAAUUUUAAACGCAGUAAGAAAAAUUAGACAUAAAAUCUAAUUAGGUUUAAAUUUAAUUAAAAAAUAACAAUAGAAUCAUAUUUUAUUUGAUAAAAUCUUAAAAUCAAUUUCAUUUAUUUUAGUAAGUUACAAUACAAAUAGGAUUAUAAAAUUAUAUUACAGGAUUUCAUAAAAAUGUUGUUUGAGUAAUUUAUUAAAGGACUCACCUACGUUGCCACAGUUGUAGCUUACCACGCUUUUUGUCUUUUUCCAGUAAAAUCGUAGGAUGCUUUCAAAUUUAAUCUAACGGAUGCAAUUAAUUAUUAGAUAAUUUAAUCAGCCAUUGGCAACCUUUACAACCGGUUAUAUUCUCUCGUUACAUUUCUCGGCUACCAAACAAUCCCCAAGAAAAUGACGAAGUGAGUAACUAAUACACACACCGCAGAGAAAGAUGACAGGAGAUGAGAUGACGGUAGGCCCACCGGCACAAAGGUUCUUCGAUUGCUCUAUUUCUUCGGCGCCGGAUUUAUCUACACAACUACAAUCGACAAGUGGCGGGAACUCGAGCGGAAGUCAUUGAAGAAGAAACAUCAAGAGAGCAAUCUAUGGACUGAUGAUAACUCAGCAACUACGGUAAAGAAAGCCGUCAAAUGAUCUUUUUAUUUGACUUUUGAUGGAUUUUCAAGAGUUUUGGUAAUAAAAUGUCUCUUAAUUUUUCAUGUCAAUGGCCUAUUGUUUGAGUUAUUAUUAUGCAUAAUUGUUGGAAGAGUUAGGAUUUUACUAUUGGAUUUUGGAAUUUGUAUUUUGGCUUUGAUAUGUUAUUGUUGUGAUGUCGGUCAAGAAAUUUUUGACAACACUCUCCUCGAGUUUGAUACUAUAGCUAAUGAAUUUUUAUGGCAGAUAUAGCUAAUGAAACAAAAAACACUUUAUAACUGGUUAUGCAUUCAUUUAGGAGCUAUUAACUGAGCGUGAGUUCCAUAAUUUUCCAACCAGUGGUUAGGGUUUCACAGAAAAAUGUCGACAUUGAUCUUUAGGCAGCACUUAAGACUGAAAUUGGUUGUAGAGGAUCGAAUUUGGGGAACUAGAAAUUUCUGAUCAUUAAUAAUUGAAAAUGGCCUCUCACUUGUAGGCAGUUGUUGGAUGUAAUGUAUCCAGUUUUUGAAAUCGAAAGCAGAGUGAGUUCUUAGGUUAGAUGUACCUACAUGCAUUAAGGUUCGAAGAUGUAGAAUAGGCCAAUUGUUUGAUGUCAGCUUUGUUGCACAUGUUCUGAAAUUGAUCAUUUAAGAUGGCUUGGAAGCACUCCGUGAUGUGACUAAGAAGAUUCGAGGAAGUAUUAAAUAUGUUGAAAGUUCACAAUUAAUACAAGGAAAGUUCAAUGAGAUCACCCAGCAAGUUGAAAUCAACAGUCAAAAGAGCCUACAGUGUGAUAUUUUUCUCUUGGAUUGUUUUUUUAUUUUCCAUUUCAAAGCUGAUAGUGUAAAUUUUUUGUUUGCAAAAGUUUCUAAAAAGUACUUGAGUCAAGAUGGUUAGGUAUUUCAUAACUUCCUUUUUACUCUUAACUAGAUUCAUACAGAGUUAUAACAUUAACAUAAUUUUUUCUUUUAAAAGUGAUCAAUUAGACACUGAUGAGAUAUCUCACUUUUGAAUCAUUUAGCUUUAUGUAAUUUCAUUACUAUUAUAUGCCCCCAGGAAUUGUUGAAGUAUAUAUAUCUUGGCAUUUCUUCACCGACUGAAUUAUCUUUCAUAAUAUUCCAGCUUCAAAUGGGUACACUGCAGAGCCGAUUGGAUGCAGAAUUCCUUCUAGCUCAUAUGUGCUCUGUAAAAUUCAAAGACUUAAUAGUGGUUAUGGCAACUCUUUUUAGAUGAUCUAAGGUAUAAUGCCCAAUUAUUGCUUUUGCUUUAUCUGUUUUACCUUGCAACAUUUUGAAAUUUAUGAGAAGCAUAAAAUUACUGAGCCAAAAUUGAGGAUCUGAACUUUCGUAAAAAUAUUCAUAUUUUUAAAUUAUAAAAUAUUGCAUUUGAUGUUUUAGGUGGAACUUAGUUCACUACAGAAAGGAAAAUUAUGUUGGGCAUAACCAGAUGCUUUUCAAGAGAAAGUUUCACUGAUAUUUUUCUGAGGAUUUUACUUGGCCAUCUUAUUUCAAGCUGCUUGAAUUUUUUCUUUAUAUCAUCUUGGUUGUAUACUAUAACUCGUUGAAUUUGCUAGCACUUUUGCUAGUUGUUUAUUCUAUAUGUGAUUGUGGUGGUAAAGUUUGGAAGCUCAAAAAGUAAUGGAACUUAGGAAGAGUAUGACAUAGAAUGCUGGAUAAAAUCAAAAUAAUCAUUCUUCAGGCAUCCAAAGAUGAUGUAUUCAAAAUAGCUAGUUUUGACUUUUGAGGCCGUAUAAAUAACUAUUAUCUCACAUGGUUACAUUAUGAUAGGUAGGCACUAGCUUAAUAACUCCAAUUAACUUAAAGUUGUUACCUGAUUUAUUAUGACAGUGUGCAUUACGAUAAGUAUCCUUGCAUAUUAAGAUUUUCCUUCCAGAUCUCUGCGGUACUUUUUGAUCUUUUCCGACAUGAUAUGCGAUUAUGGGAAGCAUAUGCCAUCACCUUACAGGUAUUCUCUUAAUUUUUAGAUAGUGCUCCAGAUGACAUUCAAGUUGGCUAUUAUUGGGUGCAAGAUUUACCAUGCUCUUAUUUUGCUUUUUUAGUCUAACCCGACAUUUGCUUAAUACCAUGAUCUGCUUCAAGCCUUGGAUGAAAAACUUUCAUUUUUUGUAUAUUCUGCAAUGAGAUGAGGGUAGUUUUUCUGAUGAUAUUUGGCAGUAAAUUGGGACUAACUAAAGUAAUUUUCUUAAUGGCAUGUCUACUUCUCAGAUGAAUGACCGUCUGUUCAGACUCCCAGGUGAUGAAUUAACAACCACCGAUCUAUUCUGGGUAAAGAUGAUGACGUUGACACCAAGCCAGUGGAAUGACUAGGACUUCCCUUUUGUUACAAUAAAUUGCGUUCAUUAGACACACGCAGUUAAUUAGUGUAGAUAAAGGAGGUCUAUGCACAAUAGACUGUUUUGUAUUUCGAGAGUCCUUUUUUUGUUUCUUUCAUUCUCCAUUCUUUUGAAAUUAUGUACAAUGGUUAUAUUGUCUGUAUUAUUACGGAUUUAUGAUGGGAGUAUCCUAAGUUUAUGGAAUAAUUAUAAAUAAGGACUUUAAAUUUUUGUUGAAAGAAGUUGAGUGAGAGAAAAGAAGCUAAAGCAGUAAGCAUUUGUUAUACUUCAUUCGAUUGUAUCUAAAUUACAAAGGUUGGUGGCCUUAUUUAUAGUGAAGUUCCCACAGGCCACUUGCACUCAAAACAUUCGAAAUAUGCAAACAUAUUGAUAUAUAAACAUACAGAAUUAAUAUUCUGGAUCCUUGUAAGUAAUGCAAAUAAAAGUGAGGUUGGGGCAGACAAUAUUUACAUCAUGUAUUAAUAGAAAUAAAAUCAAUUAUUUCCAAAUAAAGUCACUUAGUUCAAAGCACGGGCUUCGGUUAAGUUGAACAAGCAAGCCAAUUUUUGUUGUUACUUCAUGAUUGUCGUAAGCUGUGGGUAGUGGAUCGUGUUCCCUAUAAAAGACAAACAGAAGCAUAAGUUUCUCUCAAUUAAGGCACCUGAAAUGUAUUUCCAUGUCUACUAACCUGGUCAUUCGUCCAUGAACUAAACCCUUCUGAGGAUCUUGAAUAGAUUUAUAGAGAUCUCAGAUAAUUUCCUCACGGUGUGCCUGAGUAAAGACAAGUCUUAUGUACUUGAUUACUUCUGGCCAAUCCAUCGAGGCCACCACCUGUCUCAGUCAAUUCAAUCUUUUAAUAGAGUGAAUUACUAGAAUAAAAUUGAUUAAAGUUGAUAUAAAAUCUAAAUUAAAAAAAUCAGAUAAGAGAAUGAUCCAAAAUCCAAAAAAUGAAAUAUUUAAGGAGUGGACUUGUGACCCUCUAUAGAAUCCAUGGAAGAGUAACUAAGGGAAAAACAUUAGAGGUACUUUUGGCGAUACUAUUAGUAUUCUUGUGUUGAUCAUAAUCUUGGGGGUAGAUCUAGACUAAUUAGCUAUUCAUUGAACAUUCCAUUUCUCCGCAAUUACAUGCAAAAGUGCACCUUGCAGUUGCAGCCUAGACCAUAGAAAUAUAGAAUUCCAAUUAUUAACAUCUAAAGCUACUGUAGUGACUUUGCAACCAUGAGAUGAUAUAUACAUAUGCUGAGAUUCAAAUAUUUGAGAAGUUUAAACAUCCUGAUGAAAAAUAGACUAGUUCACAGCUACUUUGGGGAAGUUGAUUUCUACUAGCAGUAGAAAAUACAAGUUUUUUUAAACAUACCUACUCCAGUAAACUCAAUUAACCAAAACAAAACUCAAAGCAUGAAAAAGAGGGAUUUUAACUAACCUAAUCAUUAUCAUUGAUAUUUUAACAUAUUGAUCUUCACAUGGAGUUAACAAACACAAGACUUAGUGCCUAGUACAUAUGUCUGGGGUUGCACAGUCUGUUCGACAAAUUUAUUGAAACUAUAUCCAUGCUCCUUCUCCAAUAAAUAAAUAUCCUCUUGCUUCUUCCAUCCUACUCUAAUUCUUCCUGGAAAGCAUUCUCCCCUUCUCUAAUUCUUCCGAAAAAACAUAACCGACAAUCCUAAACUAAUUACCACCGUUAAAUCUUUCAAACAAAAUUUACAAUUUCUUAUCAGUAGUUUCCUGCCGCAUCCGAUCGAACGGCUCAUCAACGAAUCAAACAGACUUCUUUCCAUCCUUUUUCCAUAUAAUUACAUUUGCCUAAUUCCUAAAGUUUCGGCUCCGCCCAAUGUCGGCCGCAAUUGGCUGCCACAGCGAUAUGUUCAUCUUCAACUUCUCUGCUGCGAUUUCAAAUUUACUUCAGCCUCGUACCACCACACUUCCACUGGCAAUUAAUUUCAUUAUCCGAUUUUACUAUGUGUGGAAUAGAUUUGAGCAAUUUAUGAGUUUUCGCUACGAUUUCGACGAUGUCCUCUCAACACUAAUUUGAUCACCUAAUUUUAACUGUUUUGGGUUAUUUAUUUUUUAUUAUAUUUAUAUACAGUCUCUGCAGACAACCGACUACUUUACUUAUAUGUGGAACUCAUCUGAGCCAUUAGAUGGAGGCCCUCCAGAUCCUACGGCGAUUAUAUAUGAGGACAAAAAGUGUUGUAUGUUGGAACUGUUGCAACGUAGGAGGAUCCUUUAUUAAAAUGUUAAUUUAGUUUUUUAACUCAAGUUGAGACCGUAAAAAGUUGUUAUAUAAUAGUGUAUUGUAUAACCAAUUACAUAUGUAUUUGACUUGUGCAACACUUCUAUUAUUAUUAUAUAAUAAUAAUUAGUAGUAGUAUAAUUACUAUAUAAUAAUAAUUAUUAGUAGUAUAAUUAUUAUAUAAUAAUAAUUUUAAUAAAAAAUUAUUAUUAAAAUAUUGAUUUAGCCUUUCUUAGUUCCAUAUUUGUUGUUUUGCUAUAAUUUUCCACAAUGACGCAUUAUCAGACUUUCUUAGUUCCGUCAUCUUCUAUUACUCAACUUAACGUCUUAUCAUCUCUAGCUCGUCUUCCAUAGCAUGAAAGUGAAUAAAUUUAACUGAAUGGUUAAUUAAUCAAUUAAGUUUCAUGAGCUUUAAUCGAGUUAUAACCAAGUACAAACAUCGUUAACAAAUACUGAAAUUUAGUAAAUUAAAAAAAUAAAAAACUAAUUCAAGUAAUAUGUAGUUUUUACAUGUUGAUCAUCAGGAUACAACAUUAAAUUUUGUCAUUGACAAUAUUGCAUGCCUGUCAUCUAAAGCAUUACCUCACAAGGUUUUAUGAGAAACGAAAGACUAGUGCUUGCUUUGAACAAUUAAAGUUGCUGCUACCAACCUCCCCAAAGAUCAAGAAGACAGAACAGGAAGCUAAUGCCAUCAAUGUCUUGUUCAUUAUAGCUGUUGGGUAGUUAGGUGUAGUUUCCUCACUUGAAGCUGUCUAUACACAGGCUUUUCCCCUGCAAAUGGACAAAUAAAUGAACAGCCUUGAAGCUUUACUAUUCGCAACACAAAGGGAUUACUAAUUGGAGAAGACUUUACAGAGUUCCUCUCACACUUUCUCUCUCUCAAUUUCAUCUAGAAGUCCCUCCGAAAGCAUCACCCAAAACAGUUAGUCAUCCUUUAUACUCUGUUUUCUGGAAACAGAGUCCUAACUAACUUAACUGACUGUACAGAGCACGUCAACAUAGCAUAUUUAACCAUUUUAACGGUAAUUUGAACCGUCUUCAGAGUUAUCAUCAACAAGCUCAUUCAUAUUUGUCCAAUCUUACGGACGAUAUCAUAUGCUUAACUCGACACAAUCUGGAUUCAACCUCCUCCUAUCCAACAAGGGAUUUCGAUUUGAGUUAAUAAUAAUAAUAACGACAAUAAUAAUAAACUAAAAAACAGAAUUAAUUACUAUUGAAUGGUCGGAAAAAAAAAAAAUUGAAAACGUGUGAACUCCAAUAAUCACCCCACAAAUUCAGUGGCGAAUUUUGGAGAGGGCAAGGCCGGGCUUCUCAGAAAAAAAUUUAUUUAGUUACAAAAUUAUCUUUAUUGAAACCUAUAUAAAUUUUUUUAUAUUAAUUAGUUAUGUUACCUCUUCAAUUAUCAUCAAAUUCUUGUCUGUUCAUCAUUUGGUGAAUAAAUGUGUGUCUAAAUAAUUUCAAAUAACAUUUAGAACAAAUAUUUUGAGAGGUAAAGCUUAUUUUGUCUCGCAUUAUUAGGUGCAUCUAUAAUUUCUUAUUUACAAAAUUAUAUUGUACGAUAAAAAUUUAUUGAAUUAGGGGAAAAAAAAAAGUUCAGCUCACUCAAAAACAAAAAAUGGUAUUAACUUCGCCACCGCACAAAUCUAGAAUAAUAAUUAUUCCUUAUCAUGCUGGGGAUCCUUUAUACUUUCUAGCCGUAUUGACAGCACCAGGUAAAGCUUUGUAAAAUAAUAAGUUACUCAUUAGUGGUUUUUAAUCUUUUUAAUUCUUUUUACCGCACACCUGAUCAAGAAUUUUAUUUUGUUAACUAAUCAAUUGCAAAGCAUAAAUAAGUGUUGAACGGUACACAAGAUUGGAAAAAAAAAUCUUAAAAAACGCGCGGAUUCGGUAGCCACACCAGAAAUCUAUUACAAUAAUUUCUGGCCGUAUUGAAGUUUUUAAAAUAACAAGUUCCCCUUCUCGUUUUUUUUUUUUAAAUAUAUAAGCUUAUAACAAUUUUAGAAUAAUGACUCAUUUGUAGAAGAAUUUAUGAUUUCCCAUUAAUAUUAAUAUUGAAGUGGGGUGGGUGUCAAAUCUCAAUUGCUUGAAGAAUUUAUUUAUUAUUAUUAAUAUUAUUAAUAUUAUUAAUAUUGAAGUGGGGUGGGUAACGGACCAGCGGUUCACUCAGUUCGUGGCGAAUUAAAUAUUACCAUCCAAGGUAGAAUUGUGGAAAAUUAAAGCAAAAUGACUAGUAUGGAAAGGAAGGCUGAAAGUAAGGCAUGACGAAAGGCUUUGAGAAGGCUGAAGACUACCAAAGAAGUCAACUGAAAGCUAGCUGGGGCCUGAGUGUAUAAAUUGUUAGAUGCGUUUGUUAUAAAUAACAUAGAGCCCUUUUGUUAUUUAUAGUUAUAGAGAAAGAGAGAAUGUGUGUUUUUUAAUAGUUAGAGAUAUAGCUAGAAUGGGUGGCUCAAAAUCCAAAAUGGUGACAAUGUUAGUUCUCAUAUUAAUAAUAUUAGGAGGGGGGGGGGGGGACUCAGGGGAGGUCGAGUGAGGGAUGUUUGGAGCAUGAGAAAUUUGAUCUUUUGCGGCUUAAACAUUUCUUCAAUUCCCCUUAUACACUUCAAAACUGGGUAGGUGAACAAAGGGAAAGGGUUGAAUGCGGCAACUCCACAUGCCAAGUGGUACAACUACACCUUGGCCUUACUAGGAAUAUCGAUCUGGGAGAGUGGUAUCUGAAUGCUUCUCUAUUUACUUCCUUUCAAUAACUUGGUAACAAAAUAGCCGGCUGCAUGCGUUGAGAAUGAAGGUCCUUCAUUUAAUUUAAUUUACUUAAUUUCUCCCUCCUAAUUAAUGUCUAUAACCAUUAGGAGGAACAAAGGAUUUUAUUAACUCAAAUAUAUCUAAUGGAGCUCAUUCUUUGGUGUCUAAACAUUCACUCACCACUUAUUUCAUGUCUGAUUAUAUGUUGAAAAGAUAUUAAAGUAAUUUAACGCAAUUAAGGCUUAGUAUAUUUUUUAUUAGUAGAGUGUAGAACUUUUAAGAAAUAUAUUAUUAAAUUAUUAUAACUAACAUAUUAUUUUAAAGUUGUGUUAUGAAAAAAAUAAAAUAAAAGGACAAAUAUGUAUUUAUACGAAGCUUGUAAAUUUUUUUGUACUGAUAUUUGAAUAUUAUCAAUUAAAAAAAAUUAGGGUAAUGGUCAUGCUGCAUUAUUUUUGUAGCACACAAAAGGACAACACCGUUUAUGUUAUAAUACUAUCGCUCUGUUAUGAUAAUAUUUUCUUUUGUGGCCAAAUAUCAUUUUUUAAGUAAAAAAAAGUGGACAAAAUGCAAAUCAGUUUUUAAUCCUCAGUCUCUCCCAAAAUUUAAAUUCGUAGUUAACAAAACAAAAUUGUUGGAAAACCAUUAAGCUAGGUCCAUGGGUUGUUAAAACUAUAGCUGACAAAAAGUUACUAACAAAAACAGAAUGUCCAUUUUAUAACUUUCUUAAAAAACAUUCCUUAACUUUUUUAAAAAGUUACCAACAAAAAGUUAUUUCCAAUUUUUAUUUUGUUAUAAUUUUUAUAAUAAAAUUCGUAGUUAACUAAACUCUUCUUAUACCCUUUCUCAACUGCCAUACCCUAACCCUGUUCCCCAUUUCCCCACUAAACCACGCUCAAUUAAGGCCAUCAGAUUCUCCCGGGCCCACAUUAAUCCAACUGCUCACAGAGACCGACAGCCUCUCUAUCUCCAUUUCAAGCUCCCUCUUCAACUGGCUUCUGCUACCGUCCUACUCUUUCUCGGCUUCGGAGUCCGUAUUUUCUCGGCCGGUCCCACGAAGCUCCCUCUCACUCCAAUUGUCGCCCCACAAGACCAAUUGCUUAAUCAAGACACCGAACAAGAAGAGGAUGAGAAGUUGAAACAAGAAUUUGAGAAUUGGAAAUAAAAAACGUACGCAUUGACCGUGCCUUUGAGAGUCGUUUCUCUUCAGAACUCAGUGCCUCAAUCUUGGGUUAAGGAUUUUAUGCGAAGUCAAGGAAAGAGAUUGAAGUUUCAGAUGAAUUUGUGCGCUAGCAUUGAUGGGAUCUUUAACAAUUUAUCUGUGCCCUUUAACAAAGUUAAGGCUAAGUCAGCUUCGUAUAUGGCUGCUGAUUUGGUUAGUGUUGGUGAUUCAUGGCUCAGUUUUGCAAUUAAAAAGAGAUUGAUUGAGCCAAUAGCUGGAGCUGAAGAUCAAGAUUGGUUCAAAUGCUUAUGUCACAAAUGGAAGGUAACAUCUUUAUCUUUGACCCGAUCAUUUUUAUUGUCUUUUUAAUUGCAAUGAGAAGAAAUGCCACUGUAGCAUGCAGUGAUGGCACUUAAUAAGUGAGUUGCUAGGAUGUGAACUAGAAAAAUUAAAUAUUGUCUCCUUGGGUAUGCUAGCUCGUAAGUUAGGGUUAAUAUCAGAGCUUAAGGUACUAUAACCGUGAGAAGCUAUUGACUGCCAAUUAAAAUAUCCAUUAAAAUGUCUAGGGAGUUAUGAAGGUGGAGGUAACUACUAAUAAAAAAUAUCCAGUUAACCUCCUGCUCGAUGCAAUUAAUAAAUUUGGUCAAUGCCACUGAAACCUGCUAAC